rnacentral:lncRNA from 1 species
UCUCAAUCUUGUCGGACUAGGCAUCUCCUUCGACCAAACUGUAGCUGUACACAAAGUUGUCUUUGUCAAUCCCAUCGAUCUUGUGGGUCACUGAGCCGAACUGGCUGCCUUCGCCAAAGGUGAUCUUCUUGAUGGUGCCUACGCCUCCGUCUCCUUCAAUGAUUUCAGCACACUUCACUGCUUGUGGAGCAAUCUUUGGGAUGAGAUUGUCAGCAUCAAGGAUAAAAGCCUUGAAUAAUCUUGGUGGGGGGAUGAUGGAGGUGAACUCGGUUUCAUAAGUGAACACACCCAUUAUCAGCUUAUGAGUUUGAGAAAUGAUCAAAAGGAAAGAAGAAUUAUGCAAAUUGGUGUUUAGGAACUGGAGGAGGUUUUUGAUUUGUGAGAGAAGAGAAUGCCAGGGGUGGUAUUUAUAGGUUACUCAAGGGAAGAGUUGGUGUGACUGAUGAGGUUGAAGGUCACCAUAUGGAGACUUAGCUAGUGUGAAUUAAGAAGUGUCCCUGUAGAUGCAAGCUGUACUUAAUAUUCUCUUGGAUAUAUCCAGAAUGGUCAAGCAAAGCACCCCAUCCCCAAUUAUAAUUGGUACCUAAUUGGCUUUGGAUGGUGAAGUGAACAAAAUAAAAUGCAUGGGUCAGGUUCUAGAUGUUCUUCUCUGCACAUUCUCUUUGAAAUUUCAGUUUAUACACGUAAUGUCGAGCAGUCAACAUUGGCUAUCCCAUAUAUCAGUUUCUUUUUGUAUCAAUACUGGCUUGUAUUGACUGCAAAAACUAGCUAGCUAGUACUUCACAAUCAAAAAUGCAAAGUCUAAUAGUUAAAAAAAAUCAGUGUGCUUCCUUUUCCAGGUUAGGAUGAGAAGUUGGGGUUUUUACAUCAAAGAAUCAGCCAAUUAAGGCGGCAUCGUAGACUUGAACAAUUUUUCACAGGGAAAUAUUAGUUCUUUGAAAAUUCCCUAUGUCUAAGCUCAAGCUUUGAUCUUCAAGGGGUGAGCUUCAUCCUUAACCUAUAAAUACUGCCUCCAGGGCUCAUACUUUCUCACACCAAUAUCAAUAUUCUCUUAUCUUCCUCCACAUUUCAAUCUUCCCAUUUUUAGCUCUUUUAUCAUCAUCAUGGGUGUGUUCACAUAUGAAACCGAGUUCACCUCUGUCAUUCCACCACCAAGACUCUACAAGGCCUUUGUCCUUGAUGCUGAUAACCUCAUCCCAAAGAUUGCCCCACAGGCUGUGAAGAGUGCCGAGAUCGUUCAAGGUGAUGGAGGUGUCGGAACCAUCAAGAAGAUCCACCUUGGUGAAGGGAGCGAAUACAGCUACGUGAAACACCAGAUUGAUGGACUUGACAAAGACAACUUUGUUUACAACUACAGUAUCAUUGAAGGUGAUGCUAUCGGAGACAAGGUAGAGAAAAUCUCUUACGAGAUCAAGUUGGUGGCGUCUCCAAGUGGAGGCUCCAUCAUCAAGAGCACCAGCCACUACCAUUGCAAAGGAGAGGUUGAGAUCAAGGAAGAGCAUGUCAAGGCCGGAAAAGAAAAAGCCGCUGGUCUGUUCAAGAUCAUUGAGAACCACCUUUUGGCCAACCCUGAGGCCUACAACUAAAUCAAACUACGACUGCAUUAUAUACUGUUCUGUUGUGUCCAGUUCUUUUUGUCAUUUGGUGUCCCUCUGAUAUUUUUCCCCUUUUCUUGCCUACCAAGCCUGGGAUUGUUUCGGCUUUCACUUUGAGUGAUGGUGAAUUGUAAUGUUACAUUGGAUUUCAUUUGGAAUAGUAAAGAAUAAACCGUAUGUUCCUCUUUAUACUAAUUAAUUUACUUUGUUUAGUCUCUACCUUCUGUAUGCUAGUACUUUGUCUGUAAUUCUGUAACUGUACAAAAUUUAGGAGUCGACGUGAGAACUUUAUCUGAGUCGUUUCAUUUGAACAUUUGUUGGGUUCAAAACUUCAAAAUGCAGUAAUUGUGAUUAAAAGCACACACUUAACAAUCUCAUAAUUUAAUUACAAACUCGUACAUAAAUAUCCAAUCCAAUUAUGUUUGUUUCAAUUUAUAAGAUUUAACUUAUCUUCUUAGCUAGUAAACGACCUUGAGCAUAUCUUCUCUCGCUAGACAUUUGUUAGUUUCUUCCAGUAUUUCAUAUAUUCAGAUGGAUCAAUACAAUUUUAAUGAGAGUUUUUGCUUUUUACAUUAAUACUACAAUGUCUCUCUCUUUAAAUAACAAAAAUCGAGUUAGUGCCAUUAUUGCUCAUUAUCAUGUUAAAUUCAUGCGAACCAAGUAACCAUGCAAACAAUGCCUCGUAUUAUCAAAUGAGCACUGUCAUGAGCCCAUCGACUUGUAUAACAAGCUAGCUGGAAAUCGAUCCUGAAUUUCAACAGCUCAUUUCUGACCCCUUCAAAAAAAAAAAAAAAAAACCAGCUCAUUUCUGACACAAAGGUUCUUUUGUGUCCAUUUUUGUUUUGAAUAAUGAAUGCUAGGUGAACCACAUUCAUAGGAUGUUUGUUGAUCAUCUUUAAGGACAUUGUUUUAUAACCGCAAUUCGUUAUUUUAGCUUAGUAAUUGAACUACGGAUAUGCAAAUUGUGAUGCAGCUUGUUUAUUUCAUAGAAAGCAUUACAACAUUCCAUCCUCUUAAUGUUCCAACUGGAACAUCAGCGGAACAAAUGGACAAUGAACUGGAAAAAAUGAAGUUUAACAGUAUUCAUUAGGAUUGGCCAAGAGGUAGCCUUCAACAAGCUUGAAGAGGUGCGACGCCUUCUCUUUUCCAGCCUUGACAUGCUCUUCUUUGAUCUCCACGUCACCUUUGGUGUGGUAGUUGCUUGUGCUCUUGAUGAUGGAUCCUCCAUCGGAAGAUGCCACCAAUUUGGUCUCGUAAGAGAUCUUCUCAAUCUUGUCGGACAAGGCAUCUCCUUCGACCAAGCUGUAGCUGUACACAAAGUUGUCUUUGUCAAUCCCAUCGAUCUUGUGGGUCACUGAGCCGAACUGGCUGCCCUCACCAAAAGUGAUCUUCUUGAUGGUUCCUACGCCUCCGUCUCCUUCAAUGAUUUCAGCACACUUAACUGCUUGGGGAGCAAUCUUGGGGAUGAGAUUGUCGGCAUCAAGGAUGAAAGCCUUGAACAAUCUUGGUGGUGGGAUGACGGAGGUGAACUCGGUUUCAUAAGUGAAUACACCCAUUAUCAGCUUACGAGUUUGAGAAAUGAUCAAAAGGAAAGAAGAGUAUUAUGGAAAUUGGUGUUUGAGAAGUUGAAGGAGGUUUGAGUUGUGAGAGAAGAGAAGGGUCAUACUUAUAGAGUAGUCCUGAGUUGAGGUAUGUGCUGGUUGAAGGUUACCAUUAGCUUGUGUGAACUAGUAAAUAGUCCCAGUAGAAGGAUUAUGCUCAAAAUGGUCAAAGAAGGCACUCCCAAUUAAUUUUUAGUGCCAAAUUGGCUAAAGUAGACAAAAGGAAUGGGGUCUUGUUCUAGAUGGUCUUAUUUCAGAGGAAUUUUUAGUAGCUUCCUUCGGUGUUUUCACAAAGUAAUGUCGGUAUCGACAGUCAACAUUGGCUAUCCAUUUUAUUUUUCUCAUGUACUUGCAAUCAGUUGGUUGCAAUCAGUAUGUUAAGUCCGAAUGCUCCUUUUCCAUGUUAGGAUGACAGUUUGAGGUGCCUUCUUAGACUUGAACCAUAGUUCAUUGAUCUUUCAUUGCAUGUCUAUUUUAUAUGUUCUUUGAAAUAAUCCCAUUUUGGCAGCUCAGAUUUGAUCUAGAGGGUGAGCUUCAACCUAACAUAUAAAUACCACCUCUAGGGCUUACACUUUCUCACACCAAUACCAACAUUCUCUAAGCCUCCUCCACAUUUCAAUCUUCUCAUAUUAAGCUCUUUAAUCCUCAUCAUGGGUGUUUUUACAUAUGAAACUGAGUUCACCUCUGCAUCCCACCACCAAGACUCUACAAGGCCUUUGUUCUUGAUGCCGACAACCUCAUCCCCAAAAUUGCCCCACAGGCUGUGAAGAGUACCGAAAUCGUUGAGGGAGAUGGAGGUGUAGGAACCAUCAAGAAGAUUCACCUCGGUGAAGGAAGCGAAUACAGCUAUGUGAAGCAUCAGAUUGAUGGACUUGACAAAGACAACUUUGUUUAUAACUACAGCAUAAUCGAAGGUGAUGCUAUCGGUGACAAGGUUGAGAAAAUCUCUUAUGAGAUUAAGUUGGUGGCAUCUCCAACUGGCUCCAUCAUCAAGAGCACCAGCCACUACCAUUGCAAAGGAGAGGUUGAGAUCAAGGAAGAGCAUGUCAAGGCCGGAAAAGAAAGAGCCGCUGGUUUGUUCAAGAUCAUUGAGAACUACCUUUUGGCCAACCCUGAGGCCUACAACUAAAUCAAACUACGAUAAUGCUAGUAUACUACUGCAUUAUACUGUGUCGUUGUGUCUUGUUCUUUAUAUCAUUUGGUGUGGCUUUGAUCUAUAUUCAUUUCUUUUUCUAUCGUACCAAGACAGAGAAUGUUUUGGAUUUUACUUGGAGUGAUGAGGAAUUGUGUAACGGUUUUACAUUUCAUUUGAACAAGUAAAGAAUAAAAUUUUCUGUUCCUCUUUAAUUUACUCGUUUUAUUCAGGAACAUUAUUAUCAUGAUGAUACUGGAUUCGUUUAUUUUCUUAAUUAUGAUAUUUAAUGUAUUAAGUUUGAUGCCAAUAUAUAUGUAAUUGAUAAUAUUAGCAAACAACUAGAUCUAAUCUAUCUUCAAUCAAAACUUGACAUAUUCGGAUCCGUUAGAAAAACUGAAAUUCAGAACACUUUGAUAUUUGGUGCUAAACUAUCACCCAGUCCUCAAUAUCUUCAUGAUCGUCUUCUUGUGAUUCUGAUUUUGAUUCUUGAUUGGUGGCAGCAUGAGGAGGAUUGCGUUUAAAAUAGCUGCCUACUCUAACCACUAUCGACCAGAGUUUUUCCACUUGUGACUAUUGCGUUGUCCCCAUAUCCCAAACAUCAAAAAUAGAGACCACCCUCUUUGAAAAACCAACGUGAGUUCUUCCAGCCGGAAAAAUCAUCGGGGCAAUAACGAAUAUAAAGAAACAAUUCAUCAUCAUGAUUCUCCUUGUUUGGUUUAAAAGAGGGCUUGUUGUCGAGUCUUAUUAGAGAAGAGAAACUGUUUUCGGGCUUUUGGAUCUCUGAGUAUCGCAUAGGAUGAGUUGAGCCUUUGGAACAUGGCAUUGGCAUUGAGAUCGUUUAGCCUCUUGUCUGGAUGCAACUGCAAAGCCUUUUCCUUACCCGAAGGUGAACCAAGAACACUAUAGUGAUCUAUGACCACUUCCUUCUUCUCCAUCUCCAUAUUUGAAAAUGAUCCUAGGCUAGGCGGCUAGAGUAGAAGUAUACAAACUUGCAGAGUGGUUAUUUUAUUCUAUAUUUAAACCAAAUUUCUAACAGUUAAUUUAAUUUCUUAAUUAAAAAAAAAAACACAGUUAAUUUCUAACGGCUAGUUUUUUAUGGUUAAUUUACAACUUGUAGUUAUUUGCUUCUAAAUGUACAGAGAGAGCCAGUCAGCCAAAUGAGGUUCUAUAAAUGAUUUAAGAAAUUCUUUUUGAGUUAUUUUAAUACAUCGAAAUUAUAUAAUCUUCACGUACUUAAAAGAACAAUAUAACUACACGGUACUUUAAAAAUGGCCAGCCAAAAUUCAACUAGAAAAUGAAGGACAUGAAGCCUCAUUGCUUCGCCUAGUGGUGCUUAGUUUUUUGAGCAUGGUUGCAACUCGAAGGAUUCGGGUUUCUCUAUUGAAGUACUUUUUUCUACUUUGAAGAAUUGGAGUGCUUGUUUUUCUUGUUUUCAAAUUUCAAUAUAUAUGCUUAUCUUUGAAUAGGUGAGUAUAGGAGGAGUAAGGAAACUUGUUCGUUGGAUAGGUUUCGUACUCUUAAGAUCGAGAUAGCCAUGUCUGACGACCCCUUUCAGGUGUUUAUACCCCUUUGAGGUGGUUUAUUUUUGUGCUACUCACUCAACUAUAAAAAAUUUCUGACCAAUUUCCCUAAAUGUGUGUGCGUUUGAAGCUAUUUCAGCCGGCAGUUCAUGAUACGUUUAACAAAAGAGAUUUGAGACUAGAUAUAUAAGGGGCUACCCAGAAAGGAGCCGUUCCUAUAAUCUUUGUAGUCGCUAGGCUGAAAUCCAGGUCCCUGGGAGUGUGGAAUCUAGUUUCAACUAGCAAUAGAGGCAGUAUCGAUUGGUUAGAACUUAGAACCUCAUAUUGCCUCAAGCGCAAGGACAUCCAAACUGUAUCAUCAAUAAACAUUAAAUUCCUCAACACCUGUCUAAUUAGUUUACAAGGCUACGUGCCAGAGCUGCAUUUUUAAAGUGAUCUUUCUAGAAACCAUAAUGUAUGCAAAUGAACAGAUCGAUAUAACAAGUUUGUCAUAGCGAUCAAAGAUUUUGCAGAUAGAAAUAAAUAGUGUGAAACUAUCUUCACCGAAUGAAAUAAAUAGCAUAAAACAAUCCUUUCCAAAACUCCUACACAACCAAAACUACUAAUAGACCAUACAUAUCUUUAAGGACAAAUUACUGGUCACUCCGCUAACUUUAGGGUGGUCGACAGUUUAGUCCAUUAUCUUUCAAUUUCAAUCGAUCACUCUGCUAACUGUCCAAUUUCAUACAAUUCGGCCCAUCCGUUAAGUAGCCGUCCAAAUCGAUAGUUAAGUGCUGACGUGGCACACCAAAAAUCAAUUAAUUAUUCAUUUUCCAUUUCUCUCCCAAAUUUCCAAUUAUCCCCCAAAAUUCCCAAUCUCCCCCAAUCUCAUUUUUCAGCCAACACCAAAUUCCCAGUCAACAUAGUCCGACCCUUCUUCCCUCUUCUCCUUCUUCUUCCUCUCCACAUUUUCCCCUCUAUCCCUCAAACUCUCUCACUCAGCCGCAGCAGAAGAGGAGCAGAGCAAUGGCUUUCAUCAAGGCCUCGAAGCCCCGCGCCUACUUCAAGCGUUUCCAGGUCAAAUACAAGCGCCGNNNNNNNNNNNNNNNNNNNNNNNNNNNNNNNNNNNNNNNNNNNNNNNNNNNNNNNNNNNNNNNNNNNNNNNNNNNNNNNNNNNNNNNNNNNNNNNNNNNNNNNNNNNNNNNNNNNNNNNNNNNNNNNNNNNNNNNNNNNNNNUCUCUCUCUCUCUCCUCCUCUCUCUCUCUCUCUCUCUCUGUGUCUGUGUGUGUGUGUGUGUAAAGGUCAAGUCUUUUGCUGUUCUAUGUGUGCUUGAUCACAGCUGCUUUUGAUUUUGGGAUUUGAAUUGUAAUCUGUUGUGGUUCUUUGUGAUUGUGAGGGUUUAAUUUUGAGAAUUGGAGUAUGAUUUCAGAUGUUUGAUUUAAUGUGUGUGAAUUUGUCGAGGUGAUCAGCUCUUGAAUUUGAGAAGUGUGAGAAAUGUGGAGAGGAAGAAGAAGGAGAAGAGGGAAGAAGAGUCGGACUAUGUUGACUGGGAAUUUGGUGUUGGCUGAAAAAUGAGAUUAGGGGAGAUUGGGAAUUUUGGGGAUAAUUGGAAAUUUGGAAGAGAAAUGGAAAAUGAGAAAAAUGAAUAAUUAAUUGAUUUUUGGUGUGCCACGUCAGCACUUAAUCAUCGAUUUGAACGGCUACUUAACGGAUGGACCUAAUUGUGUGAAAUUGGACAGUUAGCGGAGUGAUCGAUUGAAAUUGAAAGAUGACGGACUAAACUGUCGAGCACCCUAAAGUUAACGGAGUGAUCAGUAAUUUGUUCUAUCUUUAAUCAUCUCCUUCAAUUCUUUCUUAUAGUUUGAGAACAACAUCAAAACUGCUUAGUGAAGGGUUUGCCGUUUGCGCAAAGAGAACGACAAGCAUAUGGUAAUGAAAGUUUAGCAUAUGAUUAGAGAACACUGUGAGGCCAUAAUAUAAGAGAAACGUUUUAAUAUAAAGAGAACGACAAGCAUAUAGUAAUGAAAGUUUAGCAUAUGAUUAGAGAACACUGAGGCCAUAUUUUAAGAGAAACGUUUUAAUAUAACAAGAAAACACGAGGAACAAGCUUGUGUUUCCAGAAAUUUUAGAGACGAAAUUGUAAGGGGCUGCGCGGACGCAAACCCCCUGGCCCCUGGCAACAAAUAAUGACGUAGACUCUCCCUCUUGGGGAGACCUUAAGCGAGCACCCCUCCCAAGUGCAAUGGAGGUCACUUACCUAGGCCAUGAGUCUUCUCGAUAACUAAAGCUUCAAUAUGCAUUUACAAUAAGCCAAUAAUGUACAUUUGGCAUGCAAGUCACCAUGCAUCCUACUCAACCUAUUCUAUAUACUAUAGCAGGAAGGGAAUACAACUGUUCAUAUCUUUAGUGAAUUAUGUUUUUACCCUAAGUUUGGGUUAAUUGUGUUUCUGCCCCAGUUUGGGUUAAGUCGUUUUUGCUUCCGGUUUUCCAUUAAUUACACAACUGCCAUCACCUUCCACAUGUUGGGAUGCUGCAUGUUGUUUCCACGUGGUGCGAUCUUUUUAUUCCACAUAGCUGCUAUGUGUCUCAUCUUGAGGUUAAUCCCAUUCUCCACGCAUUUGGACCUCGCUCUCUCCAUCUCUUGCGCACGAUGCUAUUGCUGUCGUUGAACAAAAAGGGUGCCCAAGCUUCUCUCCCUCAUGUUCAGAUCAAACCCGGGGCAAGCUGGAAGAACAUGGAUUUGGGUAAUUGGUUUUCAGUUUGGUUCUCNNNNNNNNNNNNNNNNNNNNNNNNNNNNNNNNNNNNNNNNNNNNNNNNNNNNNNNNNNNNNNNNNNNNNNNNNNNNNNNNNNNNNNNNNNNNNNNNNNNNNNNNNNNNNNNNNNNNNNNNNNNNNNNNNNNNNNNNNNNNNNNNNNNNNNNNNNNNNNNNNNNNNNNNNNNNNNNNNNNNNNNNNNNNNNNNNNNNNNNNNNNNNNNNNNNNNNNNNNNNNNNNNNNNNNNNNNNNNNNNNNNNNNNNNNNNNNNNNNNNNNNNNNNNNNNNNNNNNNNNNNNNNNNNNNNNNNNNNNNNNNNNNNNNNNNNNNNNNNNNNNNNNNNNNNNNNNNNNNNNNNNNNNNNNNNNNNNNNNNNNNNNNNNNNNNNNNNNNNNNNNNNNNNNNNNNNNNNNNNNNNNNNNNNNNNNNNNNNNNNNNNNNNNNNNNNNNNNNNNNNNNNNNNNNNNNNNNNNNNNNNNNNNNNNNNNNNNNNNNNNNNNNNNNNNNNNNNNNNNNNNNNNNNNNNNNNNNNNNNNNNNNNNNNNNNNNNNNNNNNNNNNNNNNNNNNNNNNNNNNNNNNNNNNNNNNNNNNNNNNNNNNNNNNNNNNNNNNNNNNNNNNNNNNNNNNNNNNNNNNNNNNNNNNNNNNNNNNNNNNNNNNNNNNNNNNNNNNNNNNNNNNNNNNNNNNNNNNNNNNNNNNNNNNNNNNNNNNNNNNNNNNNNNNNNNNNNNNNNNNNNNNNNNNNNNNNNNNNNNNNNNNNNNNNNNNNNNNNNNNNNNNNNNNNNNNNNNNNNNNNNNNNNNNNNNNNNNNNNNNNNNNNNNNNNNNNNNNNNNNNNNNNNNNNNNNNNNNNNNNNNNNNNNNNNNNNNNNNNNNNNNNNNNNNNNNNNNNNNNNNNNNNNNNNNNNNNNNNNNNNNNNNNNNNNNNNNNNNNNNNNNNNNNNNNNNNNNNNNNNNNNNNNNNNNNNNNNNNNNNNNNNNNNNNNNNNNNNNNNNNNNNNNNNNNNNNNNNNNNNNNNNNNNNNNNNNNNNNNNNNNNNNNNNNNNNNNNNNNNNNNNNNNNNNNNNNNNNNNNNNNNNNNNNNNNNNNNNNNNNNNNNNNNNNNNNNNNNNNNNNNNNNNNNNNNNNNNNNNNNNNNNNNNNNNNNNNNNNNNNNNNNNNNNNNNNNNNNNNNNNNNNNNNNNNNNNNNNNNNNNNNNNNNNNNNNNNNNNNNNNNNNNNNNNNNNNNNNNNNNNNNNNNNNNNNNNNNNNNNNNNNNNNNNNNNNNNNNNNNNNNNNNNNNNNNNNNNNNNNNNNNNNNNNNNNNNNNNNNNNNNNNNNNNNNNNNNNNNNNNNNNNNNNNNNNNNNNNNNNNNNNNNNNNNNNNNNNNNNNNNNNNNNNNNNNNNNNNNNNNNNNNNNNNNNNNNNNNNNNNNNNNNNNNNNNNNNNNNNNNNNNNNNNNNNNNNNNNNNNNNNNNNNNNNNNNNNNNNNNNNNNNNNNNNNNNNNNNNNNNNNNNNNNNNNNNNNNNNNNNNNNNNNNNNNNNNNNNNNNNNNNNNNNNNNNNNNNNNNNNNNNNNNNNNNNNNNNNNNNNNNNNNNNNNNNNNNNNNNNNNNNNNNNNNNNNNNNNNNNNNNNNNNNNNNNNNNNNNNNNNNNNNNNNNNNNNNNNNNNNNNNNNNNNNNNNNNNNNNNNNNNNNNNNNNNNNNNNNNNNNNNNNNNNNNNNNNNNNNNNNNNNNNNNNNNNNNNNNNNNNNNNNNNNNNNNNNNNNNNNNNNNNNNNNNNNNNNNNNNNNNNNNNNNNNNNNNNNNNNNNNNNNNNNNNNNNNNNNNNNNNNNNNNNNNNNNNNNNNNNNNNNNNNNNNNNNNNNNNNNNNNNNNNNNNNNNNNNNNNNNNNNNNNNNNNNNNNNNNNNNNNNNNNNNNNNNNNNNNNNNNNNNNNNNNNNNNNNNNNNNNNNNNNNNNNNNNNNNNNNNNNNNNNNNNNNNNNNNNNNNNNNNNNNNNNNNNNNNNNNNNNNNNNNNNNNNNNNNNNNNNNNNNNNNNNNNNNNNNNNNNNNNNNNNNNNNNNNNNNNNNNNNNNNNNNNNNNNNNNNNNNNNNNNNNNNNNNNNNNNNNNNNNNNNNNNNNNNNNAUUUUGUUCGGUGAAGGUGAUGCCCGCGCGUUUGAAUUGCACACGCAAGCUUAAUGUUAAUGGCACCUACUAUGAUGUCCCAUGUACAUAUGAAAAUUGGUUCGUGUCUUGCUAAAAAAUGUCCUUCCGUACCAAUUUAUAUAUCUUACAAUUGCAAACUGUUAUUUCCACUUAUAAUGCUAGAAAAUCACAAUAUUGAGAUGGACAUGGUAGUCAAUGUACUCACCAUGUACUCGCAAUAUUUUCAGGUUUUUAUCACUGUCCAAGUCAGUGCAGUUUGUCCAUCACCUAUGUGAUAUUGCUGCAUUCUAUCGGCAUAUCAAACAACAACAAUAUUGAACAAAACAGAAGCAGUUGCGGUAGUUAAUAUCCGGCAUUGCAAACCGCGGCAACGCGGGCAUCACCUAGUGGCAUACUAAUCCUCCUGAGCCUCCAUACUGGUUCAAGACUUCAUGAUUGACAAAGAAGAGGAUUUCAUGUAUUCUUGUAAUUCCUCUACCGCAUUCAGAUUAGGUGCUCCGGACAUCUGACUGAUCAAAUUCAUCAGUUAGCCAAAACCAUACCAAGCAAGACACAAACGAAAUUUGUUGACUAAGCUCCGAGGGGCACCCACAAAGGUGCACCCUUCCAAAAAUAGACGUAUGCCACUUAAAACGUCGCACACACGGUAUUCUUUAGUAAAAGGCGAAAGAAUAGUUCGCUUUGUGUUCAACGCAUGGCUCCGUGAGUCUCUCCUUCGCAAAGCUGCUUUCUUCUAUACCCCUCGCCUUAGAGAUACACAGCUCUUAUUCGAUGUGGUACUUGUAGCAUCUGUCAUUAAUUUAUUACUGCGUUUCACGACCUUCAUUUGUGACUUGAUAGACUCUGAUAUUACAUUAUGCCAAUCCCACAUAGUUUUCUCUAAAAGCUGGCUGGCUCUACUACCGAGCAAAAAGUCUCGCCCAUCCCAUCGGAGAGACUAGCUUCACCUAACCAAUUCACUGGAAAGUGUUGGCAGAAUCCUGUAGAAUAUUAUUUUGGAUGCUAACAGAAGCCAGAGGCUUAGAAGGAAGCUAAUAGUGAGUAUGAUUCAUCAUUCAUCAUAACCAUAAAAAUUCAGCCUAACCGGCACUUCAACUAAAAAAGAAAUCAGAAUUCCAAUAAAAAAUGAAGCUACGUAUUCGAUGGUUUUCUUGUUCCGUUCUUAUAUUGUGGUUCAAACUCUAAAGUUUAAAGUAAUGUCAAGAAGUUGUAAUUUCUGUAGGACUGCCAAGCUGCACAGAAAUGUCAGUACAUACUUGAGGUGACAUCGAUAUUACUCGCGGUACUCGUGUAAAUAUCAGCUGGCUUCACUAGAGAGGGCUGAAAAAGAACAAAAAAGAAAAAUAUCAAUAAAACUUAGGGAGCCUAAAGCAAAUCCCUUUCAACCGUUGGUAUUUGUUACAUCUAUAAUUCUAUAGCGCAACACUGCAAGUGCAGAAGAUUAAGCUGAAGAACCAAUCAAUGUGUUGAACAGCAGUGAACUGGAUAUAUGCCUCGAAUCACACAGAAUUAUAGAAAUCGAUACCUUCCAUUUUCCUCACAUAAGUAAUCAGAGCGACAAAUAAACUUUCAUCACAUAAGUCUACGUAAUCAGAGAGACAAAUAAACUGCGCAUUAGAAUCGAGUUUUUUACGUUGGUGUUGUUUGCAUUCAGAUUACCUAAGCUACCCUCUUUCUGCAGACAAUUGAUGUUGUUAACAUAGUGCAGUAAUUUAGUGUAAUGUAGAAAAAUUGUGCUGCACAGCAAAAUUGCCUUUUCUCUCUAAUGGGAAAACUAUAAAUCAAGACUAGUACAAUACUGGGCAAAAUCAGAGAAGCAAAUAACAAAAGAUCAUCAGAACCAGUCUCAUUCAAAUUGGCAUUAUGCAAUAGAGCAGUAAAAAGACAAAAUAACCAGGGCGAAAACAUAUACCUGGCACUACACUAAUCAUUUACCGUGCGGUAUAUAUUACUUCUGCAUCAAUGAUUUGGACUUGGAAUUGGCAGGGUGGGCCAUGCUUUGCUGUAGUGCAACAAAGAUGACACGUGUGAACCCCAAUAACAGAUUGUGAUAGACUCAUCCCUUUAGAAAAUUAAUUUAAUAUUAUAUGAACCACGUGUAAGCCCCACUCACCCUUUAAAAAAAUUAAUUUAAUAUAGUGCGAACCUUUAAUCCAGAUAUUAAUCCUACUAUUAAACUGAUAAGAACAGAUACUACACUUGAUCUUAGCCAAAAGACCGAGAAAGGUAUGCGUUGUACAGCCAAGCUCUUCGUUCUUUAUAAUCUCAUGGGUUUCCAUACUUUGCCACAAAACUGAUGUGGGAGCGUAAACCAUUUCAACUAGUGCCAAAGAACUGCAGGGGCUGGGAAGGCUCUUUGCCUAUGAGUCUACCACUCUUAUAAACACAGUCGACAAAUAUCAAGAUUAAAUGGCAUUCUAUUACAUCUCAGAAUCAUAAUCAAAAGGGAAUCCAGGGCUCCCAUCUGCAAGAGCUACUGGAAAGAAGGAUGACAUAUUUUUGACACCCAAAGGUGAGAAGCAAGCUUGCUCCUCUUGUUAUAAUCAGAAGAAAACAUACAGUCAUAUUUAACCGACUCUUUCCUUUGUUUAACAUCAUACAGUCUCUUAAUCCAUUAACUCAAUGUUCAAAGACCAACUUUGUAAAUCGGAUAUAGUAACCAAAAAGUCCGAAAACACUUCCUAUACACGAAAGUAGGGAAACUGAGGGGGUUUUAUGUAUUUAUGUAUGUUUUGCCACAAAUAAGGUAGCAACUAAAUCUACAUACACCCAGAUUUCUUUACACCAGUAUAUUCAGAGACCAAGGGUUGGUUUGUUGUGAUGAUGAGCUAGGGUGAAAAAAGAGGCAAAUAGCAGAUAUGUCAUCCUUCGCAAUGCCUCUUCCCUUAGAAGAGGCAAAUAGCAGAUUUGUAUGUCUUCUGUGUUGGAGAUCACAUCCCAAACCUGAAUACAAAAGCAAAUAAGUAAUAUCAAGCCUUACAUAGCCUUUUUGUUCAUAUAUGUAAAUCUUGUACAAAAUUUGAAAGGUUGUAGACUCUUUAACAUUUAAAUUGAUGACAAUAUUGAGUCUGAGGUUUGACAUGAUGAGAGCCAAAAACAAAAUGAAGCUUGGAUAGCAAUGGCUGACAUUUUGGAGAGAAGCAUUGUAGUUUUUUUCGACAAACAGAGAAGAGUUGUAGUUGAUUCGGUGCGGCUGGUGCAAACUUUGCAGUCUGGAGUUUUUCAUUGUUGUCCCUUGGACUGGUUUUGAAUGACGGGUCAGCUUUGUAUUAAAGUCCAAGCAGACACAAUCACUCUUUGUCCAAGCGGAGAAACUGGAUCCUAUGUGUUGAAGGCUUUUUAUAGUCUCAUUAUGUACAUAUACGUCAUCCAUGUUCCAAGUACAGCAGUAUCAAAAAAAAUGAAGACCUUGAUAUACUUACUACCUGCAUUGCCAACAACAUGCUGUACUAAAACUAUGAAAUUCAUUGUAUACAUAUAUAUAACCAAUAUCUUCACUGAAAUAAAUAGCAUAACACAACAUCCGUUCCAAAGACUCAUACACAACCAAAAACUACCAAUAAACCAUACAUAUCCUUAACUACUAUUGUUUCAACCGAACCCUUUGGUCUAGUAAAGUGCUAGGCUAAACGCCUGACGAAAAUAGAUAGUGUGAAGUUCACCUACUACAGGAAAGUUACUCCAUAUAAAACAGUGAUUUAGACGCCAAAACUUUCAUUCAUCCUCUUCACAUCACUUUGAUUCCAUAAGAUAGUAUUUACUCCAUGUUAAUCAUUAUCGCCAAAACCCCAAGUCGCAGAGAACAUAGAAUUUCAUACAAAAGCUGGCCAACAAAAGAAUGAAGAGCAAAAAGAUCAACUUCAGGUUUUAGUAUAAUUUUGCUACAAGGACCGCUAAGGCUUUUGAGAUACUAAUUUGAACCCUCAUUGAGGCUUGAAUUAUGAGUUGUUUCUGAAAACUUUAGAACAUGAAAAUUGUAGGAUGACUUGUUUCUGAAAACUUCCAUGAUCACCAAGGGAAUCUGAUUCUAACCUUUGCCAGAAAUAUUAAUCCUUCCUUUUCCAUAGAGAAGGUUAUAUAUAGGAGUCUCCCAUGCAUUUUGUAAACAUUUCAAAUUUUCAUCUCAAUGCUGAGAAUCAUGUCGUUCUGUUACUGCAUUGAGAUUAGGUGCUGCUAGCAUUUGAUUGUGAUCAAAUUUUCAUGUCAUAAAUUUUGUAAUUUUGUCGGAAAGUGUUGGCACAAUCGUGUCUAAAAAAAUAUUUUGGAUGCUAAUAGAGAGCCACAGAGGCUUACAAGGAAGCUAAUAGGUGAGUGUGAUUUAUCAUUCAUCUGAACAUAAAAAUUUGCCCAACUGGCACUUUCAACUAAAAGAGAAGUUAGAAUUCCAAUAAAAAUGAAGCUGCAUGUCUGAGGGUUUUCUGGUUUGUUUCUUUUUGUGGUUCAAACUUUAAAGUAAUGUCAAGAAGCUGUAAUCUCUGUAGAGGGACAGCAAAGCUGCAUAAAAACAUACGUGAAGCAACAUCGAUAUCCUGCAAAUAUCAGUUGGCCUCACUGGAGAGUGCUGAAAAGGAACAAACAAGAAAAACAUAAAUAGAACUUAGGGAGCCAAAAGUAAAGUGUUUACUACCUUCUGUAGUGCAAGACUGCAAGAGCAGAAGAUUAAGCUGAAGAACCAAUUGACGUCUUGAACAGCACUAAGCUGGAUAUAUGCCUCGAGUCGCACAAAAUUACUGAAAUCAGAACUUUUAUUUUCGUCACUUAAGUCUUAUCAGUGUAUGUAAUCAGAGCAACGUAUAACACAGCAAUUGCCUUUGAGCUUUAUGUCGAAUGGGAAAUUUUAAGUACAACACUGGCAAAAUCAGAGAAGCAAAUAACAAUUUAUCAUCAGAGCCGUUCUAUUCACCUGCAUAAAUAAUUUGACUUAGAUUUGAUAGGGUGCGCCAAGCUUUGCUGUAGUGCAACGCAAAGAUGACACAUGUAAGCCCCAAUAGCAAGCUAUUGUUAUGGACUCACCCCUUUAAAAAAUUAAUUUAAUAUCGUAUGAACCAUUGGUCCACAUAUCAGAUAUUAAACUGAUAAGAACAGAUACUACACUUGAUCUUAGCCAAAAGGCCGAGAAAGGUAUGCAUUAUACAGCCAAGCUCUUCGCUUUUUAUAGUCUCAUGGGCUUCCAUAUCUUGCCACAAAACCGAUGUGGGAGUGUGAACUAUAUCAAAUACUGCCAAAGAACUGCAGGGGAUGGGUGUUGAAGGCUCGUUGCCUAUGCGUCUAUCACUCUUAUAAACACAGUCGACAAAUAUUAAGAUUAAAUGGCAUUCUAUUAAUUAAAUCUUGGAAUCAUAAUCAAAAGGAAAUCCAGGGCUCCCAUCUGCAAGAGCUACUGGUAAGAAGAAGAAAUAUUUGUGACACUCAGAAGAUAACAUACAUAUGUAACCGACUCUUUCCUUUGUUUUGAACAUCAGUCUCUUAAUCUAUGAACUCAUUGUUCUAAGACCAACUUUGUAAAUCGGAUAUAGUAACCAAAAACUGGUUAACAUUACUUGCUAUACACCGAAGUAGGAAAAGUAAGGAGUUUUAUGAGAUAUACAUGUAUUGCCACACAUGAGGAAGCAAUUAAACCUACAUACACCCAGAUUUCUUCACACCAGGAUAUUCAGAGACCAGAGGGUUGGUUUGGUGUGAUGAUGAGUUAGGGUUAAAGAAGAGGCAAAUAGCAGAGAUGUCAUCCAUUGCAAUGCCUCUUCUCUUUGACUUCCAUGCAAGAGCAGCACAUGCCACCAAUCUUUUUGCUGCUUUGUUCCUAUCUGGUGCUGAAGAAACUAUUUGUAUAGCUUCUUUGUUGGAGAUAACAUCCCAUACCUGAGUACAAAAUCAAAUAAGUAAUAUCAAGUUUUUGGAUAGUCCUUAUUAUUCAUAUAUGCCAGAACAAAAUUGAUAAAUAAUUAAAUAUAGAAGAAUUGCGUGCAUACCCCAUCUGUUGCUAAAAUGACAAACAGGUCUUUUCUGGUUAUGUAUCUUUGGCUCACAUCAGGCACAGAAAUAAGCCCAAAGUCCUUAACACAAUAGUCACCAAAAGCUCUGGAUACUGCCAGUCCAGGUGUCUUCCCGUUUGGCAUCCACACCCUGUAAGUGCCCGGUUCAUCAGGUAGACAAAACACUCGUCCAUUGGACCUUCUGAUUCUCUCAGCCUCCUCUACAACAUAUAUAGAAAUGCAAGUAUGAGAGAGGUGUAUUUGACUAAGACUUAAUACAUAUAUACCAUUAUACCUUGGCGUGGUGAAGUGAAGAUUGAUAAAGAAUGCUUACGAGGCAAGUUAGGCUUGAAAUCGACUGUAAGCUGGACAGGUACCAAGCUUCCAUCUUCUGAAGUGGUGGCCAAAACAGCUCGAGAGUCGCCCACAUGUGCUGUGAUGAGAAGUUCACCCUGAAGAUAUUGAUGGUGAUAUUUUAGUUAACUUAUUGGAAGGAAUAACUAAAGUUUAGGUGAGCAUACAUCUCAGACCUACUAAUCCAAGCUGUUUGGGUAGUUCUAUAGAAUCUUACACCUUCUGUAUUUUCAUCUUAAAAACAAUUAUUAGUCAACUCUAUAUACAGACCAUCAUUAAACACCUAAGCAUAGAUUCUUCAGUAGAAGUUUAGAUGUCACUUAUGUGCAUAUUAGUUCUGAUGUCCUCUAGAUGCAUAUCUGGACAAAUCAGCAUACCUAUUGUUAAUAGCUUACUAUAUAUGUUACAUGAAGAACCAAAACAGAAGAAUAGCAAAGAAAGCACUUAGGACCAAGAAAAGGGUUUUGGGCAAGAAAUAGGUCAAUAACUUGAAUUUCCUAGAAAUAUAAUACAAUUUGUACCUGCUUAAUAAUUGUCAGCGCUGUAGUACCACUUCGAUAGGAAUCGAUUUUAGAAGAAUGCUUAAGCUCCUGGUCUAUGGCAGCAUAUGUUUUAAGAAAGGAUUGCUUCCAUGUAUUGUAUCGAUGGAGUUUCCGAUCCAUCUCCAUUUUAAAAUUCAGGUCAAGUGAUGUUAAACUGAGAGUUUCUUGCCAAUUGCACAACAGAGAAGAAGGCAUAGACUGCCUGACCCUUCUGCUAACUAGAUGUCCCCAUUGUCCAUGCCCAUCAAACACUCCACAAAAGAUCAUGUCUUCUUGGCACCCAAAUUCCUAUUAAUCAAACCCAACUUAUCAAACUAUUGAAGAUCUUAAAAUCUUAAAUCAUGAAACAAGCAUCUAACAGUAACUCAACCUCAACCUUUUCAAAUAUUUCACAGGAACUUACCUCCCAUAUGACCAAGCAAUCCUGAUUGAUACCCUUUUGGCCUCUCUUGGAGCAAAUAGAAGAAAAAUUGUUAGACUUGUCAGAAUUAACAAUCCCAGAAGAACUCAAAACCAGCUCAUUCUUUUUUGCUUCCUUUGCCAAUGCUUCUGCAGUCUCCUUUGCCACAUCAUUAUGGCAAUUCUUUGUCUUCUUGUUCGAGAUGGUUCUUCCCAAUCCAUCAAGGAAAGAUGGAAAAAGCACCAUAACUCCUACACAAUGCAAAAUCCAGAUCAUUAUGCUAACUACAAAACUUCAAUAUGCAAGUACUGCAAUUUCAAAUUCAUCAGCUUAAGUUUUCAUGCAAAUACUUGAGAUGAUGAAUUGUAAACAACAUAGAAAACCGGCCAGUAUUCAAAACCUUGUAUGUUCUGCUGAUUCUGUACAAGAAAACUGAAAACUUCCACCAGAAACCUCCUACGAGCUGCCGGAAGAUGAUGUCAUGAGCUUGCUGCUGAUCCAAGAAGAAACAGGCGAUGCCUUGUCCUGCUUGUACUCCAUUUUCAUCAUCUUCGUUAUUUUCAUUUGCAAACACAAGUAUAACUACGCAAAAGCAAACUUUGAGACAAACUAGAAGCUAGUGUGAAAUUACUUUCACGUCUUUGCCUUGGCCACCAUGUUUUGCACACUUCAUGGACCUUUUAGACAUUACAACAGAGAGAUCGAGUUACAUCAACAUUGUCAUAUGAUAUCUAUCAUCGUUGCCCGCCCACUUUGGUCAUGCUUUUAGUUUAAGAUAUCAGAUAGCUCAUGGAUUUGGAUGCAUUAGUGGGAUCAUCAUUACUUAAUCAGAAUAUUCCACACAAAGUUGUCCUUAAACACUAAACAAAUAGCAAAGACUAGUAUGCAGUGUGAUUAAAAAUAGUGAUUGAAUUCAUGUGGAGGAGAUUAGAUUCUGACUAAAGAUGUAUUAUCUUGAAAGAGUAUUCUAGAAAAGUAAGUGUUCAUUACAAAGCUGAGAUGGUGAAAGCUUUAUUAACAAGAUAUAUUUUGUUGUGGAGCAAAAGCUUCAUUGGAUGAGGCAUAAAAAGAUCAUUGAGAUCCAAUUACCAGAUACCAAACCAAACACAAGGCUAUGAAUGAACCACUUGUUCUUGAUAGACCAUACACAUCAAAUACUGGGUGGUCAAAAGAAUUAGGUGAUUGUGACACUAUAAUGAUCCCAAAAACAUAGCAGAAGUGGUUGGACCAUAAAUCACAUAUGCAUAUGCAUGCUAGAUUCUGGUGCUAGAUAAUGGUGGGGGUGGGGUGUUACACACAAGCUUUUAGGAAGGCAGAUCUCAUUCAACUUGCACAUAUUGUGGUGGUUGUUUGUUUCUUUUCACACCAAAUAUCUUAUGCAGCUAGCUGAGCAUGACUUGCAAUUGCAAUGACAUUAGCAAGAGGUUUUGAGUAAAUGGUUGAAUUUAACAUACCAAACCAGUCUUCUCAUCAUCUCAUGACUCGUACUCCAUUUGGUUCAAUAGUUUUAUAGUGUCCCGGGUUCAAAAGUUUUUUAGUGUCCCAAAGUAUUGACACUCCGAGAUGUUAGUCGUUCGAUCAGUGAAUACAUCCGGUGUGCCGCGUACGUAUAUUGAAACUGAACCACUUAUAUCUGCGGGGUUUAAAAACUUCGGAUUUAAGCUAAAUCAAAUUAAUUGGUAAAGAACUCAAUGGGUACAGAUGCAACUAUCAACGAGCCUCUGGAAUAACCACUAAAAUUUGAGACUAACAAUGGGUUGCAUAAUUCACUCUAAAAUCAUGUAGGGCAUGUAACAUAUAUAUUGGUCUACUGAGAUGGUUCACUUUACAUGACAGAACUAUUUGCUUCUUCCUUUUCCAGUUCUCUAAUCAACAAUUCCAUCAUUUUCUUAUACAUAGGCAUAUAGUGAUCAUUGAUCAUCGUUCUAGAAAGUCGGAGCUUACUGUACAGUUCUCUACGUGUCUCAUAUAUACCAACAUGCUCUUCAGUCGGUCCAUCAUGUUCUAAAUCAGGAGAAUCGGAUGAAGUUACUGAAACAAUGUGCAUGAUUCUGCCAGGGGGGUAGAAACGGUGGCUCUCUGAAAUAUCUGAGGAAGAGAUUGGUGUAUUGCUUUCUGCAACAUCAACCAGCAUAUUUUCUUCCUCAGUUAUUUCUUUAACUGCAGCAGCUUCUUCCUCCGCGGCCUCAACAUUGAUUUCAUUCCCCUGCCUUUUAAGCUCCUUCUCCAGUUCAUACCACAAUUCACCUUCAGUAAUGUCUUCGACAGCAGAUGUGGUUGGAUCUUCAUGCACUGGCAAAAGCUGCUCCUCUUCAUCAGUAUCAUCAUGACCUGAUCCACCAGAACUACACUCCAUAUUGUCCAGCAUUGGGUCAGUGGUUGUUUCUUCGACCAGAGAUUCAGAAACCCUUUCACAUACCACAGAAGUUUCAAGCGAAUCACCCAUGUUAGUGUUAAGUGACUGACCCACAUUACGGCGACGUGCACCCAUGCAAGACCAAGACGAUAUAGAUGAACGGGUUCUAACAACAGCUAGGGCAACAUUUUGUGCACGCUUCAUCACAACCUACAAGUUGCAAACAAAAGAGCCUUUCAUUAUACAGAUAAAGUAGAAGACAAAACCGUAAAAGUUUGCAUGGGGAGCAUUAUGUUUUUCAUUUGAAUGAGUCAAUUGCUAUAUUACCAGUCCUUCUCAAAGAAACGCCGACACUUAUUAACAUAAACAAGCCAGUGAAUUACAUUUCUAGCAUGCAACAGAUCUAAUAACAGUACAAACCAACAAAAACCGUGUAAUUAACCAUCAAGUCAAAUAAGAGAAGGAUUAGAUUCACCUGAGUACUGCUGGAUACUGGCCUCAAUAGUGCACCUGCACCAGCAACCCUGGCUUUUGCACUAGCUAUAGAGGGUAGAUGAGAACCCAGAGCGGUUGCUGAGCGAUAAACAACAUUUAAAACCCGUGUACGCUCAACCUGAUCCCGCAAAUCAUUUAACCAUGAUGAAGCUGUGACCUGAUAUGAGGACAAAUUCAAUAACAAUUAUAAAAAUGACUAGAAGAUGAAAUUAGUACAAUAGUACCAUAUACAUAUUUACAUAUUUAUAAACAAGAAAACUACACUAUCCAUUUUGAAUCUGGAGAAAACUCCACCUCAGUGCGGAGGUCAUCAACAGAAGCUGCUGAGAAUGUAGGCACCAGGUCAGAGCCAUUGAUGAUAGUAGUGAUGAAGUGCUUGCCAGAUUCUGCCAACUCCAUUGUUAUGCAGGCAGCUGCAAAGUGACAAUUAUAGUAUAAGCAAAUGUUAUUUUUUAUUUUAUACUAAAGCUGACAUAGAGGAGACCAGGGAAAGCAUAUUCCAGAAGAAAUUUAGCUGAGAUAGAUGGCAUUGGCAUAUAUGUGUUAUUAUACCUGUGGCAUUUAUUUGCAUUUCAAUGAACAAAUGGACAUGGAAUGCUUUAACCAUUAGAAAAGACCGAAGACAUGCCUGGAGCAAAUGUAAUGCAAGUAGUUGAAGAGAAUUCUCUCUGUUCCCGAAGAAUGUAUGUUAAUAAAGCAGCUGUACCACCCCCCAGUGAAUGUCCAACAACCUGAAAUGCAAAUUUCAACAUUAGAUAGUAAAAUAACAGAGAUGAUAAUCUUUCUCUCAUAUGAUUAUACAUAUAUCGCCAGUUCCAAAACUAAAGUUUAUGCUAUAUGAACCCUAGAUUUUAUGGCAAAUUAGUCUGCAUGAAACAUCUAUAUCAGGAAAAAUGACAGAACAGUUUUUACUUGUCCUUCAAAAGAUGUAUGUUACUUAAUUGUGCAGUCCUUUAAAACAAUGGUUAACUUUGAAAUUUGAAUACAUAAAGUCAAAUCUAACUAUGAAACUCUGAACUCAUGAUUUUUUUAUGAGAAACAAAAAAAUUAUGUAAACAAAAGUAGAUAUUGCAUGUAGCGGAUAGGCGUCCACUGCUAUCUCUAACAAACUAAACAAAUUUUGGGAAAAAACAGACAAAACGAAAAUUGAAAAUGCUAAUAGAAACCAACACCCAAAGGGAAGAAAAAUACUGAACCUCAAAGAUUCAGCACAUCUUCACAGUGCCAAACAACCCCCGCCCACCCACACACAAAAAAAAGGAAACUAUGCAGAGAACUUAUAGCUCUCACCACAUAUAACUUCAGACUCCAUAAACUCAUAAAGAAUUUACCAUAAGGCCAUUGUAGUCGGACAAUAUGGCAGCAAAUGAUUUUACUUCAGCAGCCUUUUUAUACAUCGAAGUAUCAGACACAAAGUCUGAGGGUCACCAAGAAGGCUGUCUCUAUUAAGCAAAAUUACAUGUAUUUAUCUUCCCAUGAGCACUAACCCAAGCUACACUCACACAUUACGAGGUAAUGUAGCUUCAUUACAACAGCAGACUUGUGCAUUAUUUGCUUUAAAAAGGACUUGCAAGAGAUAACUCUUGAAUGCUCGAACCUCUAUGAUCAUUGAUCCUACCUAUAUGGUACCAGCACUAUAUUUUCCAAACAAACCAAAAAUUCAGACAUCUCUACCACCUCUUAUUCAUUCAAUUUUUCCAUAACCCAAAAUCCCAAACCACAGGAUAAGAAGAAGAAUCUACACAUAAUCUGACAACAUGAGUGUGUAAAAAGGGAUAGUCUGUAUAUUCAAGGAAAAGGGUACAUGCUUAAUUUACUGGCAAGAUCAUUUUGAUUGCUUAAUCACAAGACCUUCUUGAAAGAUAACAGUAAAUAUUUUUAUUAGAACAUGUAUUGGAAAAAUUACUCAGUUUACUUCAGUUCAUAAACAAAAAUGUAACACUAGGAGUGAAGCUAGAGAACAGUAAGAAGACAAAAGAUGCAGCAUAAAUCUAAGAUAUAAUACAUGGAGAAUCAAAACAGAUAGAAAUAGGAAAAAGAAUUCUGAUGCAUAGUUCAUGAAAUGGCAUUCACCUUUACUGUAUACUCGGGGUAUUCACCAAGAGCCUUAAGCAAGCAAGGAGUACUGAGCUUAGCAAUCCAACGGGCUGCAGCAACCAUCCCACAGUGAGCAUAUCCUAGGACUAAGUUGCUUAUUCCACCAUCAUGCAGAACCGAAUGGUGAAAAGGGGCCACUGCACCGGUUGCAGCAGUUAGUGUGUCUUUGAUGCUAUGAGUACCACGUAUUAACAAAAGGAAGCAUUUUGAAUCUUUAUCACGUAGAAUUGUGAAUGCAGGCUUCAGAAGCUGCAACAUUAUGUUACGAGUUAAUAAUGGCCAACAACCAUUAACUAGUACAAAAGUAAAUUAAAAAAGAGGACUGCUUUAUCACAAGGAUCAUAGAAUUAUUAUGGAGUUUUCAUGCAACUGUGUGCUUCUGCACCAUACUUAGAUUCUUUCCCAGAUAUCCCCUUUACUCAAUUCAUUUUCUUUUGGCAUGAGUGAUGUUACGGAAUAUGGACUAACAGUUUCAGCUGUCAGUUUUUCCUUGUUAUGAAACUACUUUCUGCUGCUAUGGAUUUAUUCUCAAGAAAGACGCAAGCUAUGAAACAACUCAGAAGCACAAUGCAACCACAUGACCAAAUGCAGUCACAUAGAACAAUGUCAAGAGCUUACUAACCGCAGCUUUGGGCUUCUGAAAAAGAACAUCCUCCAUGGAGAAACCGCCGGACUCUAAAAACACCGGAAAUGGUUUCUUGGAAAACAAAUAACAAAGCGUCAACAGCUUCAAGUAAUAAUUUAGCUCCUCAAUAAUCUUAGACCCUCUGAGCUGCACACUGUCACUACCAGCAUACACACUCGCCACUUGUAAAUUACCCUGCACAUCAAAAAAAAUAUCCAUAAACCCUAACGCAAAUUCCAAAAAGCUCCAACAUUUGAAGCCAAAUUACUCACCUGCCUACGCAUGAGGUAGUUAAUACCAAACGCCAAGUCGCCGAUCGGCCAUUUCCCUAGAGUCUCGGAGUAAGUGAAACGCAGCGUAUCGGACAAGGUGGACAUUGACUCGAUCCACGUGGCCGGCGCCUGAGCCGGCCGCCUUGAAAGCCUCCGCCUCAACGAUCUCGACUUGGAGAAGUCACCGCUCCCGCUGUCGUCGUCUUCCUCCUCAGAGCCGUCUUUCGAGGCAGCUCUCCGGCCGAACAUGUAGUACAGAAUCACGGCUGCUCCGGCGGCGGUCGCCAUUGUCCCCGCCGCCAUUAGAUCGAAGCUUCGAGAUUCAAGAGCUCACAAAUACACAGCAUUCACGAAAUCAAAACCCUAGCACAAAUCGUAAUGAGCUGAAAUUGAAAUUGAAAUUUAAUGAAAUGAGGGAAGCGAAGAAUCGGAGAGAGAUGGAUUUGGGGGUCAGUGGUUUCCGGGAGAGGAAGGUAGUGUGUGUACAGAGAAUGUGCGCCAAUAAAGAAAACAACUGUGGAAAAUGUCGGUUUUGUCCCUGCCGUGGAGUAGUUGACUCUACGUUUUUGAACGAAGUGGCGUCGGGAAUUAGUUACUUUGAGGAGGUGCAGUUUCGUCACGCAGGGAGUUUUGUUGUUUUUUACGUGUUGAUCGAAGUGGAAGGGAGCGCACGUUAGCGAUCGGAGUUUUUUUUUUUUUUUUAGGGGGGUCGACGAGUGGUGUGAUAUGGGGGAAGUGGGCCCGGGUGUGGGAUAAGAGCUGGAUCCAACCCAUUCAAGUGUUGGAGUUUCUAUCCGUUUUCCCAUUGGGUGGGCCCGGGAGGAGGUGACAAGGCCCAAAAUGUUUUUUGCUGCUCUGCUCGUGCGGCUGAGCAGGAGUGAACGUCGGCACUUCGCUAAACUAUUUACAUGAAGAUCCUAAGAAGCAAGGACAGAUAUCUCCUAUAAUAUGUAGUCUUUCUUCAGGUGGUGGCAGCACUUUGAAUUAUACGAAUAUAUAUCCAACUUAGAUUGUAUUUGAGGAAUGCUGCUUAUGUUAAGUAGGUUUUCAAUAUGGCGUAAUAUGUAUUUUAUAGAUGUAACAUGACUUUUCAUUGCAAGCAAGAACAUACGCAAAAGUUACAACUUUGAUAUAGAUCAUUCAUAUUAUAUAUAUGAUUUAAUUUGUCUUCCAAUCGCUUAAAGUCUUAAGUCAUUGAACUUUUGCCUUAAAAGAAUAAAGUAAACUAUUUGAAUUAACAAAGCUAAGAGCAUGAAGCAAGAAAAUGAAAAUGAGGCGAAAAUAGUAGGUGAUACUCUAACUUCUUCAUUUUGUCCUAACAAGUUAGAAUCCUAAACAUGUUCAUGGCUUCAAGUCUUCUUAUCAUCGAUGAUACAACGAGACUUGUAACGUUGGAAUCCACCAACAAUAUACUUGAAUCCACAAGUCUGAUUUUCUCUAAUCUACGAGAAAAUCUGGAAUCUACCAGAAGAGUUGAGAAAAUCUCAAGAGUUUUAUUAAUAUCAAAGAUAAUGAUUACAACUGAAUAAGGAUCCUUAUAUGUGAUAAUAAAUCAUAUGGCAACUAACAACCAAGCCGAAAAGUCCAUGAAUUACAAAGAAAACCAAAUCCAAAACAAACUUAGAAAAAUAAAAUACUAAACAAGUAAAUCUGCGUUUUGAGGCCCUAAACAGACUCGGAUAGCCGAAAAAGCUCAUACAUCGAGACCAAGUUUGACUUUGACUCGUAUCGUCGUUCUGCUUCCGGAAAUGUAUUAUAAUUAGCAAUCGGACACCGAAUACCAAAUCUGGACCAAACCGGGUUUGGACUUGUAACAAUUAAUCUGUUCUUCAAUCUUUAUCGUCAUAUGUUUUAAUGUCAACCUAAAUUUUCUCUGUGGUGUAGGGUGGGGUGUACCAUUGUGAUUGUAUCACCUUCAAUAUUACAACUUUAACAAUAAAUUGUCCGCAUCUUGUUCAACACGCUUAAAUUAUGGAGCACCUAGUUAUUUAAGAGUCACACUUGAGCAAAUAAAUUGUGAUGUUGACAAAUUCAUGAAAAGUAUACACAUCCAGCCUUCAAUGUCCAUAACUCAAUUUGGGUCCAACCUGUUUUGCUUCUUCUUUCCUAAUUCUCGUGAUAGAGUCGAACUUAUAAAAACAUUGAUGAGAUAAGUUAGACAACUGCUUUAAAUAGUCGAUUUCUCUAUAUUUCACUAUGUAAAUAAUUUGAUUAGUAUAUAACUAUAUACGCAUUUUAUAUAUAUUGUCUAUAGUUCUAAAAGUUCGUCAUUCUUUUCCAAUUAUAUGCCGAUGUCUAUCCAUUUUGCCGUAAUAGACCAACAUUAUUUAGAGUGCUAAUUGGAGAAAACAAAACUCGUUGAGCAACAUGAAGGCAUUUGAGUGAGUCAUGAAGAUGAAGCCAAUGCACUUGGUUCGAAACAUGGAGCAUAAAACAAACCUAGGGUUUGAUAUUCAAACCCUUCACCUAUUCCGCAAAUGAGGCAUUGAAUUUUGAGCACCAAAAAAGCUUAAUGGACCUAUAAAUUAACAUUAUGGGAAUUUGACUACUUAAAAAUUGUUAAUAAAACAAAAACUACAUUCUAGCUAAUUGGAAUUAUUUUCUUAAUAAAACAAAAACUACAUUCUAAUCACGAAGCACACCAAUCUCAAAACAAAAGCUCCAUAUCCAAUGCUUUGCUAAUGACAAAAUGGCCAAGGUCGAAUUCCAAACGCCUAGAUUGCUCAAAUUAAGAAAGAUUCUACUAGAGUGGAAACUAUUGGGCAUCAGACUUCUCAACAAGGUCAGGUUUUCAAAGAUGCCUUGUGUUUUUGGGCUCCAGCAUCAUCAUCAUCAUUUGUUAAUCAUAACCCUACAAUUAGAAGAAGCUCACAUUGCUCCAGGUAGAAGAAACUCUUUUACUAUACUGUUAUGCCCGUGACCUCAAAAACCCUAACCUUUCCAUAUCUAGUGUUAAAGUUUCCUGACCACAUUGUAGGUGAAAACCAAAAUAAUGAAUCACCCUAAGGACGUCCUCAACCUAAAUAACUCGUAACAUUGUAGUUCCAUCACAUAAAAUAGAUGUUCUUCAAUUGUUGAUACUGGUUUUAUUUACUUGUUAGAAGUGUAGAAGUGAAUAGUUUCAUAACGUAGACAAGUAUUAAUCGUUGAGGUUCGUAUGCACCUAUCAAUCGUUGAUGUUCAUGUUCGUAUGCGCGUAUAGAAUUAAUCUUAGCAUAGUCGACGGGUUUAUAUCCGACCAUCCAUGUUCCAAACUCCAAAAGUUUUACACACAGUAUUGAAUUCUCCCACCUAAAACUAGUAGUAGAGAAGCUCCUUCCCCUUGAAUCUCUUCACGUGAAGUUUCGCAUUGUUUGUGUGGGGGUGAUUCAUGUUGAAAUUAGUUUUGUGCACCUACCAAAAGAGAGAAUAAUUCAUUCACUAUGGUCCUCUUUAACACUUCUUCAUCAUGAUCUCUCAACUUCUUCUUCUUUUGGUUCUGGCAGCAACACUAUUUUAGCUGCAACAUUCAAUCUUUCGGGACCCUUCAAUCUGUGGCUUUAUUUGGUGAAUGAGUUUAAGGCAGCAAUUAGUCAAUUUGAUACUGACAUUUUGCAGCAUUAUUCUAUUUACUAUGAACUAGUAUCUUACUGUCAUGAUAGCCCCCUCAUAGAUUAUAUCAUUCACCCACCAUUUCCACUCAAUCAAGUUUAGUUAUUCAGUUUCUGUAAUCUAAGCUAUAUUCAUAGGUGAAUGAGUUGUACACCUAAUGUCAGCUAUCAUGAGAAGAUAACCUUUCAUUGAUUUUGUGAUAUUCUUCUUAAAUUUGCAGAUUCGGAUUUCAUGUGUAUACUAAACAUAAGAAACAAAAUCCAUUUACAGAAAUCCUUUUCUAAAAGCUAAAUACACAUAUAAAUCAAAAGCGUUAACCAUCAUACGAUAAACAUUAACCAUCAAUAUCAUAUCUCACUUUUUCCUUUACAAUCAUCUUUUAUUAUAUUUGACAAUCCUCAAUUUUAAGAAUUGCAUUAUAUAAUUCAGAUUUGUAUAACAUAAUGAAUGACUCGGGUAAGUGAAAACUAGCAAAUAAUUUUCUCUUUAUUAACUACGUACAAUAAACACAUAUAUGAUCGAGUGAUUUUAACAAAACUUUAUUUGAUAAAACAGAUCAAUAAAAUAAAAUCUCAAACAAAGAAAAUUGUAUCGCACAAUUGAGAUGAUGUCAAUCAUCACACCAUAAGUAGUCUAGUUGGUAAGAGGAUAGACAUGGAAACCAUACCCAAGUUUGAAAUCCUCCGACACUAAUUGAAGUUUAGACCUCAAUUCAUUUUUAAUAGCUAGAGAGGAAAUGUUUUAAUAUAACUCUUUGAUGUGGGUUAGUUUUUAGACCUAAAAAGUUCGUAUGAUUCCUUUAUAAAUCAAAAGUACUAAAGCUACAAAUCGACGUGAUUAUUCGAAGCUUGAAAUCAUCUACGGAGUCAAUAACCUAUAUUUAUUCAAAAUUUGAACCUCAAGCAUAAAAGCUUACACAAAAGAGUAAAACCGAAGGACUAUAAUGACCGGGAAGACUGUUCUGAAACGCUUCCACGUUGCAAGAUCAACGGCUGACCUCUUCCUAUUCCCUUCCCGCACCAACUGAUCCACUUUCAAAAAUCUCACCCGCAAACUUGGCUCUUUUUCUUAACCGCUCCACCUUACCCCCCUUGUAAUCACUGCGCCUCUCUCUCUCUCUCUCUCUCUCUCUCUCUCUCUCUCUCUCUCUCAUGCACACCAAAACCCCACAAUAUCUUUGCUACCCAAUUUAGCUUCGAUCUUCUCCUUCAUUUCCAUUCUCUGGUCACCUCCAUUUUUUCCUUCCUCUGUUGGAACUUGAAAAAAAUGGGACAACAUUCUGAUUACAAAUCGCAGUUGGUGACAGAGAUUUGCUCCAUUUCGAAAUUUUCCAUUGCUUGUUCUCACAGGCACUGCACUACCCCUGCUCGAUCUUCUUCAACUUUCGUCGAUUGGUAUCGUCUUCUUGGGGUACGUUUCUUCACAUUCAAAACGUCAAAUCCAUUAUUGGUUUUUUGUUUUCUUUCUUUCCUUAAAUGUUAGUAUUUACGUUUCUAUAGGUGGAAGAAACAGCUGGGAUUGAUGUUAUAAGGAAGAGAUACCAUGAACUUGGUACGUUUUUGAUUGGCAUUUGCAUAAAUACCCGAGUUGUGAAAUUUGCUUGGUUUGGUAAUGUGAUAUGGCUUUUCUAGUGCAGCUUUACAACUUCACCCAGAUAAGAACAAACAAGCCAAGGCUGAAGUCGCCUUCAAACUUGUCUCAGAGGUUAGAAUUGCUUCCUCUUCCAAAUUUUACCUUUUUAAAUUUCUUGUUUUGGGGAGGAGUUGACAAGAGAAUCCAAUGAGUUCACACCCCGUUAAAACCCAGUUGCCCCAAAUAUGUACAAGACAAAAUUUAUUUUUGUUCUGACAGUAUUUAUGCCUCAUCACCUUAAUUUGGUACAUGAUAUUGGUGAGACCCUUCAAUUUUUUCUGACAAAAUGGGCCAUUUAGCUUCUUGAUGAUUUAGGGCAUUCAAUUGCAUUGUACUCGCACUGGGAUUUAAUAUUCAAUUUAAAAUACUUGGUUUCGAAUUUUGGUGAUUAUAUUAUUGCAGGCAUAUUCAUGUCUCUCUGAUGAUGAAAAUAGAAGAGCUUUUGACUUGGAGAGAUGGAGCAAGUUCUGCUUUGAGUGUGGUACAAUUCCCUACACAACUUACAAGGCUCCCAGCAAUGCCAAGGCUUCAGAACCCACAAGUCGGUCGAGGUCUUGUAAAGUUAUCAAGGGCCUGAAAGAUAUCAGAAAUCGAUUUAGAGAAGAGGCAAGAGUGAUUGAAAACUGUCUGAGGGUUAAUAAUGCAGCAUCAAGAAAUGAAACCUCACUCUGUAGUCCACCUUCUUAUGUGUUUCAGAGCAAUUUUAAUCCUAGGUUGAGCAGGGAAACCCCUGUAUUCAACCCAUCUGAUCAUGUGGUUCAAGGAUAUCCCCAUCUCAGGACUCGAAUCUACGACAAAGAUAAAUCUCGGAGCUUUUGGUGCUUGAGAACAGGGCAUCACAUGUUGAAUUGUGAACAAGGAAGGGAUAGUAGGGCUACUUAUGAUUCACCAGUAUUUGAGGUCAGAUCAGAUAGUGGAAUUUUAAAGAGUAGAUCUACUUGUGUUCGUUCAUAGCUUAAUGAACAAUUCAUUUCUUUGGAGAAUAAGUUAUUUUUAACAAAUCUUAUUGCACUGCCAUGGUAAUUGCCUUCAAUUUAGUUGGUAUCUGGUAACACAUUGAUUGCAAUUGUCACGGCUUAGAUUCCAAAUAAUUAAAAUCCUGGAUUUCCUGAAACAGUUGGUAAGGCAUUGAUCGUAUAGAUCUCAUCUAAUUUCAAGCAUCAUAAUCUAGCAACAUUUGACUGUUGAGAGGAAUGGGAACGGAGAAAUGUAAAUUCAUUAAUCAUGAAUAAGCAUCACAAAUGCAUAGAGUAAUCUUGUUAAUCAAAAUGACAUUGUAUAACAGAUUGUGACUGUACCAUCCACAAAGUAUAGUUAUAGAAUCCCGUACAAAAUACUCGUCGUACAAAACUGAACUUUCCUUCAACUUUAGUGAAAAACUUGGUCGGAUGGGGAAUUGGUGUUGCAUUAUGAUCUGGCUAGUCACCACCAAGCCAUAACAGUUCUCGGAGACAUUGUCUUCAUUCUUUAGUUCCAAUUGCUACUGGUGCCUCAGGGACUUUCAGAGUACCAGCAUCUAUCAAUGGCUGCAAUUCCUUCUUUGCCAGCUUAUUUACAUGAGAAUCUGAAGAUGCUAAGUAUGCAGAAACUACCCUACAGCUGCAAUCACAUAAUAGAAGUCUAAGAAAAAAGAGUUGACCAUACUUUUGAUAGAAAUAAGAACUAGGAAGAUGAGAAAGCUUACCUGUGACCUUGGGCCCACAAUUCACAUUUCCCUUUCAGUGCCUUGUUCCACAAAGUGGAGGCGAAUGCAGGGCAAUCCAAGAUUAGUCUUCUAAUGGUCCGACUAGAAUGAAAAUUUUCAAGGAGGUGUUCUUCUUUUGGAUCGUCGGAUUUAGGUUCUGCAACAAGAGUUGCUAUAGCUUCAUAUAGUUCAUCUAACUUGUCAUCCAAAGUUGGGUGGAGGAUUCCAUCAGCACCCCCAGUUGCCACCUGCGUGCAUUAAAAGUUAAAGUCCGUCAAUUUUUUUUCUGAAACAUUUAAAUGCCCAUGGGAGAAACAAUUCCGGGUGAUUCACGACUACUACUCUUAUCCCACAGUGAAACAGUAGAAGUAUAAUGAGUACCUCAUAUAUGACUUCUUUGCCAAAGUUUGAUCUAAGUAACUCCCCUGCACUUGUAAUGCAUACAUCAACUAGCCUCUGCAAGAGAUACCAUCACUCAAAGUCAAUAUUCAUACCGUAAAAAAAAGAUGAGCUGAAUGAGAAAUCAACUUCUAUAUGAUGUCCUGAUUUAAAUUUUGAUGAUAAAAGCAACAAACCUCAGCCAGCCCACUCUUGACUAACAAUUCUUGCCUUCGGACUGAAGGAUCCUUUUUUCCACCAUCAACUAAUUUGGUAUUCUCAUCAGGAUCAUUAGUUUCAGUUUCCUUCCCUUCAGAAGGGAUAUCUGCCUCAACCUAUAAAGAGACAGAAAACCGUAAGCACCAUGCAACCAAAUCACUAUCCUAGCGUAAUGCUAUUUUCUAUAGUAGUUCUGUAAGAGCUACCUUGUUGGAUAAAGAAGGGAUAGAUAAACUGAGAGAAGCCAGAUCAUAGGGAGUCAAAUAGCGUGAACAAUUUGGAUGAAGUAGCUGCAGUAAUGGGCGCCUUCCAUCCUGAAAUUUGCAAACAGUAAACAGCAUAUUAGGAAUGUAGCUAGUACAAUGAAGGUGGAAUCAGACCACCAGAUGUGGAAUUGAGGUCAAUGAGCAUACGUGAGCAAUAACGUAUAAGUGAUAUAAGCAUAAGUUUAGCCAAUCGAUCAUUUAUUUUCUUCUAGGGGAAGUGGUCUGAGAAGAUGAUCCUAUUGAGGUAUUCCAGUAAUCAGCAUACAUCCCAAUACCAUAACACAGUAAAAGAAAUAUGAUCUAAAUGUUAUAUAUAUCAAAUAAAGUCAAAGCGGCAGGACGGACACAAACCUUAUCAAAAACAAGAUCCUUUAAAUGUUCUUGAAGCUCAUUAAUGACAACCUGUAAUCAGGAGUGUUUAGCUUUUGUAAGGUCAUCACGAUUUGAUAAACUAUACCCAUAAAGCAACUAAUGUUACAUGAAGAACAGACCUUUGUAAUAAGCUUUGUGUCAUCAACAACUGAAACAAGAGAGACAAGCACCUGCAAAGGAUAGCAUAACUUAUAUCAUGUAUGCAAAAUAUUAGAGUAAGCUCUGUGCCAUGUGUGCACAUAAUUGAACCAACAGAAACAAAACAGUAAGAAGCAUGGAAUCAAAAACUAUAUAGUACUUCUUACACUAGCAAUAAAGUACUGACAGCAAAGAAUCCCCAAUGCUUACCAUACUUCCACAUUGAUCACUGGCUAUUUUACAUAUGUGGCCUUUCAUUCCUUUGAUUAUCUUCUUUCUUUCCUAAAAGUAAAGACGGUGGAAGUCAUUAGCCAAAACUUGGUGCAUAUUCACUAACUACAAACAAAUCACUUGUAUCUAAUAAAUAGAGAAAUUUCAAUAAACCUUUGCACUGCCAUGCUUGACACAGAGCAUUCCAACCCUAGAUCCAUCCCUUGUAUGAAUCAUUCGGACAAGAAGAGGACCUGACAACUGUUUAAUGACAUCUGCAGCAGAGAACUUCCAAAAAAAAAAAAAACUUGAUAUUCAGAAGGAGAAGACAGAAUGACAAGCAAAACGAUAUACUAUAAGCAAAGAUUUACUUCAAAAAAGAUUGCUCAUAAAACAAUAAAGUACAAUGGGACAUCUCGAACAUACCUCUUCAGCUAUGGUGAAGUACUCUAUCAACACCCUAUGUAAUAUAGAGUGGUCAACUAUUCCUUUCUCUAAAAUUGGUUGAAUCACCGAAGUCAUAUGCUUCAGGACUGAAGAUUUCUGCAGAUCUAACUUUGCUAUUAUAUCUACUAACCUGAAAUUUGAUCACUAAUCAGGAGACAGAACACCUUCAAGAUAUAUCAUAGGUGGUUCUUUUGGGAGUUCAACAAGAAACAUACAGAGUGCAAUGAGAAUAUUUCAAUACUACUCGCACUGUUAAAUUAUUGGAUAUAAUUCUUUACCUGCCCUCUUUCUUCAAGACCAAGUCCUUAAACAACUGUAGUUCUGUAGAAUAUAAUUCCACCAAAAGUUCUUGCUUUUGAGUUGCAUUUCCCAAUUGGUACGCAUGCUCUACAACUGUAACAGGAUUUACAGAUGAAUAAAGUUAUGAUACUCCUGAGUGUAAGAGUGGGAACAAAAAUAAUUGGCUGGGUAUUGGUGACAUUUAUCUCCAAGUACCCCAGAUAACCUCCAGCAUACCUACAGAUCCAACCAUGUGACGCAGAAGGGUUGCAACAUGUCCAUGGAGUGACGAGAUAAACUCCGCAAGCUGCUGUUUGGAGGCUGGCAAUCGGAGCACAGAAAGUAACUUACUAAUCAAUUAGAAAAUAAAAAUUCAAUACGAACAACAAGAAUACACUUCUAUACGGUCAUUGCCAAGUUUAAACAUACCGUUGUCCAACAUCUUUUUCACCAGAUGAACACCAUAUGCACUGCGUGUAAGGGUAAGAAAAUGUGGCUUAAGCUCCUCAAAUACUGCAUCUUUUUCCGCUUUUCUCAUUUUUGCAUCCCCUUCCGCUUUUUUCUUCUUUGCAUCCCUUUCUGCUUUAGAGCAGUACUUAACACAAGUCUGAGAAAAAAAAAACAAAAACAAAAAAAAACACAUAAAUACAAGCUACUGCUAUAAAUCAGAGGUUUAGGUUUUGGAAACACUGAGAGAUGAAGCUAACAAAUCACCUGCAGAACACGGGAAGAGACAUGAGAGCUUGCAAUUUCAGGAAUUUUCCCCUUCAUUUUUUGAAGGGCUUCGCUCACCAACCUGCAAGGAUCAUCAACAGUAAAAUCAGGUCAAACAACAUAUGUAACUCCAACAAUGCAGAAUUGCAAUAUAACUUCUCAAAGUUCAUACUUGUAUCUAUCUUCCUUGGAAAUAUCUCGACUCCUCAUCUUCUCCCACAGAUGUGCAAGCUCCUAUUUCAAAAAGGGGUCAACAAAAACAACUUUAGCCCAUCACCAUAAACCUUUCCCUUCAAGCAUUUCAAAGAGGGUCUGAUUAUAGUUGUACUUGCAGACAUUUAUCAGCAUAUAUAGAUUCAAACAAUGCAUGAAGUCACAAGUCACUAAUUCUAAUCUCGCAAAAGUAGGGUUUAUCGGCAGAAACUAAACAACAUACAUUUCAUAUUUCCAUUUUCAUCUCAACAAUUUCCACAUAUCAAACACAUAUUCAUAAUCACAAGAAACAAAAUUUUAAACACUCACAUGCUCUAAAUUAUAGUAAGGCUUUCGCUUCUUCUUCCUAGCUUCAGCAAGCUCCUGCCAAAAACAAAACAAAAAACCCAACAAAACCCACAAAUCAAAAUCGUUCAUUUACAACAAACCAUCAAAAACCCAGAACCAAAUUUCACCACACACCCACCUUAGCACGGACGCGAAGCUCUUUCUUCGACAACGACGUCGUUUUCUCGGCGUCGGGAUUGGGACGCUUGAAGGGUUUAGAGGAGUCAUUUUUUCGAGGGUCGGUGGGUUUAGAGCCGGCGAGUCUGGGUUUCUUGGAAUCGGAGCUACGGUGGGUCUCCGGCUUAGUGCCGCCGGGAACUUGCUUCCUCUUCUUGAGUCUGGUGUCGUUGUCCUUGGCCGCCAUCGGAGUGGAGUAGAGAGGUUUGAGUUGUUCGUCUCUGUUUGUAUUGCAAAAGGGUUUUUCUCAGGGUUUUGGGGUGAGUUUCGGGUUGGGGUCGAUACGGUUCGGGUUUGAAGUAUACCUAACCGCCCCGCGGCCCAUCUCAUAAUGUCUCCGGUAGGUCGUCCCUAUGACUCUUAUGUCUUAUUUCCAAACUACCCUCUAACUGGUCAACGUGAUAUGUUCCUCUUUCGGAGAAUGCGUAAGAAGAACCUAAACAUUUACCAAAAAAAAAAAAAAAAACUAAGAAGUACCGUUGCAUCUUGUUGAUACAGUUCUUGUUAUUAAUUGAUCGAAAUAUUAUUAAUUAUUCUUUAGGUUCAAUUUCGUAUAUGGUAAUGUAAUGUCUAAUGCUUGGCUCGGUCCCAGACCGGCACCCGUUUCUUAAUGUCUGGACUCGUAUCGGUUAGUGUCUAAACAUAUCGGUUGUUGUAAUAACUUAUGGGAUCAACAUGAACAUUGCCGAUCCUGUCAGUUUUUGGUGCUUGUUUUUAUUUACAUAUUGCAUUCUCAUUUCGCUAAACAAGUAAACAUACAUGCAUCACUUGCAUUCUCAUGAUCUCAUCUCUCACAAUCAGUGUCAACUACCAAAUCAAAUACUAAAAGACGAAUAAUAACUAAAUGGGUAUGUCCACCCCAAGGAAGACUCAAUGUUAAUGUGGAUGGGAGUUAUAGGUUUGACAAUGGGUGUGGAUGAGUUGGUGUCGUAGUCCGGGAUGAACAAAGAAGAUGAAUAACAAUCAAAUUGAACGGAGUUGAUUUGAACUCAUUAAAUUCAUUAUGUCAAACUGAAAAAAAAAAACACAAAUUCAGAAACUGAUUUGGUAUUUGUGAGACUGCAAAUAUAAAACUCUUAGUAAACGAAACUGGAGAGUAAUAGAAAAAAGGUCGGAAGAAGAGGAAGAAGACUCACCUGGAGGUUGGGGAAUAACUGAAGGUGUCAAGACCCACCCCGAAUUUCACCCUGAAACUCGAAGUAAAUCCUGCGGGGACCACCUCCAAGGAAAAUUUACCCAAAAUUCGGCAUAACCUCCCUUGAAAAUGGACAACCCUUCCUAAAUAAAACACCUGCAAACACUUCUAAAAGUUCCAACUCCAACCUUAACUCCUGGAGCCUUCGAGCUCCCCACAAAUCACAACAUCUCCCAAAAUAGAUUCACUAAUCUAACAAAUGAUCCUAUAACCAACAACCACAUAUUCAGAGCAACUCUACUUGAGAGGAGAGGAACUAAAAAUAAAUAGAAAUGAGCGAAAGCUAUACUAUUGACUAUGCCUCUUCACCAUGUACGCUCGGCCUCACUAUGCUAACCUGCAACUGGGCAUUUAUAAAACGAAGAGUCCAGGGAAAAACAUUUGAAACCGUUAGAGUGAGCGGACAAAAACAUAAAUUUAAUGAAAAUAUUUAUGCUUUCCCAAUUUACAUUUCCAUAGAAAUAUGCUGCAUGCGACAGCUCAAAAAUGCUCAACACAAAAACUGGCAAUUUCAUAACUAACUCCGGCCAGUCUCCAAAGCUCAAUAAAAUACAGCCUCUCAGGCUAAAAUAAAAUAUGUAUGUAUUACACUCGUCAUAUCCCUUGUAUGAAUUUUCUUGAAAUAGCUAAAACAAAUAGAAAAUUCACACAAGGCUACAACGCUUGCGUCUAACGCUCACGUUGCACCAUAAUGGUAUUUUACCUCAUUAUGGUGGAAAAGACGGUGUAUAAAUAUACGCGCAUAUCCCCUAUAUAAAUUAUUAUUUUUAUAUAGGGCUACAACGAUUGCGCCUAACGCUCACGUUGCACCAUAAUGGAAUUUUACCUCAGUAUGGUGGAAAAGCACGUAUAGCUAGCUAGCAUUCUCUCAUAUACAUAUUAUUCUCAUAAUCAUCCAAAUAUGGAUAUAUAUACAUACUCACUGAAAUUCUCAAUUUCGGUUAUUCUCCAACAAUAAUGAAAAUUGCCAAUUAUCAUAAAAAGCAAUACGCACACGACUCUACCGAAAAUCUCAUUUUCGGUAACUUUCCAAAUAACACGAUAGCCAUUAAAAAUGAGAACAUUUACUUCUGAAAAUGACUUCGCGAAAAUAGACAAAUCCACAAAUUGAUAUUCAAUAAAAUCAAUCAUUUAAUGUAGAAUCACCGCAUGCAUAUAUUUUAAAACAAAAGUCCACUCACAACUUUAGGCCUAAGCCUGACGUCGAUCUGAGGUCUCUUCUGCUUGAGCCUCCUCACGUCCUGUUUCCAAAAGUAAGAUUAAUUUCCCCACUAAUACUCCAAACAUUUACAAAAUAGGCAAAAUAAAACGUGAGCCAACCACGCUCAUCAUUGCCUAAUUUUGAUAUUCCUAAUUCGAAAUGCUCCAAACUUCACCGAAAAAAAUAAUGGCAGCCUUAGCACAACCUUCAUAGAUUAUACGACUUUAAUCUAAUGGCCGGAUUCUACAUUAAUUAACCGCCAAAAAUACCAAACUUCGGAAAAUCAUAAACCUAUCCAAAACUCAUCCAAAAAUUCCAUAACUUACAACAAUAUACUCCCCUUAAUAUUCCACAUUUAAAACCCUAAAAAUCUCUUAACCGGCGGCCGGAGGCCAAUUCCGGCGACCUCCAAAAUCUAUGAAAUUUUGACAAAAUAAUCUCCUCAUCAUGCUCUACAACUUUCCUGACCAACACAUCACCCAAUUUCAAGCCUAACUAGGCUAAUCGAACAAAAACAUCCUAAAAGCCCUAGAAAUUUCAACUCCACAUUUCUCCUUACCUAGCUCAAGAGGGAGUGAGCUGAUUGGAGGGGUUGUUGCACGAGAGGAGGGCUACAAAAUAAGCCAAGGAUCACUGGUUUUGGUGGCCGGAGGAGAGAGUUCCGACGGCCGGAAGUUCGGGGCAGCCUAGCCUUUCGGGCGGCACCGCUCUCUCACGGCGGCACUAGGGGGGCUGUCACCGGUCCUGGAAGAUAGCUGGGUCGGAGACCGAUCGAUUGGGACCGGUGCGGCGGUCUGGGGCGGCCGGACGGCGGCGGUCGGGCGGCGAGAAGUUUCCGGCGGGGAAGAGGCUCGGGAGGAAACCGGGAAGAAGAGAGGAAGAAAAAGAAAGAAGAAAAAAAACUGGGUUUGGGCCUCACACCCCAAACCGGUCAAUCCUUUUAAACAACCUAAAUCCAAAAAUAAAACACCCCGAAAAAUAAUACCCGAAUAAAAAUUACAUUUUACUAGCUAAAAGUUACCAUCUUUACCGUCGUCAUAUUUUCUCCCACGAACAAUUCCCCGAAACUAAUCAUCUCUUAAAAAUACCUCUAGGGACCAAUUAAACUAUUAACUCAAUGACGGGGACUGUAAAAUUCUUAUUAUAAUUAAGCUAGUGAAUAAGGUAAAAAUAUAAGGGUCGGGAUGUGACAAUUCUCCCCUCCUUAUAAAAAUUUCGUCCUCGAAAUUUACGUACCUGUCAUCAGAAGAGAUAGGGAUACUGCUGCAUCAUUUGCUCCUCUGAUUCCCAAGUAGCUUCUUCUACUUGAUGACUCCUCCAAAGCACCUUGACAAGCGGGAUUGUCUUGUUCCUAAGCACUUGCUCCUUUCGGUCGAGAAUCUGAACCGAUUCCUCUUCAUAGGACAAGUCUCUCGUCAAACUAAUCGGCUGCUCUUGCAGCACAUGAGAAGGAUCGGCAAUAUACUUGCGAAGCAUGGAUACAUAAUUUUCGGUAACUCUCCAAGAGAAAUAAAAAUCGUCAAAUUAAAAUGACGUUAUAAUAUUCCGCAACAUUAAUUGUUCAACCAUGAACUAUAGCAUGCAUUUAUUUAAAAUAAACGUCCACUCACUCUAACGUUAUUAAAUGUUUUCCCCUGGGCCUUUCGUUUUAAAUUGCCCAGUCUGCAGAGUUCGGGUUGGAUCUAGUAGGCGACGAGGCAUAGUCACCCGCAUUUCCUCCAGUUUUCAUCAGUAGGUUACAUGUUUAACCUACUCGUGUUUUCUUGCUUCCGCUAGUGUUUAGUAGCUCUGAAUACUUUGGGAUUAUUGUAUAUUAUGUGUAGAAUUUCUGAAGGAUAAUUAUGUGAUCUUUGGAAGUGUUGAUUUAAGAGUGUAAUUUGGAAUUUUCGAGUUAGGGUUGUCCAUCUGCAAGGGAGAUUUUCUUAAUCUUUUCAGUAAAUUUUCCUUGGAGGUGGUCCCCGCACAACUUACUCCGGGUUUCAGGGUGAAAUUCGGGGUGGGUCGUGUCAGAAGGGGGCCGUAAGUCUGGAGAAACGUCGAGAUAGAAGUGAGAAAGAAAUGGCGGUCUCUGCAAGACUACAAUUGAAAUUGAACUCGGACAUAUAGUUUUAGGUUUAAUUUUCAACCAAAAAAAAAAAAUUGUACUCAGUCCUCUGAUAAUAGUGUAGCCAUGGGAAAUUAGCCAAUAAUUGCAUCACACGUCAAACUUUGAGUUUUGUUUCCAAUCUUGAUAUUCUUUAGAAUGAAAAAUGGUCCAAACAAUAUCUCAUAUUUUAGAGAAGCUAACUUUUGGUAUCUUAACUUUGAAAAACUUCAAAACGAUAUCUCACGUUCGUACUCCGACCAAAAAAUUGAUAUCUAAUACCGUUAGUUCUAUUAAAAACUGAGAGCGAAAGUAGACUGGUUGGACAAAAUUAUAUGAUGGGUACCUUAAAAGAGAGACGGGUUGGCGUGAUCAAUCUUCAGACGUGAGAUACCAGUACCAGAUACCAAUAUUUGAUCGGGGCAUGAAUGUGAGAUACUGUUUUGAAGUUUUUCAAAGUUGAGAUACCAAAGGUUAACUUCUCUAAAAGGUGAGAUAUUGUUUGGACUAUUUUCCCUAUUCAAAAUCAUGUUAUAACUUCUGUUACGCGCCUAAAUCAUAGGAAAGCUUGUCGUUGUUUCUCCCUAUUCUCGUUCGGCCGCACUGUGGCGUGGGUUGAGGCUUAGGCUUCGCCCACGUGUCCUGAGUACGGCCUGAUAGGACAGUAUGAUUGUUGUGCUAAAUUGGUUUUGACACGACCCACCCCGAAUUUCACCCUGAAACCCAGAGUAAGUCGUGCGGGGACCACCUCCAAGGAAAAUUUACUGAAAAGAUUAAGAAAAUCUCCCUUGUAGAUGGACAACCCUAACUCGAAAAAUUUCAUAUUACACUCUUAAUUUAACACUUCUGAACAUCCCAUAAUAUACAAAAUUCUAAAGUAUUCAGAGCUACUAAACACAANCGGAAGCAAGAAAACACGAAGUAGGUUGUAACAGGUAACCUNNNNNNNNNNNNNNNNNNNNUACCGGCGGCGGCGCCGCCGGCGGCUCCGCCGGCAGCGGCGGCCGGAGGUCAAUUCCGGCGACCUCCAAAACCUAUGAAAUUUUAACAGCAUAUUCCUCUCAUCAAGCUCUACAACUUUCAUAACUAGCACAAACACCAAUUCCAAGCCUAACUAGGGCAAUCGACUAAAAACAUUAAAAACACCAUAAAACUUCCACCUCAAAUUUCUCCUUACCUAGCUCAAGAGGGAGUGAGUCCUUUUAGGGCAAGGUUGCUGGGUUGGAGGGCUACAAAACCAUACCAAGCUUGCCCGGAUUGGUCGCCGGAGGAGGAAGUUCCGGCGAAAAAACCGAUUCGGCAGUCGAAGCUUUCGGGCGGCACCGCUCACUCACGGCGGCGCUAGGGAGGCUGUCACCGGUCUAGAAAUGUUGCUGGGAGGGAGACCGACCGAACGGAACUGGUCCGGCGGCGAACGGAGGCCGGACGGCGGCGGGAGGGCGGCCGGAAAACCGGGCAGCGGGAAGAGAGAGCUCGGGGAGAGGAAGAGAAAAGAGGGAAGAAGAGAAAGGAAGGAAAAAGAAAUGGGUUGGGCCUCCACCGGUCCAACCUAUAUCAACCCAAAUUCCAAAAAUAAAAACACCCCGAAAAAUAAUACCCGAAUAAAAAUUACCUUUUACUAGCUAAAACUUACCAUUUUUACCGUCGUCGUAUUUUCCUCAUACGAAUUAUCCUCCGCACAUAAUCGUCCCCGAAACCCCUCUAGGGACCAAUUAAACUAUUUACUCAAUGAUCGGGACGGUAAAAUUCUUAUUAUAAUUACGCUAGUAAAUGAGGUAAAAAUAUAAGGGUCGGGAUGUGACAGGUUUGAAGGUUGUUGAAUGGUGGAAGCAUUGAUCGUUUUGCUAAAAAGGCUUGUCGGGGAGGAGCAGUGGCCAGUUGGAAGAAGGGUAGCGCAUGGAAGAACUAAAUUUGAUACUUAAUAAAAUCUAUCUCAUAAUGUAUACAUGAACUUGAAAUUUCUGUGUUUUCGGGAUAAUAACAUCUAUAUCUAUCGAUCCUUAUCAAAUUCAAGUAUUAAGUAUCAAAUUCAUGUAUGUUUACUUUUUAUUAAGUAUCAUAUUUAGUUCUUACAGUGCAAGAGUCGCUCUGGCGUGAUGUGUGUUCGUCUGUCGAUGGUGAGUGGGUGGCGGCGUCAAUUCUACUCAGAUCGGAUCGAGUCUACUCAAUCUAGUUUAGGCUCUUUGAAGCUGCUUCAAGGCGGGGCUCUUUGUUGGCAUGAUAGGGAGGGUGAGUGGCUGGAGGGUCGAACGGGUGGCCUAGAAGACAAUGGAGAUGGUGGUACUGGCAGGAUGACAAGGUUCCGGUUGGCAAGAUAGCGGUGUUGUCUACAUUUGCAGCUUUCAAGAUUGGAUUAGACCUGGUGCUUAUUGGGCCAGGGCCGGUCCUGAAGAAUUGAAGGCCCGGUGCGGAAAAAAAAAUUUUGUGCCCCUUAUGCUAAAACUUUUAUCAUAAAAAUACCUUUUUUGUUGGUUUUAAACCUAUUAAUAUACUCUUAAUCUUAAUAUUGUAAUAAGAAAACACUUUUUUUUAUCACGUAUUACAACUUCAUGAAUUGAACUCACAACCUCCUUUCUAUUAAGAGGAGACUAUGCCGCUAGACUAAAUGAGACUGGGCAUAAGAACUACAUCUUAUAUAAUUUUUUUGCCCCUUAUUAAUAAUGUUUUCUCUUGAUUAUGUAAAUAUAUAUAUAUGUAAAAUUUAUUGUUUCUCAUUUGAUAAGGAAUAAAAAGAUUUUUCUUUUUUUAAGAGUGAAUGACAUAGUUGUUCUAAAUUUCUAAUCUAUGCAAAAAAGUUAUUCUAAUAGAAAGAAAUAGUGAGAAGCUACAAAUAGCAAACAUGUCGGCCACUAAUUUUUUUAAUAAAAACGUUAGCCUCCUGCUGUACAAACUUAAUUAUACAUACAUAGAGAACUAAAGCAUAAUUUGGCAAAGAUUAGGAGAAUUGAGACGUAAUUAAGGCCUGGUUUGUUCCCUUUUUAUCUAAGGCCUAGUGCUAUCGCACUGGGUGCAUUGGGGCAGGACUUGCCUUGAUUGGGCCUGCACUUUGGUUCUGGGCACAUGCUAUCUUAUUUUUCUUCAGUUUUAUUUUCCUCUAUUUAUAUAUUAUUUCUUUUCCAUUUUAGUUCUAUGUGAAGCGCUUUGUGCCGGUCUAUACAUUUUGUGUGUCUUAUCUGCUUUAGGUAGGCGGCGUGUGUUUUGCUUGGUCAAAUGGUCGCAAUCUCCUAGUGGCAGGAUGAAACUAAGUGUCGUCAGGUUUAUUCUUAUGCGGAAACAUUGUAGGAAAGUUGUUUUAUUGGAUAUUAGGAUAUGUGCUCGUGUUACAUAUCAAAUGAUCUUUCUAUUAUAUCUUCGUUAUGAUAAAGCAAAUUAAUAGAGCUGUCAUUAGAGUAGUAUUAUUUGCUAGUUGGUGCUUGUUAUAAUAUAUGUACUUUGUAGAGAUUCUCUAUAAUAUAUCGGGACUUCAUUGUAAUCAAGAAUUCCAGUUUUAUGUCCCUCUUUGUAUUCGACAAUUUCAUUAAUAAAUGAUUGACCAAUUUCAUUAAGAAUUCAAGUUUUAUGUCCCUCUUUGUAUUUGCAAGUUUUAUGUCCCUCUUUGUAGAGAUUCUCUAUAAUAUAUCGUGACUUCAUUGUAAUCAAGAAUUCAAGUUUUAUGUCCCUCUUUGUAUUCGACAAUCUCAUUAAUAAAUGAUUGACCGAUUGAGGCAGCCGAACCAGCCCUUUAUUAAAAAUAAAUAAAUAAAUAUCAGGUCCGGACUGGGAUAGAAGUCAGACCAUAUCUGACUGGUUGAAAACAUGUGAGUUGAGAAUCAUUACAUGUUUAAAGCCAUGGACAACCUACUCAAUUGUAACCUAAGAUAAAAAAGUAAAACCCAUAGAUGACCCGGUACUUGGGCACCACCACCGUCGCCUGACAUUUUUAAGGAGCGGAUGCUAGCUACGGUUCUAUUACAAUAACUUCAAUUUCCAUUCCAAACAUACAUGAACACAAAAUACAAUAAAAAUGUGAGAUAACAGUAAUUGUAUGAGAGUAUAUAACAUGAUCACUACCCUCUUGUAUUUCGCAUAUGAAGUGAACCACAUUUUAGUAAUGUAUAUGAAGAAAUCCAUAUGCAUUUCCAUUGUUAUAUUUUUUGAUAAAAGUGUGAUCAAAACGAAGAAAACAAGAAAUCAAUUGGAUAUUUUGGUUAGAUUGCAAAUUUAAUGGAAAUGCAUUCUACUUGUGUAUUGUAGACUUCUUUUCCAAGUGUUAAUUACUGAAACCAACGAAACAAAAAAUCAAUCCGAUAUUUUAAGUAGAUUAUAUAUGUAAAAAUUUGUUCGAGAUGCCUUUACGCUCUAAGAUUGUCUAACUUGUCUUCAAAACAAAAAUUAUCCGAAGUGAUGAAAAGCUAAAAUCGAUCCAUUAUUUUAGUGAAAGUUCUUAUAUCUAAAAGAAGCCACCGGAGAUGCAUUUCUACUUUAAGAUUGAUUGCCUCUCCAAACCAUAAUUUAUCAAAAGUGACCGAAACAAGAAAUCAAUCCGUUACUUUGGUUAAAUUGUAUCUAAAAGAAUAUCUUACUAAAUGAUUGCACGAAAAAUUCAAUUUUUGUUCAAAACGUCCUUUAUUGGUAAAGACGCAAACAAGAAAUCAAUUUAUUAUUUAGUCAAAUAAUAUAUGAAAUUUUUACUUCAGUCAUGUCCGGAAUCCAUGAACCAAAUCCAAAUUCCUAAAAUUCAAAACCAACAUUUAUGAAGAUUUACUUCCCCAAUAUGGGGCGAAUUAACUUUUUGUUUCCUAUUACUUCCAUAAAUUUACCCCAAAAGAAAAAAAAAAGAAAAAGAAAGCGAAUGACACAAUCGACGUCAAGUAACAUCACAUUUCUGGCACAGCAGAUCCAACUAGAGAGAUGCGACACGUAGGCCUCAGACAAGGAAACACGAGGAUGGGGUGGACGUUACCCCCAUUAUUCAAUCCAUUUCAUUUUCGCCCUCGAUUCCGCAAACCCACACCACCAACUCCAAUCCCCUGCUCCCACCUCCUUCCUCCCACCUCACUCCACGCACUCCUUCCCCUCCACGUGUCCCAAAGCUCUUCCGCACCCCACCGCGUCCGCACCCUAUAAAAACCCCCAACUAACUCAAUCUCUGAAUCUCGUCCCCUCUACGGAAUGAUGCGCCACUGAGCCUCUCAGUCGCUCCGGUGAUAACCAAGUCCACUUAUCAGCCAUAACCUAUUACUCCACUUUUGUCAGUGAUAGCUUAUCAGUGAUAGGUGGGUGUGAAACAAAGACCCAGGAAAACGCAUCGAAGAAAGUGCGAACAACUACUCACUCUCUCUCUCUCUCUCUCUCUCUCUCCUUUAUCUUUUUCAUUUCUCUCGUGUAGUGCUUCUGCACUGUUCUCGUUGAAUCCAUGGAAGCAAAACCCUAGAGCCUCCGCCACCCUCCGAUUUCUACAAACCUCGCCGCCUGCCUCAAACGCCGUCGUUUCGGCCUCGAAUCGCGACUCAAACAACCCCGCCGCGCGUGAGCGAGCUUCGGAUUCUCUCGCGUCGCCUCUCCCCCGGGGGCAAAAAUGUCAUCUCUGAGCAGAGAGCUCGUUUUCCUCAUCCUCCAGUUCCUCGAGGAGGAGAAAUUCAAGGAGGCCGUGCACAGGUCAGUCUCGCCCCAUUUGUUUGUGUUUUAAUUUGUAAUUUUUUUUUCUAGAAUUAAUUUUUGAAUUUUUUUGUUUUGAAUUUUUUGAAUUUGGUUACAGGCUAGAGCAAGAGUCUGGAUUCUUCUUCAACAUGAAGUACUUCGAGGAGAAGGCUCUGCUGGGAGAGUGGGAUGAGGUGGAGAAGUACCUGUCCGGGUUCACCAAGGUGGACGAGAAUCGCUACUCCAUGAAGAUCUUCUUCGAGGUCAGAAAGCAGAAGUAUCUCGAAGCGCUCGACAGGUAGUGAUUCUAGCUCUCUUUGAUUUUGUUUUGUUUUCGGAAAUUCGUAAUUGAAAUUAGGAGUGUUUGUUUUAGGGAGAAUUAAUGAGGAAAAAAAAUUGGAGUGAUUUAUGGAUUGAUUGAUUGACUUUUGGUGAUUGGGGGUUUUGUGAUUUUGGAAAUGAGCUCAGGCAGGACAGGGCGAAGGCCGUGGAGAUACUGGUGAAGGAUUUGAAGGUGUUUUCGACGUUUAAUGAGGAGUUGUACAAGGAAAUCACGCAUCUGUUGACUCUUGACAACUUCAGGUAGUGUAUUGAAUAUUGGAAUUGGAAAUUUGGUUGGUCAGAGUGUUGGAUGCGUUUGAGGUUUUGAUUUCAGGGUUUAAUUGUGUGCGAUUUGGGGGGUUUUGAUAUGAUGCAGGGAAAAUGAGCAGUUGUCGAAGUAUGGUGAUACUAAAUCUGCGAGAAGCAUAAUGCUAGUAGAGCUGAAGAAAUUGAUAGAAGCGAAUCCUCUGUUCCGAGAGAAGCUAGUUUUCCCCACUUUGAAGGCGUCACGCUUGCGAACUUUGAUCAAUCAAAGGUAUGGUUUGUGUUUUGGGAAUGCCUUUUUUUCUAGUUUGUUUAUUUCGGAUUUGAUACCUUCGGUGUUUGUGAAGAUUGGUAAAUGUUGUUUUUCCCUUAUAUUGAUUAUCAUGUGUAAAAUUCCUGAAGCAGCACUUUUUGUUAUAUGCAGUUUAAAUUGGCAGCACCAGCUAUGUAAGAACCCAAGGCCAAAUCCUGACAUUAAGACCUUAUUCAUGGACCACUCGUGUUCUCCUCCAAAUGGAGCUCGUGCAUCAACCCCAGUUACUCUUCCAGUUGCAGCUCUUACAAAGCCUUUAACUUAUGCUCCUCUUGGAGUACAUGGUGGAGUAUGUUAAUAUCAUGCUUUGUACUUUUUAAGAAUUUAUCAAUGUUGAAAUUAUUUUCAGUUAAUGUGGACCUUUUGAUAUUAACAUAAUGUAUUGUCUCAUUAUGUACAGCCAUUCCCUCCGGCUGCGGCUGCAGCAGCUGCCAAUGCGAAUGCUUUAGCAGGAUGGAUGUCCAAUGCUAAUCCUUCCUUGUCUAUGCAAUCAGCUCCAGUCGCUGCCUCACCCAUGCCUGUUCAACUUGGUCAAGGUUAGGUCUUCAUGUAUUUAGAGCUAGUCUGCAGUUUAGAUCAUACUCCUGUUUCUUGUACAAUGGAUGCUGAGCACCCAAAAAGAAACCAAAACAUCAUAGCAGAAUUGUAAAAUAUAUAUCUAUAUAUAAUAUCUUUAUAUUUGUCAUGUGUACACUUGCAUUUCCUUUCCUCUUUCUCUUUGAAACAGUGUUAUUCAAUAAUGUAACUUUAGUCAAGAAGAGAAAGUAAAUGUUUUGAAGAAACUGAAGCAAAAUUCAUGUUACUCCCAAGGAAAAAAAAAUUGUUCAGGGGAUUACUCCCUGUUUGAAGAGAUUCAAGAAACUCUUCUUUGCUAAUCCAUUCGACCUGGUCAUUGAAUAUUAUCGUACUUUUUAUUUGCUUCUUUGUUAAGAAGGAUAUUUCAUUUGUACUAUGUCUAACAAGAAGUAUUUAGUGCGCUGCACUGACUGGUCAUUGGUUUACUUGCUUGAUUAAUUAUUAGGUUUGAGCAUGUUGUACUUGUUGUUUGAGCUAUUUUGGUAACUUGGACUACUUUUGCUUCUUAAUAGUUUCUUCAUUAAAGCAUCCAAGAACACCAUCAACUGGUCUUGGAAUGAUUGAUUAUCAAAGCUCUGAUCAUGAGCAAUUAAUGAAACGCCUGCGGACUGCACAAUCUGUUGACGAGGUAUUGUUAGCUCAUUUCUGGAUACUCAUUUCUGCAUUUGUCUACUGUAUCUAGAUAGUUGCUUCUAAUAACGGAAGUUUUACUUUCACAUUUUCAGGUUAGCUAUCCUCCCCAACAUGCUUCGUGGUCACUAGAUGACCUACCGAGAAGUGUAGCUUGUUCACUUCGUCAGGGAUCCACUGUUAUGAGCAUGGAUUUCCACCCUUCACAUCACACAUUACUUGCAGGUAGGUUGUGUGCAACACACCAGAUUGUGCCUGGAAUGGAUAUGGAUUGAUACUGAUACCUUGAACAUUUAGUUUUGCUUCAAUCUCUUAUCUGACUUGAGUAACAUGUUUAUUGUUUUGAGCAGUUGGCUGUAAUAAUGGAGAAGUUACUCUGUGGGAAGUUGGGUUGCGAGAGAGGCUGGUAUCCAAGCCAUUCAAAGUAUGGGAUAUGGCUGCUUGUUCUGUGCCAUUUCAGGUGAAAAUCCCAGACCUUACUCAAUAAGAAAUUAAGAAUUAUCAGUCUACUACUAUUCGUUAUCUGAGUAUCAAAAGCAUCAAAUUUAUGUCUCAAAAUCCUGUUCUUCAUGACCAGUAUAUAAUAAAAGGUUUGCACUCAUUAUCUUUGUCACGGCUGUAUCUUAACUUUAAGACUCUUAUAGGGGGCUAUUGCUAAGGAUCCAUCAAUGUCUAUUACCCGUGUAUCAUGGAGUCCAGAUGGAAACUUAAUUGGUAUGUGCAGCAACACAGCUCUAGCAUUAUUUGAAUGCAUGUUGGAACAUAAUUUCUUUGUAUUUUUGUUCUUGCAGGUGUUGCAUUUAAGAAACAUUUGGUUCAUCUGUAUGCUUAUCAUGGGUCUAAUGAUCUACGCCAACAUUUGGAGGCAUGUUUUGAUUCACUUACUGCUACCUCAAGAUGAAAUUUUUUCCACUUUAGACUGAUGUUUGGAUUUGAUUUUCUCACAGAUUGAUGCCCACAGUGGUGGUGUGAAUGACUUGGCAUUCUCUCAUCCAAACAAGCAAUUAUGUGUUGUAACAUGUGGAGAUGAUAAGCUGAUAAAGGUGGGUACCAAAAGUGUGAAGUUUUUUUUUUCCCCCCAAGUUAAAACAUAUAAUGGAUUAUUUUAAUGUUUUUGUUUUGUUAUGAAAAAAGGUUUGGGAUCUGAAUGGAAGAAAGCUUUUCCACUUUGAAGGUCAUGAAGCGCCUGUUUACUCGGUUUGCCCCCACCAGAAGGAGAAUAUUCAGGUGAGAUGUUUAUUUCCUGAAAUCUGGAUGUAUAUAUAGCAUGUACGUAAAUGCAAGAUCUUUUAUGGAGAGAACUUUUCUCUUGAUCUUGGUUAUACUGGUAAUUUUGGUGAGAAACUAGAGUGUCAGAAAAAAUGAAUCCGAAACUAGCUAAAAGAAUUAAAAGAAAACAGCAACAGAAAUCAAGUUUUAUAAGUUUCAGCCACUCGUUGAUAAUCUCAGAUGAAUAUGGUGAAAUGUGGGUACCAUUCUGUUAUUAUUUUUAAGGUGGCAUGUGAUUAUUCAAACUUCGAAAACUAUGAUAGCUCCAACUCAGAGACUUUAGCUCUUUUUAUUUUUCGUGUUGGUUUACCUUGAGUUCUGUGCUCCACAAUCUGACCAGUUCUUUGAUUAGUUGCUCUUGUUAUGUGCAUUUCAUUUAUAUCAGAUCUUGUUAUGCAGGUAGAGAAUUUCACAAGAGUUAUGAUGAUAGGAUAACUAGUUAUGAUAACUACUAACAUUGAAAGUGACCGAGGCAAGCUUUUCUGGUGAAUAUGCAUUUCUGGUUUCUUAACCGCUUUUUUUUAUUUGCAGUUUAUAUUUUCAACGGCUGUUGAUGGGAAAAUAAAAGCUUGGCUGUAUGAUAAUGUGGGCUCCAGGGUUGACUAUGACGCUCCUGGGCAGUAUUGCACCACAAUGCUGUACAGUGAUGAUGGAAAUAGGUAAAAGGAAAGAUCCACAUGGUUUAAAUGUUCUCUUAAUCACAUUUCUCUGUUCAUGUGACGGUGUACAAAUUACAACUGAUCCUUUUAAAUCUCAGAUUGUUCUCUUGUGGGACUAGUAAAGAUGGUGACUCCUUCCUGGUUGAAUGGAAUGAAAGUGAAGGGGCAAUAAAGAGGACGUAUAGUGGGUUCAGAAAGAAAUCUACUGGCAUUGCUCAAUUUGAUACUACAAGAAAUCACUUUUUGGCUGUUGGUGAAGAUAGCCAAAUAAAAUUUUGGGAUAUGGAUAACACAAAUGUUCUUACAAUUACAGAUGCUGAUGGUGGACUUCCAGUAAGAAACCUCAUUGUCAUUACUUUCAUUUCUAAAUAGUAUAAGUGGCAUUCGCGGAUGCCCUUGUUUUGAGGUUAUUCACUAAUAUAAGCAUCGGGUUUAUUUCAGUCUAUUCCUCGCUUGAGAUUCAAUAAGGAAGGAAAUCUGCUUGUUGUUACCACGGCUGACAAUGGAUUUAAGGUUCUUGCAAAUGCUGAUGGUCUGAGAUCCUUAAGAGCGAUUGAAAGUCGAUCUUAUGAAGCAUCAAGAACACCUAUUGAGAUGAAGGUUGUUAUUUCUAUCUGCACUGGACUAGACCUUCCAUUGAACUUGCAUAUGUGUUUUUGAAAAAUUGAUAUGCUCUUUCUGGAGAACUUGAUUUAAUAUAUUUUCCUGGAUCAGGUAUCUACAUCGGCCAUGGUUCCAAAUAUCAAUCCCGCCAUUAAUAAAGUAGACCGUAUGGAUGCAAGCUCUCCUGCCAGGCCUACUCAGAUUCUUGUAUGUAAUUUAAAUGAUAAAGUUCAAAUAUUACUUUACUAAUAGUAGUAACUUAUCACAAUGACACAACUGAUUGGUUGUUCAUGGACUUGAUUUCUCCAAGAACAAGCAUAGCUUUGUAAUCAUACAGUUUGACUAGCCAUCCUCACCAGACUAAGUAUAUUAAGAUUUAUAAUUGUAUUGUAAAUCCUCCCACUCUGUAGGUCUAAUUUUUCUUACAUUUGAUGUAGAAUGGAGUUGAUCCUUUGGCUAGGAGUGUAGAAAAGCGAAGACUAUUAGAUGAUGCAUCUGAUAAAAGUAAACGUUGGGAACUGGCAGAGAUUGUUGAUCCUGUUCACUGUCGAGUGGCUACGAUGCCAGAUAGUAAAGAUCCUGCUAACAAGGUGAUUUUUUUUUUUUCAUUUCAUGGAUUUUGAUGUCAUAGACUCAGAGGUAAUAGUUGCAAGUGUGGUCUCAUGUGAGUUCAGGUUGCUCGACUUCUUUACACAAAUUCGGGCGCCGGCAUUCUGGCUCUUGGUUCAAAUGGUGUCCAGAAGCUAUGGAAAUGGAGAAGUAAUGAUGAAAAUCCAAGUGGAAAGGUGAUGUUAACACUAGCACUGACGAUAUCUUUCUUUUUCUAGGCUGCAUGCGUUAGUGCAGAACAUAUACUGCAUGCUUUCAUGAAAAGAUUUCUGACUUUUUUUUAUGGUUCAAAAGGCCACCGCUAGUGUCAUUCCGCAACAUUGGCAACCCAACAGUGGUCUUUUGAUGACUAAUGAUGUCCCUGAAAACUGUGAGGAAGCAGUUCCAUGUAUUGCUCUCUCAAAGAAUGAUUCCUAUGUGAUGUCUGCAUGCGGCGGAAAAGUAUCUCUGUUUAAUAUGAUGACAUUCAAGGUAAUUUAGUACUGAUUUAAUGGGGAGAUUUUUUUCAGUCUGCACAGUUUGGAUACUGCUGCUUGUUUUGGACUGUAAUCAUGUUUGAGAUGAAAAUUUGUGGGUUUGCAGGUAAUGACAACUUUCAUGUCACCUCCACCAGCCUCAACCUUCCUGGCAUUUCAUCCUCGGGAUAAUAACAUCAUAGCAAUUGGAACACAAGAUUCAAGUAUCCACAUUUACAAUGUUAGAGUUGAUGAGGUGAUUGAUUUAAGCAUCAUUUUGUAUAUUUUUAUGUGAUUAAAGUGUUCUGUGAUUGUCAAUGUCAAUUGGGUUGCUCUGUUGUUAGGUCAAAUCAAAACUGAAAGGCCACCAGAAGCACAUUACCGGAUUAGCCUUUUCUGUUGACCUAAAGAUCAUGGUUUCAUCAGGUGCUGAUGCUCAAGUACGUGACUUCAUUCUUUCUAAUGUCAUUGUUUCCUGUUAUUGUGUAAUUCAGACUUUUAGUCUCUGUGUUAUUCUAAUUUUUUAGUUUGCUUGAAGCUGAAUAUAAGUUGAUAUGUAGGUCUUAGAUCUUGCCGCAAGUAAUGUAUAUGCUCAGUGAGCUUAUCUAGGUGUCUAUAGAUGCUUUGACAUACUUUUAUGUCUGUAAAAAGACUAAAGUUUAUUAUGUUGGCAUUCUUUUUCGUUUUUGGGGAAAAGUUCAUGAUUUGCGUAUUUCUUUGUGCCAUCAAGUACUUAUUUGAGUCUUUGAGUAAUGUUAAUUCCCUUGUAUCUUUUUUUUUUUUUGAUACCAUGCCUCCUGAUUUCGUUUCAUGAAAUUGUUCUUACAAAAAAGAUUGUGCUUGCAGCUAUGCUUUUGGAACAUGGAUACAUGGGAUAAGAGGAAAUCAUUGACAAUUCAACUGCCAGCCGGAAAGGCGCCUAUUGGUGACACGCAAGUGCAAUUCUAUUCUGAUCAAACACGAUUGUUGGUAUGCCAUGAAAGUCAACUAGCGCUAUAUGAUGCUGCCAAAGCAGAAUGCAUUCGACAGGUAUAGAAUGUCUUGGCAUGAGUUGCUCUUGUUUGUAUUCAACAAAUCCCUGAUUUAAUAUAUCUCGCAGUGGAUGCCACAAGAUGUACUGCCGGCGCCGAUAACAUGUGCAGCAUAUUCCCCCAAUAGUCAACUAGUUUACGCAGGUUUUACUGAUGGCAAUAUUGGAGUAUUUGAUGCUGAUAGUCUGAAACUAAGAUGUCGUAUUGCCAUGUCAGUGUACUUGGCACAAGCAUCCCCAAGCAGGUAUUUCGAGCAUUCAGUUAUUCGUGGUAUAUGAAUUAUGAGGUGGCUUUCCCACUAAAUCUUAUUGUCGUUAUAACUAGCUUUGUCCUACUCUGUGACAGCCAUACUGUGUACCCGCUAGCUCUUACAGCACAUCUGCAGGAGCCCUAUCAAUUUGCCGUUGGACUGAGCGACGGAUCUGUUAAAGUUAUAGAGCCCUCAGACGCCGAGGGGAAGUGGGGAGUUACAGUGCCUGUCGAUAACGGAGCACAGAAUGGCUGGACAGCAACAUCUUCAUCUAACAAUCCUGCUUCCUAAUUAGCAGCUCCAGCAACCAAUUCUAUGUCUAUUUCCUUGUAUUGAUUUGUAUUCUAUUCGUGCAGUAUAUUAGACUUGUAGGUUGGUGAUCCACACAUAUGUGCCUCACCAAAUGUGUGAUCAAAUAGAAAUCUAAUGGUAGGGCAAAAAUUUAUGUAUAUACAUGUGUUUUCCGUUAUACAUGUGUUAAUUGUUCAUUCAAAUAUAUGGUUCCUUUCUCCCUUUUGUUCCAAUUCUGCAGUUUGGAAUGUUUACCGGGACUAGUAAGCUCCAAAUAGAAGAUGUCGAAUCAGACACUUCUAGUGUCAAAAGAUGUCAUUUUCAGGUAAACAAAAGAAAAGGCAGAAAUUGAAUGUGAGGUUCAGCAAUAAGAGACUUGUUCAUAUGAUGUUCAGAUAUAGAGUAACGCCUAUAUAGUAGUUAUCAUGCGAAACAGGUAAUGCGAGGCAUCUAGUGAAAGUUACUUGGUGCUUGGAGUCUUUGAAAAUUGAAUGGUUUUCUAUAUGAUUAAACCGGUAUGGUCGAUGCAGAUGUUUUUGGAGUAGUAUGAGAAGUUAUGCAUGCCGGUCUUGUACAUGCUUCUGCUUAAUAUUUGGAAAUGCUUCUAUAACCCAUAAAAAACUUUUAUGGCAGUGUUAUGAAACAAGGCCGUUCAGCCCCUUAGGCAGCGCCUAGAUGUUCGAGCGCCUAGUGAAUUUCUGAACCUUGGCUAUAUGCAGUGUUCUAAAACAAGGUUGUCCAGCCCGUCUAGGCUGCCUUACGUUCUAGCAGCGCCUAGCGAGUUUUCAACAUUGCUUCUACCUAUAUGAAAAGUGCUUUCGAUUCCGGAAGCGCUUUUAACUCUUCCAAACAAGCUCUGACCAAGGUGGUGGUUGGAAGUUGGAACUUGAACAUGUUACUGACUUACUGUCAUGAAGUUAUGACGCCUCUUCAUGAUUAGGUCCCCAUGAUCUAGCCUUGAAUACCUUUCUUGAAAUGGCAUAAUGAACUGAGCUUAUUGUUGAAUCUGUUGGAGGCCAAAUUCAAUCAAAUAUUUCCAGAUUAGAACAUGCUCUCCUCAUCUCCUUUCCUGUCCAUUUCAUCUGAACAAUCAUCUUCCGGUCUCCGUUAGGCAUUAGCAUUAUUGUAGCUGAGGAAAAAACAAAAGGACAGCCCAUCAUAUAAUACCAAGCUGAAGGGUUAGCUCGUCCACUUCCCCCAAAUGGCACCCCUCUUGGAGGGUCCUGACUUCUAAUAUUGGGUCGAGGCCAACGAUCAGUUCCAAUCAUGCCAUGUGGUCUUGAGUCUUCUUGACCAUGAAAACCUAAUAUUAUACAAUGACACAGACAAAAUAUCUGAAUCUCAGGCUUCUGGUUUGCAUAUAAAUUCUGGGGAUACUGUUCUUCAUUUGGCUCUGCAUGUGUUAUUAUUGUGCUCACUGGUAGAUGUCACUGUAGAAAGAAGUGAUCUCUCAGAUGGGAUGUUUGUCUCUGUGAGAAAUAUCCAUUUUGACUGUGUAUUCCUUGGUCUUUCCAACACGCAAAUGUAGUGUAAUAGGUGGAUAUAUGACAAAACCCUAUCUUAAACCCUAAGGAAAGAUGAAUGUUCAUUGUUCUGAGAAUCUGAGAUGUCUCAACUUGAUCGAUACAAUUGGAGGGUUUGUAUUUUAGUUGCUAGUACAAUGAUUCUAUGAAUGAGUUCUGAAGAACCCUACAUAUAUGUAUCUGUAGGUAUAAGGUUUUUCAUGUUAUGUAAGAUUGUAAUCAAAGAGCUAUAAAAUCUACUCACCCACCCACCCUAACCAGUGGCGGAUCCAGGAUUUAACACUAGGGUGGGCUUGAAUUUUUUUUUUUCUAGUUGAUUGAAACAAUAAGAAAAUUUAACGAUAGUCUAAAAUAUUUAACUAAAAUAUAAUAGAUAUAUAUACACUUGAUUUAUUGAGAUGCAAUAAGAAAAUAAGAACCCAGCCAAAAUGUACUACCACUUAACCAAUUAUUAGAAAAUAAGAAUUUUUUUUAGAACUAUGUAUAUUAAAUAAAAUAAAAGGAGGUUAUGAAAGAAUUAAAUCAAAACUAAUACUAAAAUACCAAAUAAUGCUAUGACUCAUAGGCUAUAAGGCCAUUGUGUAGGAGUAAGAAGUAAGGAAAAAGGGCAAAAAAAAAAAACCUAUAAGGCCCAUUGUGUAGGAAUAAGAAGUAAGAAAAAGGAAAAAAAAAAGAAUGCUGAGCCUGGGAGUCGGACUCAGGUGACUGAGUUUGUUGUAAUUGUGCUAAACCAAACCUGCAAAUGUUUCUGUGAUGCUUAAUCUGCAUACGUUAAAAACCUUAUUCACACAAUCUUGGUUGGGCUUGAGCCCUACCAAGCUCUUACCUGGCUCCGCCCCUGACCCAAACAAGAAAUGAACGAGAAAAAGAAGUAAAAUGAAGUUUAUAGUCUUCUCCUCGAAAGCAAUCAUUGAUAGAUCAGAACUCUAGGAAAAGAUAUUAGUAGCAUUUACUUCCUCACAACUAGCAUGCUUUGGCAUCUACAAUCAUGAGAAGCAAACAAAAGUUGCCCUAAUUUAUUGUUACCAACUACCUGACGUUUCAAACAUGGAAUUAGUGUCGGAUGAGUCACUUCAAAUUUGAUUAAAUAGAAGAUUGAUUGGAGAUGCUCAAUGAUCUGUUUAGUUUGAUCAGAUUUUGGAUCGAUGUUUAAUUUGUGUGUUAGUGUAUGGGUAUGGUGGCUGUGCGGAUGUUGGUGGCUGGAGUUGGAUUCGAUCAAUUCAGCACUGGUGGUGGUGGAGGAUUCGAGCUUGACUAGCUAAGUAGAAAUUGGGGAUCGGAUCCAUUUAAGAAUUCAGUCGUCGCCAAAUUUAGUCACAUUCUAUUAUGACUCGUUAGGUAAACAUUGUAAGCUACUUAUAAUAAUUUGUCUAUAAUUUAAUUAUAUAUAUACAUAUGACAUGCAUUUGCAAAUCAGAAACUUUCAUCAAAUGGACUUUAAGGUCCAGACCAUUUUGAAAAUAAAAACAUUAGGCGUUAGUAGAUCUACUCUAUUAAUGUCUAAACUUACUUCCAAACUAAUAAUCAAUGUAUGUUUCAUUAAAAUUAUUGUUUAAUUAGUUACUAUAACCAUGCGUUUUUACAUUGUUGGUUUGUCCUCCACUCCAAUACUGUUCAACAUAGUCAUGCCAUCUUUGCUAUUUAGAAAUGAAAACAUUACCUAAAAUUAAUACCUUUGACAGUUUGAUAGAAAAUGAUCAAGAACCUUUUGUUUGCCAACUGUUAUGUCCCAAAUAUUCUCUUAAUCGAAUUAAGAAACAUGCGGCUAAGUUACAUAUGUCUGGAUAUUCACACUGCCCCCACUUCCAAAUUUCCUAUUUAGCUCGAUCGAUCAACUUUACGGCCAUGAACAAGAACUUGUGCCUUUUUGGUGUCUAGUGUUAUACUAUAAAACUCAUACCUUAAUGUGAAAGUUGGAAAUCUUUGGUGGUUUUCAGAUUUUUCUUUUAUCAGUUUGAGAUGAAAACGCUGGCAAUACUUCCACAUCGAAAAGUUGGAUCAUGAAAAGCUAACAUUCAAAAGAAAUUUGAAUGAGCUUGGAGACAGCUAAAGGAGGAAAUACUAGGAUAUAAUUAAGCUAAUCUCAUAGCUAAUAUUGGUUUGCAAAAGGGAGAGCAUCUCGAUGAACAUAAGAGGUAAAGCUAGAUUACCCAUAUAUGGAACUGUGGUAACUUUAAAUCUUGGAUAGGUGAUUGGAAUUUUAGCUGCAUUGUUUACGUGACUUUCAUUUUUCUUCUUCUUCAUAGUCACUUGGAAGAACUAUAGGUCAAGAUCGAGAAAGGAAAUUUGAUGACAAUUGUGGGUUGCUAAAAUUGUGAGUCUUGGUUGUGUUCGUAUUGGUGUUACAUCUAUUAUAAUUUAUUUUUAUUUACAAACUACCUCAUUCAAUUUGCUUCAUGAUAUCUCUCAUCAUAGAAAUGAUGUGUGAAUAGAAAAAAAAAUGAAGGAUAUGUGAAUAACACAACACAUAAUUUUUUUGUUAUGAAACUAAAUUACGUUUAUCUCUUUUAUCACGCUUCUAAUUCAAUCCAUCAUGUAUUGCGGUAGGUGUGACAUGACAUGCCUAAGUAUUAGUUGAUCCAAAUACCAAAUUUGAAGUGGUAGACAACGUGACAUUUAAUCAAGCUAAAGUUUUAAACCAAGUCUCUAUGAUUACAAAGAACGUUUAGAAGGAAAAAUUAAAAGCAGGCAUGAUUAAAAUGGCACAACAUAGUAUAACAUACACAAAAUUAAGGUAUGGCCUAUUAUUACUCCCGUGGGCUAUAAGUGAGUGACAACGAAACCAGACCAAGUUAGAUCCUAAACAUAUCAUGCUUGUAGUGGAAAAGAGCCACAGAAUUAUGCAAAUAACCAAGCAACUUUAGUGUUUAAGAAAACACGAAAAGACAAAGAUUGAAGUGCAUGGUUUGAAACUCUUCCAAUGUCUAUGUCCAUCAACCCACAAAUUAGACCACCAAGGCAAUUCACUUGUUUUUGAUCUAUACUUGGUCAUGGCAAAACACAAAUCCAAUCGAGUGUUUGAGGAAUACGAAAUUUUCCUAUCAAUUUUAAUCCCGUACGGGGAUACCAAUCAUAAUCCAUGGACAUAAUCAAAAUCUUCUUUGCCAUUCUAUAAAAACAAGAAAGCUGAUGAGAUCAAGUUUUCUUAUGAAGUAAAACUUUCUUAAAGAAGAACAUCAUAAUGCUGUCAUCCCAAACUCUCAGUUUACAAAACCUCAAUCUGAUCUCAACUUUCUUCAACUACAAUAAACACCCAUAAGCCGUGCUUACUUUGUAUCCAUUUUUAUUUUUAUUUUGUCAAAUCUAAAAAAAUUAGGUUAAUCAGUCACGACACAGAAUAUCGCAAGAUAUAUAACAUAAUAUAGUUCUCGAUUCAACUCUUCUUGAUUUUUUUAUUAAUGCAAAAAAUGGUUUAAGGAACAAUAAAUUGAAAAGAGAAAAAGAAAAAAAAGAAGAAGAAUCUUCCAGCAUCAAAUUCUGGGAAGUGAUAGUUAACAGGCAGUGUCAUUAAUCACUCAACCACUACUAAAUCUUACAUUUAUUUCAUAAAAGCGGCAAAAGCUGCAAUACGCCUUUGUAUGUAAACGCCGAAACGCCGUUUAAACGGGAGGGUAUCAUCGUAAUUUUCAAUAAGCUGUUAAAAUUUGUUUUAACUGAGAUAAAAUGAAAGGGAAUAAUAUUACUUUAUGCAUUUAUAGUCUGAUCAAGUGGGAGACCUCCCUACCUCUAAAAAUAAACCAUUAUACGUGUUGAUUUUCCCUACCCACUUGUUCAAAGGAACUACAUAUGAAACUAUUGAGUAUCACCAUGUGGAGAAGCACAUGCUUUUCAUCAGAAGUCCAGAACCCAUUCUCAUAUUCCCUUCCUUCUAUAUUGCUCUGAUCGGAGCCGUAUAGUGAUCAGCUUAGACUUCACUGUUCCUCUUGGUAUGCCCCCUUCAAAGUAGUACCCGCCAGCCGCCGCCUAUGUCGCCGCACCUUAACAAAAGUUGNNNNNNNNNNNNNNNNNNNNUAGUUGGCUGGGGAUAGGGGGGGUUUGAUUUUUGUGAUAGGUUUAUUGAUGUAACGGCAGUUAGUUGAUAAUUUUACUUAUAUACCCUUAAGAUUCAAAUUUGUGGCUGAUAUUUUGCCACGUGGCGAGAACCCCAUAUUGGCGUACACUACUCUGACGUAGUCCAACGCUUUCCCAUAAAAGCCCCCAAAAGAAAAAAAAACCAAACUAAACAAAAAAAAGAAUUCAGCAGAAUAAUUUUUAGAAAACGCCACGUGUCAUGUGGUAUGGUUGUUGUGUUCUGGCCAGUGAUUGACGCCCAGGCCAGGCUAGCAUCUUCGGCCAUGAUUGACUGUGGGCCCCGCUCUCGCCCCCUUCCUCUCUGUCAACCCACAUGCGGUCUCUAUGCCCCAUGCACUCCUUUCACUUAUUUUAUUCCUCUCCCUCACCCGCGGGUGCACGCCCCUUCCCGUACAACCUAUCCCGAUCAUAACUUCCGAUGAUCAACGUAACGAGUUCGAACACGUUUUGUUCGUAAUCGAUGAUCGGAAUCAUUAUUCAUCGUACAAGGACUGUUAUAUUAAAGAAAACUCAUCAAUUCAAUUGCGAAAGCGUGACAUCACGUGAAUCAAGUAAAAUAACGGUUCAUUACGAAAGCGUUAGAUAUAAUUAGAUUACUAAUAUCUGAUUUGAUCAAUGUGUCGACAUAGAAAGUCCAUCUAUGAAAAAGCUUUAAGUUAAACAUGAUAUAUUGACCGUACCGUUCCGAUUAAGAGAAUAUACAAAUAAGAGAAAGUUUGGAUCAUCGUCUCUAAACGCAGAGGCUCUCAUUUUCGGAACAAAACUAGUCCAACCUCACCAAGUGGCACCUCUACUACACAAGUCACCAUGAACACCUCGUGACAUUAUCACCGCUCUCCUUAUUUUGUUAUUGUAGCGAAUAGCUUUUCAACAACUGUAAGCAAACAAGGACGCUAUUACACCACCACUGCUUAUCAAAAAAUUUCCCCUAAUUUCUUUUUUGUUUUUCAAAACUAUCUCUCUUAAAUAUUACAACAACAAGGUUGUCUUCUUCUUCUUCUUCUCCUCUCUCUCAUGGUGAGGGCCGUUUCAAACUAAAAUUUGUCGGCGAGAGACGUUAUUAAUCAUAAUUUAUUAAGGGGGUAAUUGCAAUUUAGUGGGCAAUUAAAUUAAAUUAAAUUUGCUUACCCUUUUAUUCUCUCUGCUUCACCUCCUCUGUUUUCGAUUUUGAUUUUGCAUGCAAGUGAGAAUUGGGAGAGAUAGCUGGCAUUUCUAUAGUGGCACAUUUCUUUCCCCCUUGUGCCAUUCAAUUAUUUCUCUCUUCUUCCUCUCUUGAUAUAUAAUCAUUUAUGCUUUGUGGCAUUUACACAAUUAAUGCCAAUAACCCACAUACUUACAAUUCCCAUAACCUCUUCUUUUUCUGUGUGCUUCUUCUUCUUCUUCUUCUCUUUUUCUCUGCUGUCUUUUUGGUCAGUGGUGCUUCUGCUGCUCAGAGCUGUGUUUGACUCAUGAAGAUGCUAGUAAGUACGUUUCUUUUUUCUGGGUUUCAAGUGUUUUUUGCUUUGUCCCCUUUUAUGCCAAUUUGGUAUCCAAAGACUUGAUCUUUUGUGUUCAGUUCUAGAUUCAGGAUUUGUGUUUCUUGUUUCUGCUUUGUGGGUGUUGUGAAUUGGGAUACCCUUUUGGAUUUUACUGGAUUUUGGUGGUUCUUUAAUCUCACUCUGUAUCUUUUUCAGUUUAGUUUUAGUUCACUUCUGUAUUAUAUGCAUUGAUCAUUUAACAAUCUAUCGAAUUUGUUGAAAUCUGAUGCUGUGUGGUUGACUUGGUUGGUGUCAGUGUGUUCAAGUAUUGCAACUUUGCAACUUUGAUCCUGUUAUGUACUUUGUUCUGUUUUUUAAUUUGUACAUUAGUGGUCGUGUGAAUUUGUGUUUGAUGAAAUUCAUCUGAGAACUAGUGGCUGUCUUGCUGUUGCAUUUUCAGGUGGUAUUGCUCUUGUUGUUGAGUUUGGGCAAUGCAAUCAAACUCGGUGGAGAAGACGAAGAUUGGCCUUGUGAUUCUAAACUGCAAUUAAAACCAAGGCCGCAUAGUGUUUCCAUUUUGGAGUUUGGUGCUGUUGGGGAUGGCAAAACAUUGAACACUCUUGCUUUCCAGAAUGCCAUUUUCUAUCUCAAGUCUUUUGCUGACAAGGGCGGUGCACAGCUUUAUGUGCCGCCUGGAAGAUGGCUUACCGGAAGUUUCAACCUUACAAGCAAUCUCACGCUAUUUUUGGAGAAGGGUGCUGUCAUUCUUGGAUCUCAGGUACUAUUUUACUCCUCCAUGAGACAGUUAGUACCGCUAAUAAUGUGAUAUUUGCAUUGUUUUAUUGUUGUUUUUGUAAAUGUUACCAUGUUUUCUUGCUUAGGAUCCAUCUCAUUGGGAUAUUCUUGAGCCCUUGCCCUCGUACGGUCGAGGGAUUGAACUCCCAGGAGGGAGAUAUCGUAGCUUGAUAAAUGGAUAUAUGUUACAGGAUGUGGUCAUAACCGGUAUGCAGAAUGUUAGAAUUUUCCUUGCUGUUCUGACAUGAUCUCUUAUAGGUAUCUAAAUUUUUUGUUUCUCUAUUUAUUGCACUAGGUGAUAAUGGAACCAUCAACGGUCAAGGAUCAGUGUGGUGGGAUUGGUUUAGCUCUCAUACUUUAAACCAUAGCCGUCCUCAUCUUGUAGAGAUAGUUUCUUCUAAAGAUGUUGUUGUUUCAAACCUCACGUUUGUCAAUUCUCCUGCAUACAACAUUCAUCCAGUCUACUGCAGGUUUGUUAGCUUAUGCAUUAUAGUUGUAUUAUAUUUAUUGGUUCAAAGGAGAUAUUUAUGUUUUAUAAAUGAAUUCUAUGCAGUAAUGUACAUAUUCACAACAUCUCUGUCUCUGCUCCCCCGGAGUCCCCUUAUACAGUUGGUAUAGUCCCAGGUAUGACAUCUCUUGACUACUUGUUUUAGAAUUCUUGUCAAACACUAUUGUUCAUGGGUUUUGAGACACCAAAAAUUUGCUUGAAAGCAUAGCCAGGUUUCAAGAUGUGUACAUGUUUUUGCUUGUUAUGGUGACACCUACAAAAUCAAGUAGAUGUGUUGGCUAGAUUUUGAGCCUUCUUCCCCAAGUUUCCUCUUUAGUCUCCUGAGUGAAAGAGCACCUGAAUCAUUUCUGUUUUUAGUACAAACUCUUGUUAUGCGCAUAAUGUUUUACCAUUCGUGUCUAAAAAUGAAAUGAGAACUCAUAUUUACACCUCUUUCUUUGUAAUUUUCAGAUUCUUCUAAUAAUGUGUGCAUACAAGAUUGCAGCAUUGGCAUGGGGUAUGAUGCCAUUGUCCUCAAGAGUGGCUGGGAUGAAUACGGCAUUGCCUAUGGAAGACCAACCACAAAUGUGCACAUCAGACGGGUCCAGCUACAAUCAUCUUCUGGUUCUUCUCUUGCCUUUGGUAGUGAGAUGUCCGGUGGCAUUUCUAAUGUGCUUGUGGAGCAGGUCCACCUAUACAACUCACUUAGUGGCAUUCAGUUUAGAACAACAAAGGGUAGAGGUGGUUAUAUCAGAAAUAUAAUCAUUUCAGAUGUCAAAAUGGAAAACAUCGGCGUGGCAUUUGGUGCGUCUGGUCAGUUUGGUUCCCAUCCGGAUGACAACUUUGAUCCUAAUGCCCUUCCAGUAUUGGAUCACAUCAGCUUACAGGAUGUGAUCGGUACCAACAUCUCUAUUGCUGGAAAAUUCACUGGGAUCAAGGAAUCCCCCUUCACUUCCUUUUGUUUGUCCAACAUCUCCUUGUCAAUCAGUUCAGGUUCUUCUACAAAUUCUUGGGUAUGUUCAAAUGUUUCUGGCUUUUCUGAUUCUGUCUUUCCUGAACCAUGUUCUGCCCUUAAGUCCUCACAUUCAAAUUCUUCCUCAGACUGCUUUUCGAUACAGACCUUGAAUGGAAAAGCCGUAGCAUUAUGAUAACAUUCAUCCAUACCCAGAUUUUUUCAGUCACAAUCCAUAAUGAGGGAAAAGAACCAAAAAUUUCUACCGCCAAUUACAGUAAUUUAGAUCACAAUUCUUUCCAAUAAGACAGUACAUGUUCAGAUUAUUCGUUUCUUCAUCGACCUGUGUAGAUUUGCACUCUUGCAUGUUCCAUUCUGCAAAUUAUUUGUACAGCUUCUUCAUUUCUUCAUUCAUGUGUAAGCAAAUUUUGGUAGUGAUGGUGUAAGAGAACUUGGGAUAUAUUGUGAGUACUGGUGCUUAAAUUUAAUUACUCUUUUUCCUUCCAAGUCUGGUGCGGUGUACCAUCUUUUAUUUGAUGUUGAAUUGCAUGGUAAUUAGUAAAGGUGAGAAAAAGUGACAUGUCUGGUCACUCUGAUGUUACUCUAGCUUUGUGCGAGUUAGAUCAUUGUUUGUUGCUGUUGGGAUACCAAUACAAUUGAAACUGGGACCAAAUCCAGAAUGGACCAGCUUGUUAUAUCAUUGAUCUUGAGUUUGACUUCAAACUCAAGCCAUCUGAAAGUUGAACCGGAGGUACCUAGUUUACGGUGUUGAUCAAAGACUUUCAAUAUUGCCGGGCAUUGGAUCAUGAUGCAACUAUUUAGAGAACAAUGUUUAAGCCUUUAAGGAGACACCAAAAACACAGAAAGGGGAAAAAGUUUACAAGGCAAGAAAAUAUGUUGGUUUCAACUUCUGCAACAAGAAAAAUACACUAAAAUGAGGUAAGUCAGAUUAACUGCGCAGCUCAUUAACAUCAAAAUCCUUGCAAUAUGCAUCACAACUCUCAGUUUUUGAUAAGUUUCUACUAUGGAUUUUUUGCACCUUAGGAGUGAAAGUUAUUAUUACCCCUGCUUGCAGUCUUAUUUACGAAAAGCGUAUCCGACCAUUUUCCGGCCGUAUACGGGUGUUUCCAGCCGAUUUCGGCCAUACAAGCGUGUACACAGUGGCUUGCAGGUCAGGAAUUUGGUCUCGGAAACGCUGGAAACGGAUCGAAAACAUCUGUAAACCCCCCGGAAACGUAUUAAAAAAUAAGUAAGAUCGAGGGGGCAAUAGUGACUUUUCAGUAACUUCCCACUGAUUUUUUGCACCUUCGGGAUGAAAAAACAUUAUUAUUCUCGCUUAUCCAACUUAUUUACAAAUAUGUAUCUGACGCUUUUCCGGCAAUAUCCGGGUAUUUUUCGCCUUUUUAGGCCAUACCAACGCGUACCCGGUGGCUUUUCUGUUCAGAAUAUGUUCUUUCAAAUGCCUGAAAAGCGUCGGAAACUCGCCGGAAACAUAUCUGUAAAUAAAUAUAGGAUUGUGGGGGCAAUAAUGACUUUGCAUCCCUAAUGUUUAGCACUUGAAUGAAUUAAGAAAGGCGCGCAACGGACGUGAGCUCUCUCACUCACUGCUUUGGGAAGCCGCAAGCCCGCAAUGACUGAAGACAAAGCUGAAGACGUGGCGAUUACGGCGACAUCUUUAGGUUUUGGUUUGUGAAGCGAAUUUGAGGAAGAAGGGAAGAAAGGUGACAUUUUUAUUUCGUUUUUAGUAUUUGAAUUUCAUGUGUCGGGGUUUUGUUAUUGAUUGUGUUGUUGAAAUGAUUGGUGCUUUUUGAUCAACUUUGUUGACUAGUAGUGUUGAUUGUUAAUAACAAAAGCGAUUAGCUAGAAUGUGAAAUUAAUUUGCUUUUCCAGAUGUUGUGUGUCAGUUAGUGUUAGAGUGAACAAGUUUGAACUUUUGGCAUUAGGGACUUCAUACGAGCCAUUUUGUGUUAGGGAUCAUUGUCGUAUGCCCAACACUUCGAUAAUCAAUCUGCAUCAGCCAACGUUUAUUUGUUUGAAAUUUUUAACCUAUAACAAUCAUACUAUUUCAUCAUUCAUGUUUGUUACAUUGUCUGUUAGGGAUGAAAUGCGGAAGCUGUUGCUUGUCGGUUUGACUUGUGCUACCCCGGAUAGCUCCAAGAGGCCUACAAUGAGGAGAGUUCUACAAAUCUUGAGUAGUGAGGCUGUGCCGGUGGUUAAGCCGAGUCUCAGUUUCUCCUGUGGUAUGUCUCUGUCUCUUGAUGACAUCGUUUCGGACUGUGAUGAAGGCUCAAUAUGUGAGAUUGUUGUCAACUGAAGCAAGAAACAUGUUUUCAUAGUUGCAAUGAAGGUCCUUGAUUGAUUUCUACACUAUUUUGAGCUUGUUCUGUUUAGUACCUUUCUGCUUAUACUUACUUAUGAGUAAGGUUAUGUCGGUUGACAUCUACAUGGACUAUACAAAAGAGUAGCUGCGCUGACAAUAGUAGUAUUAAGGUUUUGUUGGUUGAUAAUUUCUCUAUUGAAGGUUAUACUUCAUCAUAUAGGGUAAAUGGUAUUGACUCUUGAGUCACUCUAUUUCUAGAAAAGUAGACGUGCUGCUCUGAGAAUGCAGUCUGUCACCCUCAUAUGCAGAUAACUACCAAGGAAACCAUGUACAAAUGCUUCUUAUAAAAACAGGAACCAAUUUCCAGACUUCUUACAUCCGAUUACUAGAUCUCCAUCGUAUAUAACCAUCCAUAGAUCAGUCAUAUAUCCAUAGUCCUCCCUGCUGCACUGGAAAAUGAAUCCUAGACAAAAAUACAAAAGCUCGUAGAUUAUAUAGAUCACAUACAGGUGAACUAACAUAUUUGUCUGUUGCACAUAAAACAUGUCUAUCGAUCACUUGUAUAAAUAUCCACAUAGUACCCAACGCAUUCGAAACUCCAUCCUUCCAUUAAUACAAUCUAUCUAAUUUGUUGAAAUGUGAUGCUGUAUGGUUGACUUGGUUGGUGUCCGUGUGUUCAUGUAUUGCAACUUUGCAACUUUGAUCCUGUUCUGUACCUUGUUCUGCUUUUAAUUUCUGGAUUAGUGGUCGAGUGAAUUUGUGUUUGAUGAAAUUCAUCUGAGAACUAGUGGCUGUCUUGCUGUUGCUUUUUCAGGUGGUAUUGCUGUUGUUGCUAAGUUUGGGAAAUGCUAUCAAACUCGGUGCAAUUAAAACCAAGACCGCAUAGUGUUUCCAUUUUGGAGUUUGGCGCUGUUGGAGAUGGCAAAACAUUGAACACUCUUGCUUUCCAGAAUGCCAUUUUCUAUCUCAAGUCUUUUGCUGACAAGGGGGUGCACAGCUUUAUGUGCUGCCUCGAAGACGGCUUACCGGAAGUUUCAACCUUACAAGCCAUCUCACGCUGUUUUUGGAGAAGGGUGCUGUCAUUCUUGGAUCUCAGGUACUGUUUUACUCCUCAAUGAGACAGUAAAGUACUUCUGAUAAUGUGAUAUUUGCUUUGCUUUCUUGUUCUUUUUGUAGAUGUUACCAUGUUUUAGGAUCCAUCUCAUUGGGAUAUUCUUGAACCCUUGCCCUUGUAAAUAGAGUCAUAAGUCAUAACUAUUUGUUAAAUAUUUUCAUUCUUCCUAAUGACACUGCUACAUCUUGAAGCACAAACACCUUUAUACAUGGUAUCAGAAUUCGCUAUAUCAUUGAACGUAUCCAUCUUCAAUUAACAUAUGGGAUCUUUGUCAUUCUUUCUCUGGACUUGAAUAUCUAGUGAUGACAGUUUGCCGUGUCUUUUUCAGUGUCUUUGAGAAUCUCAAAUGUGGUCAACUCUCCUACAAGGGUUUGGGGAUGAAUCAGGGAAUUAGAUUGGGUGGCUGUAAAAUCCUCUUAGUGUUCAUUUGAUGCAACUAGGAGCUGGAUAAUGUGGUGCAUAAUUUUUUUUUCUUGAUUCUAAAUUUCUGCUUUGUGCAAAGUAGAGGAAGAUUGUAGGUGUUGUCUGAAAAUGCUGUCGGUUUAGUUCUGUGUUGGAGAGAACCUACUAAAAUGGUCAUUUGUAUGGCUUCUGAUUAACAGUGGGUUGUAUUUGGGCACCAGUUAAAACAGUGAGUCAUCAUUUGAAUCUUUUUCUUUCUUGAUUCAGUAGCAACAUUUAGGGAUGGAGUAUUUCGGGUUAGGACUCUAGUGGGGAGAAGAAUGAUUUACGUAACAUGAUUUUGGAAAAUGUUAUUGUCACAGAUUGCUUCUUCAGAAACAAAACUUGGUUUGGGAAGGACUUGCUACUUAUCAAGUGCAGAAGAUAAGACAGUCGAGCCUCAUGAGUAGCGAAUAAUGAAGACAAGUAUUUGAAAAAUGAAUAGGGUAGUAAUGGUUCAAAAUAUAGAAGCUUUUAUAGAAUUCUAUUACAUAAAACUGAAUUCCAGGUAGUACUAUGUAUCAAGUUCCCCUAGUGGGAUUUAGGAUCAGUUCACUCUUCUCUUACAAGAUUGGAAUCUGAUUCCUCCCCUAACAGGCUAACAUCAUCACAUGUUUAUUGGAAAAUAUAUCUUGCCACCAAAUGAUACAUCUUUAUAGGCCAAUAUAUUCUCCAUUAACUUUCCCGCCUGAGAUUCUUUAGCGCCCGCCUUCAUCACCAAUCUCUGUCUACAUUACAGCACACGCGUUCGGAUUUUCAUCGCUAAAAAUAGAUGUGAUAUUGCCAUUUCCAUUUCCAUUGCUGCUGACAUUGUGAUAUGGUUGAUCCUCAUUGUAGUGGUGGUAUUGGCUGAUCCUACUGUAAUGCGUCUGUUGUGGUGGGGGUGGUUGAACAUACUCGUAUUCAGUGACAUAAGGUGAUGGCCUGUAUGUGUUAUAGCUAUGUGUCACAUAGACAGGCGGUGGUGCAUGGACCUGAACCGGAGGAGAAGGAGAAGGAGCCUGGGCAGGGGGAGGAGUUGGUUCCGGUGGAGGUCCUUGAUUAUUAUGGUAUCUGUUAUAGUACCCGGGGUAGCCAUUAGGGUAGCCGUAUCUGUAGCCAUAAUCAGGAGGGUAGUGGUGUAUGGUACGAACUUCCCCAACUUCUCUUGGUCUGUGGUGGUACACCGGAUGUUGUUGGCCUAGAUUGGUCUCAGCAGCCACAGGUGUUGGUAGUGCCUCGGGUGGACGGGGUGGUGGUGCAUGUUCCGGUGGUGGCGGGUCCUUUGGUGGCUCGGCUGGUGGAACAGCUUCAGGAGGUGGAGUUGGUUCGGCUGGUGGAGGUGAUUCUGUUGGAGGGUUUGCUGCAUCGGGAGGUGGUGCUGCGCCCCCUUCAGGGGGUUGUUCUGCUGGAGGAGGAGCAGGCUCUGUUGGUUGCUCUAUAUGGGAACAUAUGGUGGCAAUCUUCCUUGUUUUCUUUAUGGCUUUUACUAUCUUCUCUGGAUCCGCCCACCCUAUUAUUGUCAACUUCUGCUGAGGGAAGUCAAUGUAGAGAUCAUAUAUACCUGUUCAAAGAUAAAAAAACAGUCUUAGUUCAUCAGAAUUAGAUAGCAGCAAAGAGUGAAGGCCUGGAUUUUAGAGUUAAGAUCAUGAAUGCUUACCACUGAUGCCAUGUAGUGCUUUCUUAAUCUUCUGUACACAUCCAUUGCAGUCCAUCCGGACAUGUAUCUCGGUAAUCCGAGGUUUCUGCAUUCGACAAAGGAACUACGUGGUUAGAGAUUAACGUUGAUGCAUAAUUGCAUAUAUUAUUUGUUACGUAUUUGGAGCCAUGCAUGCAUACCUCUAAUUCUGGAACCAUGGCUGGAGAAGAGAAGAGAAGCCAGGAAAUGUGAUGAGGAGGGUGGAGAGCAUAAAUGAAGAAUCAAUAGGUGGCAUUUUAUUUGCAUGCACAGGUAAGAAGGAAUAAUUGGAAGGCAAAAGAUGUGGGACAUGAAUGGAAUCAUUCAACUUUUUCUCACACAAAGAUAGUAAUGUUGCAGCUUGAUUAGCCUCUUCACAAGUCAUUGUCAAAUCCUGAAAGGAAAGAGGGAGGGUCGGUUUUGUAUGGAAUGUUGAUGAGGCCAAAGAGAAUUUGCUUUACUAUGGAUGAACGUCUAUAAUUGAAAGGAUGUCUUUGAGCUCAUUAGGAUAUCCAAAACCGACCCUUUAAAAGAAUUAAAGUGAGAUCAAGUUUGUUUAUUUCAAUCAGUGGUUGUGGGUGGCUUUUGAGGUUGAAGGAGAUCCACUAUUGUGGAAUCCUUUUGUCACAAGAAAGAUCAAUAUACACGUAUGAAAAUUGUGUUGAGAAACUAGGGCUGGAAGGCAUAUAAAUUCUGCUUUCAUUUUAGUCAUAAAGGGUGAUACAGAUUGGAAUUCAGAUUCUUUCAGACAAUGUGUACACAAAAGCUUUUCAUGAGUAAGACCAACAAUUUAUGCCAAUAAUAAUAAUCAGUGGUGCUUUAGCAUUGUGUCACGCUGGCAACAAAUUGGUUGAAUGUUUUCGCUUGAUAUACAUUGUCGACUGAUUUUCUAAUGAGGUGACACCAACAGUUAAGUGGUGCUUACUUUAGCAUUGCAUCGCGAUGUUUUGGCUUGAUAUACAUUGUCGACCUUAUUUCUAACAGUUUGAGGUUUUAGGAUUCAUAGCUAUAUGAACGGUACACAAUCCCUAGAUUACAGAAGGUUUGAGAUUUGCAAGUUCGCCUUUUACUUGUCUUCACUAAUAGGAAAUCAGAGAAUUCACCAUGUUAACUUGCAGGAUAGGGCUGCGCCUAAACUACGUUUGUUGAUCUGUCUCUUCGCGUGAAGGAGGAGAGAACUUAGUUAGGCACAUUUAACAAUUCAUGAAGAAGUAUUUGAUUGAUUUUAGAGGACAUCUUGUACUUGGUGAUUCCUUUUACUGAAUAAAUUGCCUGAUGCUUUUGAAUUUCAAUUUCAGCCAUUCUUUAUAGUCUAAAAACAAAAGCUAUACUACAAUGUAUUGGGGCAGGGCCAGACUAGCCCCAGCUCAAACCAUCCAGCACCUUCCAAAUAUUAUCAAGUGCAAUUCAUAUAACUAAUCAUGUAUUAAUUUCUUAUUAAGUAUCUGCAUUUUGACCAGAAAAGCAGGUUCUUGGCUAAUUGAAUCUGUUUAAUUUGUCAUGGUAAAGAGGUUCAGAAGUAGAGCUUUGAGUCUUCACUUGUAAAGUUGAUUACUGUUUGUUUUUGGCCAAGGUUGGGAAGAUUUAGACCUCACAGGCUCAAAUCUGCAAAAGAUCUGCUUGUUUUAAGUGUAUCUUGCUGGUCCUGCUUAGAUUAUAUAAUUUAUAUUUCAUGCAGAUAUUUUGGUUCUGGUAUUUUUCUAUUUGAGGCUUCAAUUUCUAAAAUGAAGGACUACCAAGCAGGCGAGCAACUUGAGCAUGCAAACAAAAAAAAACUUGACCAAAAUCUAAAAGCUCAAGGUGUUGUGUACAUUCUUUCUUUUUGAAUAUAAAGAUUGAAGCAGGAAAGUUUUUCAGGACCUUAAAGAAUAUACAGACUGGUUGGCUAUAGAUUGGAGAAAAAAUUGACUAGUUUUCCUUUGACUGAUUGAUGAUCGAGUUUGCUUUCAAGUUGAAAACAAGGUCCAUUUCCUCAAUGAAAGAAUAAAACUGACUAGUGUUUCAUGCUUUGUUAUGUAAGAACAAGUAAUCUUAUAUCGCAUUUGGGUAUUUUCUUGGAAUUGAUCUCUUAGACGUGCUUGACUUUUAAUCCUAGUCGUGUAUUAUGAAUUUAAGAGAAGAAAACGAUGAAUACGUAAUUUUUUGACUGUUUGUGAAGUUAAUAUCAAGAGUUUAUAAUCUUAAAAUUAUUUUACAUGGGUAAGAUUGAUCCAAACACAUUCAACAAAAGAAAUCAAGGAGUUAAAUUCAUAUGACAAUGAAAGAUGGCACCUUUCCCAUUAUUGAUUAGUGUUCUCAGUUUGCAAUAGAAGUCUCACUAUAUUCUUGACUUAUGAACUUUUAUUAUAUAUGAUGUGUUAACCCUUGUUGAGGGUUUAGAAGAUCGAAUCCUAAGCAAUACAGUUGCUCUGAAUCUGUGACAUAUGCAUGUAUAUGUGUAUUUGUAACUAUAAAAAAACUGGAGGGUCAAUCAAAUGAUCCAAUUCAAGAAUAAACAUUUGGGUUCUCUACGAGGAAGGUUUCAACUACUUCGUAAAUCCCCAUAGCACUAUUCUUUCCUGCUAUAAUCUCCUCUUCCUUGACCUCAGCUUCUCCAAUGGGGUUGUAAUUACUUGUCAUCUUGCAGAUAGAGCUCCCAUCACUAGCUGCCUCAAACUUGACCUCAUAGCCAAUAGACUCAAGCUUGUCACCUAAUGCAUCUCCCUCAAUCAUAGUGUACUUGCACACAAAAUUGUCCUGGUCGAGUUCAUCGAUUCUGUGCUUGACGUAUUUGAAAUGGCUACCUACAAUAUUGUAAUACCAAACAGAGCUUUCAUCAAUAGAAGAAAUCAAUAUAGGAGAAACUGCAGAAGUAGUGAGUAGUAGCUAAUAGCUAGAGCCUAGAAGGCUAGAAGUAAUGUAUGUUUCUAACCUUCUGUGAAGUUGACUUGUUCAAUGCUUCCUGCUCCGCCAUCUCCUUGAGUUACCUCAACGCUUGCUAUGAAUUGGGGCAACAGCUUUGGGAUCAAGUUCUUAGAGUCUAUGAUCAAAGCCUUGAACAUGCGCGAUGGGGCAAUCGGGCACAAGAACUCCUGUGAAAUGCUUGUCACACCCAUGAUGAUAUGUAGACUGAUUGUAAAAGGAUGAUCUAGAUAAUCAAAACCUGAUUAUAUAUAGGAACUGGUUGGAAACUAAGCAGUGGUAGUACAUAUAUAUACAGAUGGAAAUCUAUUUUAGAAAGAUUUUCAAAGCUUUGAUCAUAGACUUGGAGCUGUAGUCAUAAUAGUUUCAAAGUUGCUUGGCCGCUUAGUUGGAACUUGGACUUAUGAGUUCAAACUUCAAAAAUUCUCUAAAGAAAAUACAUGAUUUGGUGUUUAUAAACACAUGGGCGGCGCUUACAAGAAACAGUAGCAUAUCCUGGGUACGAGGACGAAGUUUUGUAGCUCAUCUUUUAUUCGACUCUGUGAGCAAAAUUUUAGGCUGUGAACAUUCAUAUCCCACAUCGAAGAUGAGGACUAUUCUUCUUGUCUUAUAAACCUGGGUAGCUGAAUAACGCGUAACACCACUGGACAAAGCGAUUGGGCUAUGAUUCUUGAUCAGGCCCAGGAAAGUCCCCGGGCCACUAUCUGCAGAGAUGCAGGCCUGGAAACAGGUAAGCUCUGUUGAGUUGGAGUCCUAUCGCUUAAUGUGAUGAGGCUGAGACACGUGUGGAGCCUUAAUAGGCUUCAACCCAGAGUAUCUUGGCCGAGUGUACAGUUAUUCGCUUGGUCCUUUGGGCUAACUGAACGGGGCUUAUGAUUCAGUGGUGGUAAAUUUUUUAGUAGGGGAGAUCAGGUGGUAAUUUUUUUGAGGGGAGAGAUCAGACGGAUCCGGUCAUUCUCACUCCGGAAUUACAGAAUGAAGUAGUUACGUCGAGAGUGAGGGCAUGGUGACAGCUGGAUUGCACUCACCUGGGGCCGUAUCUAUGUGUCCACGUGUACAGUUAAGGGGUGCUUGACGUCGCUGAGAGCUGUGGAACACUCACACAACGCUUAACUGAAGCGUUUGACAUAGGUUCCACCAACAUUUUCCCCAACUUCCCAAAGUAAGGGGAAUGUCUUGGUUGAAGAGUUUCAUGCAAAAUACAAGUAGAAACGCUUGUUUGUUAAGCGUUGGUGUGUGCGUGUUCGUGUUCAUGUUCGGAAACACUUGCUUCGUUCUUGCUACAAAAUAUAGUUAUUCGCUUAGUCCUUUGGGCCUUUGGGCUAAAUGCACAGGGCUUAUGAUUCAAUGGUGGUAAUUUUUUUGAGUAAGCCCAAAGCGUUAUGCAACUAAAGUGAAUAGGAGGUUGGAAGAAAUAAGACUAUUCAUUAGUGAAUUAACAAAUACAGUAGGCUAAUUUGAAGUCAAUAGUUCAUGGUGUACUAGAUCUUUAUACAUCACUAUACAAGAUAGGAGGUUUGAGAGUUAAAUCACUAAUGAUAUAUUUGGUUUUAAGCUUCAACUAGUUACAGAGAAUUAUAAUGAAUUGCAUAACCCAUCCUAGACAUAGGUGCAUCAAUUAGUUUGGAUUCCAAUAAAUCUAUCUUUUAUAUUGGCUUUGUCCAUGAAUUUGGAUGAACUACUUUUACAUUCCGAAAGAUAACACAGACCCAGAUUAGAUCAGAACCAGAAUCAUAUAUAAUCACAAUCUUGUAGAUCACAACAGGAAAAUACAGAAUAUAAAGUACAAGAACAAAAUUAAGUCUGGAAACAAAAACAUGAACAACAGUACAUGUUAGAUGUAUUGUUCACAGCAUCAUAAUUCCCACAAAUUAAUUUCUACAACUUCUUGAAAUGUUUUACUUUCAAGUGUAUGCACGAGGAUGAGCCAUUAGGUAGGCCUCUAGGACUUCAUACAUCCCAAUGGCUCUGUCUUUGCCAAGCUCAAUGUCCUCUUCUUUGAUCUGAAUACCAUCUUUGGCUUUGUAUUCACUUGUCAAAUGACAUAUACAUCCUCCCCUGCCAUACCCUUCAAACUUGACAUCAUAGGUAAUGUACUCAAGCUUGUCCAGCAAAUGUUCUGCUGCAUCACUUUCAAUGAAGGUGUACCUGCACAUCAGAUUCUCCUUGUCCAGAGCAUCAAUCCUGUGCUUUGCAUAUCUCAUAGGACUAGCUGCACAUCACAAACAACACCAAACAUUUAGUUACCUAUUAGACUAGUUCUAUGACCAAAGGAUGCAAAUAUUUCCAAUUUAGUUCAUUCCGGCAUGAAACUCUUAAGUUGGUAUCUGAAACUCGAUCAGUCGGAUCAUUAAAGGGUUUAAAUGCUUAUAUGAGUUGGAUCUGAAGCUAACCCUUUUGAGUAUAUAUGAAACAUAAAUGGAAAAGUGAAAGAGUUGACUUGCUGAUCAAUAAUACCUUCAGUGAAGUUGAUCUGUUUGAUGGUUCCAACUUCUCCUUCACCUUCCAGGAAUUCGAUACUUUUAAUCGAAGAGAACAUGAGCUUGGGACAGAGGUUGUGAGCAUCAAGGAUCAAGGCCUUGAACAUCCUUUCUGGAGUUACCUGAGUGAUAAACUUCUGACUGAUUUUGGUGAUCCCCAUCUUGGCUCAGCUAGCUUCUGAUCAAGACUCUGAUUAGAAAUACGGAUUUGAAGUGUAUGAAAGAUUGGAUGAUGAUGUUUCAGAAAUGAUAAUAUGAAGACUGAGACUCUAUGCCCUGGCGGCUUGGUAUGAUGGUAAAUUUGAUGUCUUUGAUAUUUUAGGAGGGGGAAUGCUUUAUAUGAGACGUAAAACAUGGACCAGAAUGUGUUCUAAAGUGGACUUUUCAACACGGCUAUGGAUGGUUCUAUCUUCUUUACAAAACCAGAUGGGAGGUGACAAAGCUCGUAUUUAAAAUUAAUUAAUAACAUAUAUUAUGACUUAAACUCUUAUAAAUUUAUAGAGAAUAUCUUAUAUUUUAUAUGUGGGAUUAAUAUCUCAAUAGAAGACAUGAAAUUUUCAUGUAAAAUCAGAUGGGAGGUGAUAAAAUAGUCUGGUUCAUAUUUAAAAUUAAUUGACAAUAUAUAAAGUGACACAAACUCUUAUAAACCUAUAAAAAAUGUCUCAUAUUUUAUACGUGAGAUUAACAGGAGGCAUGAAAUUUCCAUGCCCUGAAAAUACUCUUUGCCUUUUUUUAUAUUAACCAGGAAGACUAGCUGACAUGGUUUUAUGGGGUUUAAAAUGAGAAAUCAAACGUGAUGAUCAAGUUGUUUCAUGUUCCCACCAGUACCUAAAGAACAACUGGAUCAGCUGGAUAUCGUUCAUUUCGUUUUGCAAGCGAGAACCAUGAACCUUGUUGUCAAAUUAGUGGAUCCUUGAAUUGAUUAUAUUUCUAGAUGAGUUGGGUGGAAUAUUAUUUUCAACUUGUUGUCUUUUUGCUUCCCAAGGACUUCUACUUGAGAUUUUCUUUCCUUUUCUUUGCAGCAGAGAAAGAAGAACCAGAGUUGGUAUUGCCCAUCUAGUAGGAGCCUUAAGUUAAGGAAAAAUAUUUUUCAGCUUAUUUUAUUUUUUGAUUUUAUAUCUACAUCUUAAUGAGUAAAUUAUUUCUAUAAAUUUCAGCCAUAUUGAAAAUCGUUAAAGCAUUUAUAAGUGUGAUUUACCAAUUAUAAACUUGAACGGUUCAUGUUUGACAGAUUUGGUUCGUCCAUUAAUUUGAUCUAGUUUGUUACUUUAACAAUCACUAAUAUAGCUGAAAAUUUAUAGAAUUAAUCUACUCAUAUAGACCUAAAAACUGAACGGAUGAGAUGCCAAAAUGUGAUCGAAAAAUGGAUCUUUUAAACCAUAAACUGAAAAAUCUUUGACUAGUCCUCAACUUAAAGGUCCUCGUUAGAAGGGCUCCCUUGUUGACAUAGCCAGAAGUAUACAAAUUGGUUUUUGGGGGGUUUAGGCUUUGCGGGUGUAUCUGAGGCCAGGAGGGUAUUCAACUUUGGAGACAUCCAAGAGAUUUAUGAGAUGAUGUAUAGGUCCAGAAAAGCACUAGGAUUUUACUUGGGUGUGUCCAGAGCAUUUUGUUUAGCUGUUCCUUGUUCUCUUUUUUCUGCUGAACUCUUUGAUUGAAACCUUCUAAAUUCUAAUUCAUAAAGCGCUGAGGUAUGAGUCCAGAUGAUCAAAGUUCAGAUUUAUUAUAGUGAAAGUGUUUCAAUCACGCAUAACUGCAUUGCCAUUAUAUCAAGAGGCCGAUAAACCAAAGCCACACCUAUAAACAUGACAGACUCAUAGAAAUUUUCUUUGAACACCCCUCUCAAAUGAAUUGUUUUAUUUUUUAGGAGCAAUCUACAGAUGAAAUGUUUGAUAUCAAGUAUCAUUAUAGACAUCUGGGUUUUGGAGGAGGUAGGCUUCCACAACUUUGUACAUCCCCAAGGCCUUUUCUCUGCCAGAAAUCAUGUCUUCGUCAUUGAGCACAAUGUCACCUUUGGUGUGGUAUUUGCUCACCAUCCUGUUCUUACUGCCACCUUCUGGUGUGGCCUCAAACUUAACCUCAUAAGAAAUAAACUCAACUUUCUCCAUUACCGAAGCAUCUCCUUCAAUCAAGGUGUAAUUAUACACAUAGUUCUCAUCAUCCACCUCAUCAACCCUAUUUCGCACAGAAAUGAUCUGCCCACCUGCAUAAAAGAUAACAUGUUCAUGCUAAGAAACUCCACAAAUUUUGUGUAAAAUCAAAGUGUGGGGGUAAAUGUUCAUUUGUCAAACAGCUAACAUGUUAAUGUUGUUAGACUGUGAAUCUGGCACGACAUGUUCAACAACAGUUUACCGAACAAAAUGUGUCAUGCCGGACUGCCUGAGAAGUGAACAACUCAGGUAGUAGUUAAUUUAUCUAUUAGCAAGCUAGCUGUUUAUAACAUUAUAUGCAUGCCUUCGGCGAAAUUGAUCUGCUUGAUGCUUCCUGCUCUUCCGUCACCUUGGAUGGUGUCGAUGCUCUUAAGGGCAUCAGGCAUGAGCUUUGGGACAAGGAUGUCAGCAUCAAGGACUAAGGCCUUGAACAACCUGCAUGGAGGGAUUGGGGAAGUGUACUCAUCUGUAUAGGUGGUCACCCCCAUAGUGAGAAACCGCUUGUAUAGAAAUUAGAACAGCUUUGGUCAGUGAAGAUGGUGAUCAUGGGGUAGUAUAUGUAGGCUCAAGACUAGUAGGAGAGACAUUAAAAAAUUCUUGUUCCAGAAAUUUGUUUCGGUUAGUACAAGGCCUGACUUAUGUACAAUCUGUCUUGAUGUGAGUUGAAAGGGAGCCACUUCCAAGGUUCAGCAAAGAGAAAGAGACAUUUAUACAUGGAAUUGAAUUUGUUGCAAAAUUCUCUAUUCCUGUGUAGGGCUAGCUGCACUUCUUCACAGUUUGCAAAACUGCAAACUAACAAUAUAUUCAUUCAUAGACCCGGCCUCAGUCCUCGCAUAUAAUUAUAUUCUAUUUGAUUCCGAAUAUUCAUGGUCACCUGAAGACAAAUUGAAUGAAUAUGAAUAUUUGGAGUACAAAAGAAAAAUAAUUUUGUUGCACCUAUGAGUAGAUUAGUUGGUGGAUCAUCUUGAUCUAUGCAUGCUGGCCAGGGCCAUCCCUAUAUGAAACGAGGCCUGAUGCGAAUUUUGAGGUCUUUCAAACUUAAUCAGAAACUAUAAUUUGAGAGUAUGACGUAUAGAGAAAUCGGAUUAACAUUUUAAUUAGUUUUAGGCAAGGACUAAGAAAACAUAGAUGAAACAUUUGCAGCAUAGCUAGGUAAUUUGUAAAAGAAGUUUUGACAGUACCGGUACCUCAACUUCUGUGCGACGGUCAAAGUGGUACCUAGACUUUAAAAACUAUUAACGUGAUACCUAAACUUUGUUUUUGCUACCAAAGAAAGGCCUAAGGCAAAUUUUCGUUACGGUGCCGUCUGUUUGCUGACGUGACCAGCAUCGGGUCCACUAAAAAAAGGGCAAAAAAGACAUUUUACACAAACUACACCCUAAUCGAGUCAAAAACGACUUUUUCUCUCACAUCUUCUUCACCUUCCUUCUUCUUCCCUUUCUUCUUCUUCUUCGACAGAGAAAGAGACGAGACGGCGAGACCCAAGUCUGUGUGAGACUCCCAGAUUCCCUACAAAUGGGGAAAGGUGAGAAAAGCCUGCACCAGCAACACCUCCAGGAUCAGAGUCACCAAACCCUCGAUGCUUCUGGGUUCAUUUGUCCCGAAUGUUCCAAAUUCUUGAACAGAAUCGCCCAGGAGUUCAGCUUCCGAUGCGUCUUCGUUUAAUUCUCGGCUUCUCGGUUUUCCUCUCCGGGAUCUUGUGGAUCCUUCCUCGCCAUUCCGUCAAUUCUGGGUUCGAUGCCAAAGAAUCGAUUAAGCUCGGUGGUAGGUCCACUUAUUCCUUUUUCUUCUGUAUAAAUCGGUUCAAUUUUUCUUUUUUGAGGUAGUGAGUAUGUUAAUUUUCGUAUUUCUGGCAUGAUUUUAUGUAUUUUUGGGGAUAUUGGGGAUCUUCAUCGUGCUGGUGUGUCAAUAUUGGUUCAGUGGUGGUUAACCUAAUUAUUAGGGGUUUUUGAUGCUUUUAGAAUAAAAUGAAUUUGAUGAUUGUUUGGGUCUUGCAAUGUUCGACUCACCCGGCUAUAUAUAGGAUAUUGCCUUGUCACUUGUUUUUUUAAGCAUUGCUUGCGUUUCGAGGAUAUUGUUAUGCAGCUUUUUCAUUGUUUCACCUGCUUGUUAUGCAAAUUAGAACCUGAAAAAUUUGGGAUUUUACUUGGCUGUCAGAAUUUCAUGUACCUGUCAAGAAUUAGGUGUCACGUCCCCCAACCGCACUAGCCAUGAAUGUGGCAACUGGUGAGAACCAAUAGAUCUCGGCCUUAUGUGCAUAAUCCAACCCAUCGUAAUCUAUGUGUUAAUCACCUCAAAAUAUCAAAGCUAAGCAUUAUGAUCAUAGGAUAUGAUUAGUUUGACACAAGCUGUUAAAUUUGUCAACUUGUAAAUCUGUAAACUAAGAUGUCCUAGUACAAUGACCUGUGUUGUCUACAAAGGCACUGAAUUAUCCUGCCAAAAGUUCCUUCAAGCUUCUAAUCACACCUUCGUAUGGGAUUGGAUUCAUUUUACAUUGUUGGAUUAUCAUUAUUGUUCAUGUUGAGGACCCUAGAAUAGCUAAUAUGGCAAAUGACUAGACCAAUUUGUUAGCAUUGCUGCAGAACUAAUUCAGCUCCAUUUUAGUAACAAGUUUGCUCCUACCAUACUAUAACAACUCUGGAAAGAGAAGAAUACCAAAUUCAUAAAAGUUUUCUUUUUUUUUUUUUUUGCAUAAAAGCCCUUAUAUAAGAUUAAAAGAGUAAUUGGUGAUUGGCUUUCAAAAUAGUUAUUUUUGAUAUAUUUUUGUUGCUCAGAUGCAGGUGGCUAUUUUGUCAAUAGGUGGCUAUUUUGUCCAUGCACCAAAAUAGUGCAUCUAACUGGACUGAUGUGGUGUUUGGUGUCUUCUGAUCCGGUGAAUGUUCCGAUACUUCCAGUGUCCAUAAGUGUGCUGAGAUCAUCUUUGGUUGAGCUGUUCCUUAAGCAAUCAACGUUUGGACGACAUGAACGUUAGUUGUCGUUGUGGUAAUCUAAUUGAUCAUUGCUUUAGAAUGUCUUUCCGUUUUGUUUGAAUGCUUUAUUGCUUUAAGCCACUUCACAACACAAUGCAGUGUUUGCAUCUUUUUACUAUCCUUUCAUUGACAUUUCAGGAGUACUUUGGUUUUAGGAAUAUUGCUGAAAUGUUUUGUUAACUGUUGGAAAUAAUGUUGUUGUUGAAUUGUGUUGGAAAUGUCUUGUUUGUCUUUCACAGGUCCAAAGGGCACCAGCCCCACCCAAGGAAUCAAGACCUAUCAAGGACCAGGUCAUAAAGUCUAGAAAGGGAUGGAAGAAAAUGAAGUUGGCAAUGGAGGGUAGUUCUACUGGAAAUGGUAGUGCAUCAGCCGGCCUCAACACAGCCUCCUACUCAAAGCAGCCAAAAUCAUGGAGCAAGGGGUGCUCAAAAGUGAAUGUGCUGGCUUUAAAUUAGAGAAACAUAAUGUGUACUUCAUCAUGUUUUGGAAUUAAUUUUUUGCAAACAAUCUGGUUCCUUGAGUUUUUGGAAACCAAUUAAGCUUGAAUCUAAUGCAUAGUAUGUUUCUCAUGUUGAACUGAUGUUGGUUUUAAUGGUUUUAAUUCAGUGAUAUUGGCAGACCUUUUGGUUCUAUGUUUGAAUUUCUAUGUUACAUUUUCAGCUAUUGCAUUGCAUAGUAUUUAUUGUCAGCAGAUAAACACAACAGUAAUACCUAAACUUUACUAAACUGAUCAAUGUGAUACUUAAAUUUUACUGAACUAAUCAAUGUGAUACCCAAGAUGAAAACCAAAUAUUCAAUUUUAAAGAUUUUGGAGGGAAAACGGUUUUGGAGAAUUAGAAGGUUAUUUUUGUUAUUACACCUUUUUUUAGUGGACCUCAUACCAGCCACGUCAACAAACUAACGGCACAGUUACGGAAAUUGGCAUCAGGCCUUUCCUUCGUAGCGAAAUAGAAGUUUGGGUACCACAUUGAUAGUUUUUAAAGUAUGGGUACCACUUUGACCGUGCCACAAAAGUUGAGGUACCGGCGGUGCAUUUUUCUCUUUGUAAAACUUAGAAGACUAUUCAUAUUGCCAACUUCCUUUUCAUCCAGCUUUCUAUCUACCUUCUCUUUUGGGGUUUAACUAUAUGUUUAUAUGCUGAAUCAGAAUUAUAGGAGGCAUCUUGGAGCUUGAGGCCUAAGGCGACAGCCUUGGCCAAGUUGGCAACAGGUAAUAAGCUCCCCUUGUUGAAAACUUACAACGAUGGAGACAAAGGGCUCCUUUAGCUUCUGCAAGGCUUUUAUAACCAUUCGUGCAUGAGUGAAACUGUACGUGAGACUCUAAUACCUCUUACAAUCAAAGGAAUUCUACCUAAGAAGAACUUGAUUAGCUACAUAAGUCAUCUUAGAUAUUUCGAUCCAUUGGAAUCUUUUCAUUAAUUUUUUUUUUCCAUUAAAGGCCAUAUUUUUGGGAGCUUUUAGGAGAUGAAGAUAAAUACUAAUCUAACCAUGUUGGAGACAUGAAAUGUCUAGUAGAAAACCAAAUGGAAUUCAUUCAUAUCAUACAUUUUAAAACGAGACCAUAAUUAUUAAGUUGGUAAAGAAUAUGAAAAGACAAGCUUCUCUACAAUUGACGUAUCCAUCGACCUCCCUUCACAUUGCUAUAUUUGUGCUACUGUUCUCCAUCUAUCUAUCUGAUCUUUUUUUGUUUGUCAGAGUUUCUUUAUGUAGAAUAUUUGUAAAUAUUUACUUUCCUUGUAUGUGUAGGUUAAAUAUUUUUGUAUAGAUGUAGGAGAUAUAUUUUCUAUUAGCACUACAGUUGUAUCUCUAUAUAAACCUCUAAUAUGGAGAAGAAUAUACAUUGAAGCAUUCCAAAUCAUAUUGAAUCCUUAUUUUCUACUUGGCAUCAGAGCCAAUCAAACUUGUAUCUUCCGAAACCCGAAACCUGAAACCUGAAUUUCGAUUCAUAACACCAAAAACAAAAUCCGCUGCGUACAAACAAAAGCAAACCUUUUUUUAGUUUAAAUGGGAGAUCAAAUCACCGAACCUGAAAACCCCUUUGCACUCAUGCCUCCGGUUGUCAACCAUUAUCAUACCACCACUCAAGACAACUCGGCCUUUCCGACCAGUGUUGCCUUGAAUGAAACCAAUUAUUCAAUAUGGGCACCUCUUAUGAAGAUGAGGAUUGGAGCACGCGGUCAACGGAGCCAAAGUCACACCAGAUGAGAAUUCGCCUGAAUUUGAAACUUAGACCACAGAGAAUGAGAGAGUAAAAAUUUGGCUCAUUGAUUCCAUGGAGCAAGCACUCAUCAAUCGAUAUAUCCGACUACCAACAGCCAAAGAUGUUUGGGAAGCAGUUGAGAAGACCUUUUAUGAUGAUUCUGAUGAGACUCGAAUCUUUGAAUUGAAUAAGAAGCGCUUUGCAGUGAGACAGAAUGGUCGGCCUCUUCCUAUCUAUUAUAAUGAAUUGGUGGGAAUGUUCCAAGAGAUCGAUCAACGUAUUGCCUCUCAAAACAACACAGUAGCUGGAGUUAUUCAAGAAACGACCACUAUGGUGCGUAUGCGAGUUCACAUGUUCCUUAGUGGGCUCGAUUCAGAGUAUGAUCAAGUCUGUGGUGAGAUCCUUCGUAAAGACCCAAAAUUCACCUUGGAGCAAAGUUAUGCCUAUGUUCGAAAGGUGCAUUCUGAUUGGCAAGUUAUGGGACAUGCUGCUGAGUCUUCUGUUAUGGUUGUCCAACGCAAACAGGGUCGUCCUCCAGGCUUCUCAAAUGCUCCACCACGUAGCUCCCCAGCAAAACCGAAUCCUUAUGCAAACGUCAAGUGUCCGGUUUGUGGAGACUUGGGUCAUAGCAAGCGACGAUGCUAUGAAGUCAUCGGUUACCCAGAUUGGUGGGAUUUCACAAGAAGACCCCGAAAGAAUCAAGCAAAUGCUGCCUUAGCUACUACAGAAGAGGAGCAACCAUCCAAUGCAACCGCCAAUGUCGUAGAAACAGGUAUAAUCGGUAAGGUAUCUAGGAAUAGUUCUUGGAUUAUUGAUUCAGGGGCGUCUGACCAUAUGGUUAAUGAUCCUAGCCUCUUGGAAAAAUUUAAACCCUCCACCCAAAAUAUUGUUUCUACUGCUGAUGGUACUCCAACUUCGGUCACUGGAGAAGGCUCUAUUGUCCUCUCCAACACAUUAACCCUUGAUUCUGUUUUAGUUGUCCCAUCAUUAGCAUACAAUCUCCUCUCAGUUAGCCAAAUCAUUCAAGCAUUAUCAUGUAUUGUUACUUUUUAUCCCUCGUUUUGUGUGUUUCAGGACAUUCUAACUCGGCGGGUUCUAGGUUGUGGUACUAGAAAGGGAAAAUUUUACUACUUGGAUCUGACAGAGCAAGGAGAGCAACAGUUAUUGGGACAAGUGAAUCAGGUCAAUGGAGUAGAGAAUGCAAAGGCAGCGUUAUGGUUAUGGCAUAAGCGAUUGAGACAUCUAUCUUUUAGUUAUCUUAAAAAACUACAACCUCAUUUGUUUUCGGUUGUUAGUGAUUCAGAGUUUUGUUGUGAUGUAUGUGAAUUGGCUAAAAGCCAUCAGAUUUCAUAUUCCCCUAGUCUUAAUAAAGUCCCAUUCCAUUCAUGAAAAUUCAUUCUGAUGUUUGGGGACCUGCCAAGAUCUCUACUCAUUCUGGAGCUCGAUAUUAUGUGACUUUUAUUGAUGACUGUACUCGGAUGAUAUGGGUAUCUCUCAUGAAGAAUAAGAAUGAGGUUUGUUCCAUAUUCCAAGAAUUUCACAAGAUGGUGUCUACACAAUAUCAACAGGCUAUUCGAGUCUUCCAAUCUGACAAUGGCGGAGAAUAUAUUAAUGGUCCUAUGCAAAAAUUUAUGCAAACUCAUGGAAUUCGACAUCAGACUUCAAAUACAUACACUCCUCAACAGAAUAGAUUGGCAGAGCGAAAGAAUCGACAGUUGCUUGAAGUUGUCUGCGCAUCCUUAUUUGGCAUGAAUGUAUCUCUUGAAUAUUGAGGAGAAGCUUUGAAGUCUGUUGCCUAUAUCAUUAAUCGUAUUCCUUCUCGGGUGAUUGAAUUUCAAAGUCCUCUACAGCAACUUCAACAUCUUUUUAUAGUACCAUCAUUGCCAAACUUGGAGCCCCGUGUUUUCAGAUGCGUAGUAUAUGUUCAUAUUCCCAAGCAACAACGAAGCAAACUUGAUCCUCGUGCCAAAUGGUGUAUCUUUCUUGGGUAUGCCGAGUUUCAGAAAGGCUAUCGGUGUUAUGAUCCUCUCACCGACACAAUUUACAUGUCUCUUGAUGUUUCUUUUCGAGAAUCUGAACCUUAUUACUCAGGGGGAGCUUCGACGUCUUCUCUUUAGGAGGAGAGAGGUUAUGAAGGGAAUUCUAGACAUUUAUUUAAGUUUGAGGAAUUUGAAGAGUUGGAAGCUUUGGAGUCCAGAUUCAGAAUUGACAAAGCUACAAAAAAUAAUGGAAUUGAUGCACAUGACACAGAUGUCAGGGAGGCAGACAUGAGGACCCCACCGGCUGCACAUGACGCAGAUGUCAGGGAGGCAGACAGCGUGGACGUCUCUUCAGGCGUGGACCUCUCUGUUGAGCCGUGCAUCUCCCCUGAGCCGAGCUGACCAAGCCGAGCUGCGCCCUUACCCGAAGAAAGCAGGCCUGGUCGCAUCUGUACUGAGCCGAGCCGACCAAGCCGAGCUGCGCCCUCAACUGAAGACAUUAGGCUUGGUCCGGCUCCGACGCGUGUCAACAACGACACUGGUUAUGCAGAUGAAAAGGCAGCAGUCCUGAGUCCCACAGAUUUGACAAAAAAUUGUCCCGAAAAUGCUUCGUCAGAUGUUUUCCCUUUCUCAGCACCAUCGACUAAAGAAUCUGCCGCGAAUGUCCCUGCUCAGGUAUCUUUAAAUUUAAAUCAAUUAUCUGAGGUAGAUAAUAUUGUAUCUAGAAAGUCACAGAGGAUUACCAAAGGUGUUCCAAAGAAACAAUUAAUAUGAAUCUGACAUUAAACCCAAAACUAAGUAUCAUGUAGCCAAUUACAUGUCUAACCAUAGAUUGGCCGAGUCACACGCCCUUGUCAUUAAUCAAUUAUCUAGUGUUUCUAUUCCUAGUAAUGUACAAGAUGCAAUGGAAGAUCCCAAGUGGACUCAAGCAAUGAACAAAGAACUAGAGGCAUUACAGAAAAACUCAACUUGGGAUAUUGUGCCUAAACCAGUUGGGAAAAAGACCGUUGGAUGUCGUUGGGUAUUCACUGUAAAGUUGAAAGCAGAUGGGAUCAUUGACAGGUAUAAAGCACGGUUGGUUGCCAAGAGAUACACCCAGCGGUAUGGCAUUGAUUAUGAAGAAAUGUUUGCGCCUGUAGCAAAGAUCAGCACUGUACGAAUCUUGAUUUCACUUGCAGCAACUAAAGAUUGGCCUCUACGACAGUUUGAUGUGAAGAAUGCUUUCCUUAAUGGAAACUUGGAGGAAGAGGUGUAUAUGGACAUGCCACCAGGAAUCAAAAGUAGAUCGUGCGAUGCCGGCAAGGUUUGUAAGUUGAAGAAGUCCUUGUAUGGUUUGAAGCAAUCUCCUAGAGCUUGGUUUGGAAGAUUCUCCAAAUCAAUGAAGAUGUUUGGUUAUAGACAAAGCAACUCGGAUCACACUUUGUUUAUCAAACGUAGUCAGGGUAAGAUCACUGCUCUGAUUGUGUACGUUGAUGAUAUGAUUGUCACAGGGGAUGACCCAAAGGAGAUGGAGGCUCUACAAAAGUACCUUUCAAAGGAGUUUGAGAUGAAGGACCUUGGACAGUUGAAGUAUUUUCUUGGAAUUGAAGUUGCAAGGUCAAAGCAAGGGAUUUCUUUGUCCCAACGUAAGUAUGUACUUGAUUUGUUAGCUGAGACUGGAAUGCUUGACUGCAAACCAGUUGAGACACCAAUUGAGAUGAACCACAACCUCGCCAUCUAUCCAGAUCAAGUCCCGACUGAUAAAGGAAGGUAUCAAAGUCUAGUAGGGAGACUUAUUUAUCUUUCUCAUACCAGACCUGAUAUUGCUUAUGUUGUGAGUGUGGUUAGUCAAUUUAUGCAUUGUCCAAGUGAAGAUCAUAUGGAUGUAGUGUACCGUAUUCUGAAGUAUCUUAAGAUGACACCUGGCAAAGGCUUGUUGUUCGAAAAGAAGGGUGAAUUGGAAGUUGUAGGGUACACCGAUGUUGAUUGGGCUGGUGAUAAGACAGACAGACGAUCUACAUCUGGGUAUUUUACAUUUGUUGGAGGAAACCUUGUAACUUGGCGUAGUAAGUAGCAGAAGGUUGUUGCUAGGUCAAGUGCUGAAGCAGAAUUUCGAGGUAUGGCACAUGGAGUUUGUGAGAUGUUAUGGAUUCGUAAUGUGUUGAAAGAAUUAGGUUUUAAACUCAAACAACCUAUGGACUUGCAUUGUGAUAACACAUCUGCAAUUGAAAUUGCUCAUAAUCCUGUUCAACAUGACCAGACCAAGCAUGUGGAGGUAGAUCGGCAUUUUAUCAAGGAAAACUUGGACAGGAAAAUAAUGUGUUUUCUUUUUGUGUAUAUAGAAGACCAAUUGGCAGAUUUCUUACGAAAGGAGUAUCAAGGAAAGUGUUUGAUGACUCAGUUGUCAAGUUGGGCAUGAUUGAUAUCUAUGCACCAACUUGGUCAUGCCCAACUUGAGGGGGAGUGUAGAAUAUUUGUAAAUAUUUACUUUCCUUGUAUGUGUAGGUUAAAUAUUUUUGUAUAGAUGUAGGAGAUAUAUUUCCUAUUAGCACUACAGUUGUAUCUCUAUAUAAACCUCCAAUAUGGAGAAGAAUAUACAUUGAAGCAUUCCAAAUCAUAUUGAAUCCUUAUUUUCUACUCUCUACUUCUCUACAAGUACAUUGUACCAUUAGAAAUCCAGAAUCAUGGGUUCAAUUAUCAUUUUCACAGAGGAGUUCACAAGUCCAGUUGAUCCAGUAAGGCUGUUCAUGGCCUUAGUCCUUGACUUUGACAAUCUCAUCUCAAAGCUCAUGACUCAACCCAUCAAGAGCAUAGAAAUUGUUGUGGACAAUGGAGGCCAAAGAAGCAUCAAGAAGAAAGGCUAGCUUUAUUUAUAUAUGGAAUGUAUGUGGUUUGAGGAAUAUUAGUUUAUGAUGUUAACAGAUCAGUUGUGCAGGUAGCAGAAGCAAAUACUUGAAGAAGAGAUUUGAUGCUUUGGUCAAUGAAGAGUGCUUGACAUAUGGUUACACACUGAUGGAGGGAGAUAAACUGUUAUAUAAGUAUGGAAAUGGAUUAAAACACAGAUGUAUAUAAUGUCAAACAGCGACAAACGUGGCCUGUGGAUCAUCUUUGUACCAAUACUGUUCUAACUUAACCACUUUUAAGGUGUUGGGUUUUAAUCACAAAAGGUCUCGGUACAAUUAUGAAUGACCCACCUAGUUAUGAAUUAUAUUUUCUUUGUCACUUUUCCAAUGUGGGAUCUCUCCUCUCCAACACUCCUCUUCACGUGCAACCUAACUUUUAGGUUUGCACAUGAAACUGAUUAAUAAAUUGAACCCAGGCCCCAUGAUAACCAAAAGAACCUCAAACUUCCAAUGACAACUGAAAGAACCCCAAACUCGAAAGAACCAAACCAAGGCCAUGGCCCCUGAAAGAACCAACCCGGGCUCAUUGGAGAUGCAACUGCUCAUUGGAGAACCAACCCAGGCCCCAUGAUAACCGAAAGAACCUCAAACUUCCAAUGACAACUGAAAGAACCCCAAACUCGAAAUCCCAAUGACAAUUAAAAGAACCCUAAACUCGAAAGAAGCAAACCAGAGCCAUGACCCAUGAAAGAACCAACCCGGGCUCAUUAGAGACGCAACUGGAGAGGGACCCGCUCUGGUACCAUGUCAAACAGCGACAAGCAUGGCCCGUGGAUCAUCCUUGUACCGAUAUUGUCCUAACUUAACCACCUUUAAAGUGUUGGGUUUUAAUCACAAAAGACCUCGGUACAAUUAGGAAUGACCCACCUAGUUAUGAGUUAUAUUUUCUUUGUCACUUUUCCAAUGUGUGAUCUCUCCUCUCCAACAUAUAACACAGACAAAGUUUUUCUGUUUGUCACAUGGUUNNNNNNNNNNNNNNNNNNNNNNNNNNNNNNNNNNNNNNNNNNNNNNNNNNNNNNNNNNNNNNNNNNNNNNNNNNNNNNNNNNNNNNNNNNNNNNNNNNNNNNNNNNNNNNNNNNNNNNNNNNNNNNNNNNNNNNNNNNNNNNNNNNNNNNNNNNNNNNNNNNNNNNNNNNNNNNNNNNNNNNNNNNNNNNNNNNNNNNNNNNNNNNNNNNNNNNNNNNNNNNNNNNNNNNNNNNNNNNNNNNNNNNNNNNNNNNNNNNNNNNNNNNNNNNNNNNNNNNNNNNNNNNNNNNNNNNNNNNNNNNNNNNNNNNNNNNNNNNNNNNNNNNNNNNNNNNNNNNNNNNNNNNNNNNNNNNNNNNNNNNNNNNNNNNNNNNNNNNNNNNNNNNNNNNNNNNNNNNNNNNNNNNNNNNNNNNNNNNNNNGGUUUGUUUUUCCAUUAGGGCACCCUAAUGGGCUACUAUGCGACUCAAUUAAGAAAUACAAUCUGGGCUGAUUAAGAAAGAUAUUGGACAAUGGAUACAAUCAAACUGUUGACAAUAUAUAUGAUCUGUUAAUCAAAUACAAUUAAGCCUGGGAUCUUAGAUUGUACACUAUCAUAUUUGAUGUGCAUAUUUGUUGUCGUUGAUGGUAGUGAGCUAGCUAUACGUGUUGUGUGAUAGAAAGUUAGAAACUAUGAAUUAUUGAAGGAAACCAUAAAAGUAAAGGGAGAUAAAGAAAAAGGAACACAGGUAAGGCUGGAAUUAGGCUACGUUGUGCUUGUAUUGAUCGAUUAAAGAGAAAAUGUGGGUUAUAAAGGGUUGAAAAAAAUGAAAUGACAUGAGUUACGAUUCAUUAAUAUGUAUACUUUAAUCCUAAUAUUAUAGACCCGUACCUGAAUAGAGUCUCAAGAGUCGAUGGACUCAGAGCCCCGAACCUUAAGGGGCCCAAAAUUUUCUUUUCUCUUUGUGUGAUUACAUUAGUUUAGUUAAAAGAGAAAUUUUAAAUGCACACCCCUAAUCUCUUAAUACACAUCUCUAUUAUUUUAUGUUUCUAUUGAGAUUUUAUAGGUAAGCUAAAUGACCAAAAUAAACAUCUAUUAUUAAAAAAAUAAAUAAAAAUCGUGUUAGAAGUAUUCUUUUCAACAUCUUCUACCCUAAAAUCAUCGAAAACACGUCUUCUCCCCUAACCCCAACUCUUCUCCACAAUUCAUUUGGGUUGUCNNNNNNNNNNNNNNNNNNNNNNNNNNNNNNNNNNNNNNNNNNNNNNNNNNNNNNNNNNNNNNNNNNNNNNNNNNNNNNNNNNNNNNNNNNNNNNNNNNNNNNNNNNNNNNNNNNNNNNNNNNNNNNNNNNNNNNNNNNNNNNNNNNNNNNNNNNNNNNNNNNNNNNNNNNNNNNNNNNNNNNNNNNNNNNNNNNNNNNNNNNNNNNNNNNNNNNNNNNNNNNNNNNNNNNNNNNNNNNNNNNNNNNNNNNNNNNNNNNNNNNNNNNNNNNNNNNNNNNNNNNNNNNNNNNNNNNNNNNNNNNNNNNNNNNNNNNNNNNNNNNNNNNNNNNNNNNNNNNNNNNNNNNNNNNNNNNNNNNNNNNNNNNNNNNNNNNNNNNNNNNNNNNNNNNNNNNNNNNNNNNNNNNNNNNNNNNNNNNNNNNNNNNNNNNNNNNNNNNNNNNNNNNNNNNNNNNNNNNNNNNNNNNNNNNNNNNNNNNNNNNNNNNNNNNNNNNNNNNNNNNNNNNNNNNNNNNNNNNNNNNNNNNNNNNNNNNNNNNNNNNNNNNNNNNNNNNNNNNNNNNNNNNNNNNNNNNNNNNNNNNNNNNNNNNNNNNNNNNNNNNNNNAGCUAUAUAUGUUUAAUAGCUACUGUACUUCUACAAUUCUACUAGUUUGUGAAUUUUGAAAACUUAUAUUGGUGAUUUGGAGUUGGGAUAUAACAAUAAUCAUUUGAUUAUAAAUUGAAUGAUGAUAAUCAAAAAUUUCUAACAAAAAUUAGACAAAAUAAAUAUGUAAAAAAGGUACCAAAUAGUAAAUAUAUAUUAAUUAUAUUAAAUAAUAGAAUAUUUCAUAAAUUAAGGGCAUUUUAGGCUGUUUGAGAUGUGUAUUAAGUAUAAUACUAAAAUGAAAAACUUGAUAGAUGGUGUAUUAAGUAAGGGAUGUGUAUUAAGAUAUUAGGGAUGUGUAUUUAAAAUUUCUCUAGUUAAAAACAAUCAAAAAAUAAUUAAUAUCUAAUGAAGAUGGUGUUAGAUUAAGAGCUAGAUGAAUAUAAAAUUUUACCUAUUAUAUAUAUAUUAAUAUCAUUAGUUACUGUUUCUGUACAAUCCUGGAUGGGUUUGCAGAAGCUAAUAAUAUGCCAGCUGGAUGGUCUGCUGCCUUCCUGCUGACCUGCAAUAACAAAGGGGAUCAGGAGCUUCCGGUCUUUCCUGCUCCGAAGCUUAAAUCAGUAUAUGGUGGUUGAAUGUAAUUACUGAGGAUAGUUAUGUUACCUGACAAGCUGGUGGCUGGGCCAUAUUUAUGGCCCAGAGUGGAUUCACUUCACCUGAAAACCGAUGUGGGACAACUGUCUUUGCUGUUACUUCACAUCCAGCUCCCUUAUGCCUUCUAAAUCCACCCCCAGCCCAAUACUGCCGCCAAGGUCGAGCCCGGCCCACCCUACUUAUUGGUGGAUACUUCGGGGCGGCCUCAGUUGUGGUGGAAUGCCUGCUGGUUUAUGGGCUUGGAAGGCUGGUUUAUGCACAACCGACUAUAAGUCCCCUCAAGUUCCCGUUCAAGACACAUCUUGAGUGGGGACUUGCUAAAAGAAGCCCGUAGACCAGUAUAUUUCAAGUGUGUCCCGCCCAUAGUCCCCCCAAGUCCGGACUCAUGACGUGGGUUGAACGGGUGUUACAGUCUUUCCGGUGUUACUACUCGAGUGACGGGGUGUUAACGCCGUCCGUGGUUUAUCAAGCCACUUGCUCCAUUUUUAAAGGGAUGAUAUAAAUUGCCCUGCCCCGGUGUCCCGGAAACACUUAUCCGGGACUUAACAUUUCGAGAGGCAGUUGUUACAUGCUUCCCCCUGGUGACACUUAUCCGAGAUGGGUCGUUCCUUGGCCUAACGCUGUCGGUGACUUACCCGAGAUUGGUCUUAUGAUCUCGGUGACUCUCACCCGAGAUUGGUCUUACACAUGCGCUUCAUGAUCCCGUUGACUCUUACCUGAGAUGGGUCUUACACGUGAGCUUCAUGAUCUCGGUGACUCUCACCCGAGAUUGGUCUUACGAUCUCAGUGACUCUCACCCGAGAUUGGUCUUACACAUGCGCUUCAUGAUCCCGUUGACUCUUACUCGAGAUGGGUCUUACACGUGCGCUUCAUGAUCUCGGUGACUCUCAUCCGAGAUUGGUCUUACACUUGGGAGUGUGCGCAUAGCAGUGGCAGGGGCAUUAAAUGCAUGCACGCCAGAUGUCGCGAUAUUCUUGGGCAACUGCCAAGCAAUUAAUGCACGUCGCUUCACUCUUUCCUUCUUCAAAAAGCUACAGCAGUUAAGCUACGUGGCACCAUCCUGCGGUUUAAUCGGCUGGCUAGGGGUGCCUCGUUUUUGGGUACUGGUUUUUUAAUGCGUCGGUUCGUGGAUCGAGGCGACUACUCGCUGGUCGUGUAUAAAUUCUUCCCCCCCUUUUGUUUUUCGUCUUCACUCUCACUUUACUCUUUCUCUGCUCUGUGUUUCUCUGCUGCGCUGGUUUUUCUGCGUUUUGCUCUGUGAUUUCUCUGCUUCUCUCGGGUAGUUGCUUUCUCUCUUUUCUGUUCUCUGCUUUCUCUCAACCCUGCGAUUGCGAGGUGUUUCCCGACGUCUGCGUUGCCGGCGUUGCUACGACGUCGAAUUUCUGGUAAGGUUUUCUUCAUUCUGUUGAGCUUUGUUCUGCUGCACUGAAGUUUGUUUAUGUUUUUGCCUCUACUUUGGCUUUCUCUGCGUUUGUGUUGCUUUUGUAUGGUUUUGGGUGAAACUGGAAAUUUUAGAAUUUUAGGACUCUAGGGCUUUAUGAAUUUAGGCUGUGUUUUCUGUUUUUCUUUGCACUUGCUCCCGGUGGCGCACACUAAUAGCCCUUACGGUUUGCUAUAUUAGGGUAGAUGGAUUCCCGGAGUACGACCGACUUAAGUGGGGCUAGCACAUCCUCUUGGCCGAUAAUGGAUGACGACGAGAGGAUGGAGGAGUAUAUUAGUAGGCCAUCCCGCCUGGGUGAACCGUCUUCGACUGGCGUACCCGCCCGGCAAGUAAACUGGGCAAAGAGAGUUUUUCACGGUAUCCCGAUGAUGAACGUCAUCAACUCGGCCAGGCGAUAUAUCUUGGAGGACGGAACUGUGUGCGACGAACCAGAGGGCAGUAUGACCUUGGCCGAGAUCAAACAAUUCCGUGAAGACUGGGGCAUCCCGGAAACGAUUACACUUUACGGCCUUUACGAGGGCGAGUUGGCGUGCUGCCCGAGAGAUGGCUUCGUUGCUGUGCACGAGCAUAUGUUUAGGAACGGUUUCUCUCUCCCGCUUCCUCAGUGCGUGCAGUACCUGCUGAGCAUGCUUCAGCUAGCUCCCGGGCAGAUUCCCCCAAACCAAUGGCGCCAGUUGUUGUCACUUGGCUGCCUGUAUUACUUGUCCGAGAUGGGGUUUCCAACUAUCAAUGAGUUCCGAGCUCUCUACCACCUCUCAUACUCGAAAAAGCAGAAUUGCAUCGGGUGUGUUUCCUUCGCCGCUCGGGAUUACUUGCCUCCCGUUACGGAUCUGCCUACUUCCAUUAACAACAACUGGCGCGCGAAGGUUGUGCUUGCCGGGGGUCGGUGGCAAAGGAAUUGCCCCACAUACAUCGUGCCCAACCGGUUCAGGUAUAUCCAGGAUCAGUCCUUCUCGUUAUCAGAAAUCGAGAAGAAACGGAUUGGCCGGAUAUUUGCGGCCUGACCCUCGGACGAAGAUCGUAGCUCGUACAACUUAACCCGGUGGGGCGUGCUAGUUCACUGUGAACUCGGCCGAAUGCCUGGUGGGGUUCCCGCUUAAUGUCUCGAUUAUUGCUUAUACAUACAUUUGUUCUCUGUUUCUCUGUUGCUUUACUAAUUGUUGUGCUUGCUGGCAGCCAAGGUUCCCAGACGUAAGCUUCGCCCCUCACACCCGCGCGACAUGGCUUCGGACCUGGACUUGCUGCACGAUCUCCUGGAAGUAGGAAAAACCGUUUCACACACUGAAGUGAACGUGGUGGACUCUACCGUCCGGGUUUCAGAGACGCCCGUGCUAAUGGAGAUUUUCGACGAAGGGUACGGGAAGCCGCCUCAUGACACGGAGGAGCCCAGGAGGAGCGGUGACGUUGUCAACGUCAACUUGGGCGAGAAGAAAAAGAAGAAACCCUCGUCCAAGAAGUCAAAGUCUCAGCGGGAUGAUAUUGUGACUUUGACCGGCCUGAGCGUGACUAGAGCCUCUCUACCUCUGAAGAAACAGAAAUCAGCAAGGCCCUCAACCGGCGGACCCGUAAGCCUGGGCGCUCUCGCCCCCACUCUUCCCCAAAUUCGAAAGACCCCUAUUCGGCAGAUACUGGACGAGUAUGGAUGUGCCGAUGAGAAGUUCGUCCGUGGCAUGGUGAGUGAUCUGAAGGGAAUCGAGCUGGACCAGAUCAGGGUGGGGUCUAACACUCUCUAGCAGAACCGGCAAUACGCCCGGGAGGCGAUGAUGAAGGUAGCCGUCUCCCUUUUUACUCUAACUUACUACCCGGGAUAUUGUACUUAAUCUUUUUAACUCUUGCAGGCCCUCUUCGCCGUCUAUGCCAUUGACGCCAGCGAAGACUCCAACGAGAUGAAAGAGCGCUUAGCUAGCCUGAAUGAUCAACCUACCUCCGGGCCGAGCAGAAGAGGGUGGAGAAAAGCUUGGAUGCCGAGAAGAAAGAGAAGCUCUCGCUGGCUGACAAGCUUGCCAAGCUCAACCUUCAUACUCAGGACCUUGAGGGAAAAGCCGAGCGGGUGGCAGCUUUGGAGUGCGACAUCGACGCGCUUCAGCGGGAGAACGCUAAGCCUAAGCUGAAGGAAAAAAACGACCAGAUUCUCGACCUGCAAGGCCAGAUUCCCUCCCAGGGCGAGCUUGCCGUGGCGAAGUUUAAGGAGUCGGACGAGUUCAAAGCCAUGCUGAAGACCGCCUGGGAUAGUGGGAUCACCGAGAAGUUUGGCGAAUGGAGCCGCCUUGGGUAUCUGGACAAGGCGAAGAUGACUGUCGACGUGAUCGCUGCCCGGGAUGCCAGGGAAAGGGAGACCAAGUCCAAGGCAGCUGUUGAAAAAGAGCUUCAGGAGACAGACAAGCCGUCCGAGAAGGCCGCUGACAAGGGCACCGAGGAGGACGACAAUCGGGCCGAGUCGUCCGGGAACGAGGAAGAAGAUGACCAGGAGGCAUAAAUUGUAAUUUUACCCUCUUUUUUUUUUUUUGCUUUUGUAAGACAAUGGCCUCGUGCCCUACACGGUGACUACGUGUCCCGGUGAUUUUUGUAAAUUCCUAUUGGUGGUACACGCUCGGCAUGACGAGUUUUAAUAUAUUAUGCCUAAUUUUAUUACUUGCUUUUUUGUGCUACAUAUUUGUAUUAGGCUUAUCCCGCUCGGUGUUAUGGGGGACUGCAAUAACUUUUACCUCUCGGUUUUACCUGCUCGACACUGUAUUCAAUUGAUUUAUGCCUCCCGGUGGAUUACCAUCCCGAUUAAUUUUACUCGGGAUUCAAUUGACUUAUGCCUCCUGGUGGAUUACCAUCCCGAUUGAUAUUACUCGGGAUUUAAUUGACUUGUGCCUCCCGGUUGGUUACCAUCCCGAUUAAUUUAACUCGGGAUUCAGUUGACUUAUGCCUCUCGGUGGAUUACCAUCUCGAUUGAUUUUACUCGGGGUUUAAUUGACUUGUGCCUCCCGGUGGGUUACCAUCUCGAUUAAUUUUACUCGGGAUUCAAUUGAUUUAUGCAUCCCGGUGGAUUACCAUCCCGAUUGAUUUUACUCGGGAUUUAAAUUGACUUAUGCCUCCGGGUGGAUUACCAUCCUUAGAGUUUGAAUUUAACUUCUCCAUUCUUAUAUAUAAAGUCUUUCAGAACGAAUGAAGGCAUCCUCCAGGACUUAUUGUCUUCCCGGGGGCCGCAAUACUUACAAAUGUAAAUUUUAAGGGUGGGUUUCGUUCCCAUUUCACACUGGAUAGAAUCUCAGGUGCUUCGUAUUCCAAGAGCGCCCGGUGACUAUCCCAUCCUGAUCCCGGAGAAAUAAGGUUGCUGGACCGACCUCUUCAACUAUCUCGUACGGCCCUUCCCAGUUCGGAUCCAGGGCUGCCGGCUUGGUCAUGAUUUUCUUCAUUACCCAGUCCCCCAGUCCCAACGUCCGGGUCCUGACUUUAUUAUUAUAGUGGCGUGCAACACGCUGCUUGUAGACUUGGUUGUGUAAGUCUGCUCGCUUCCUCUUCUCCUCGAUGAGGUCAAUGUUCAAAUGGAGACCCUCCUCAUUGGUUGUGGCGUUGAAAUUUUUGACCCUUCCUGAUGGUAUUGACGUCUCGAUUGGCAAAACAACCUCCGUGCCAAAGGCCAUGCUGAAAGGAGUUUCUCCCGUUGCUUCUGUUGUUGUGGUUUUGAUUGCCCAUAAUACCUCCGGCAGUUUUUGUGCCCACAGACCCUUUGCGUCGUCUAACUUCUUUUUCAGGAGUUUUUUUAUGAUCUUGUUAACCGCCUCCACCUGACCAUUGGUCUGCGGGUGCGCCACCGACGAGAAGACCAUCUUGGUACCCAUGUCAUUCGUGAAUUCAAUCAGAUGGUUAUUAUUGAAUUGUGUACCAUUGUCCGUGACGAUUGUCUCCGGGAUUCCGAAUCUGCAAUAGAUGUUUUUCACCAGGAAAUUCUUCACACUCGGUGGUUAUCUUCCCCAGGGGCUCUGCCUCCACCCAUUUCGUGAAAUAGUCAACAACCACUAUUACGUACUUGAACUGGCCCAGAGCCGUAGGCAGUAUCCCGAUGAGAUCAAGACCCCACUGCGCAAAAGGUCAAUGUGACAACAAUAUUGAUAGGGCAAUGGAAGGGGAAUGUAUCUCGUUGGCGUGCAAAUGACAUUUACGGCAUCUCGCCGACAUCUUAUCUGCCAUGACGCCCAUGUUGGGCCAGAAGAACCCUAUGCGUAGCGUCUUGUGUGCUAACGACCGGGAUCCAGAAUGAUUCCCGCACACCCCUUCAUGAAUUUCUCCCAUGAUCACUUCUCCUUCUUCCUCUGUCACGCACUUGAGGUUUGGGAGAUUGUAACCUCUGCGGUAUAACUUCCCGUUCAUGAGGGUGUAUCUAGCACAUCUCAAUUGCAACUUUCGUGCCUGCCGCCUGUCCUCCGGGCGCACCCCCUCCUUCAUAAACUCGAUUAUGGGGUUCAUCCACGUUGGCUCUCCGGGUCCCGCCUCGAUCAUGAAUAUCUCAGAGAUUGUCUUACUGAUAUUUGGUUUUCCAAGCACCUUAAUCCUUGCCUUCUUUCUGCCUUUCCCGAGCCCUCCGGUGGCUAGCCGGGCGAGGGCAUCUGCAUGACGGUUUUCUUUCCGGGGGAUGUGAGAGAGAGAGGCCGAUUUAAAACGUUGCAUGAAGGCUUUUGAUAAUGUUUGGUAAGAGUGCAACUGAGGCUCCUUACACUACAACAAAUUCCGGCAGUAGUGACCAACAGAGUGGUCACAAAAGCUAAUAGUUUUGGUCACUAAUUGUGUUUAGUGACCAAAAAAUGGUGGUCACUAAGUGGUCACUAUAGACUCGUCACUAAUUCUCAAUAGUGACCACUUAUUAGACUUGGUCACUAAAUUAGCGACCACUAUAAUCUGGACACUAAUACUAAUGGCAUUUGUGACCACAAAAUUGAUCACUAAAAGGGUCAAAUGUAGUCACUGAAAGUCAUUAUUUGGUNNNNNNNNNNNNNNNNNNNNNNNNNNNNNNNNNNNNNNNNNNNNNNNNNNNNNNNNNNNNNNNNNNNNNNNNNNNNNNNNNNNNNNNNNNNNNNNNNNNNNNNNNNNNNNNNNNNNNNNNNNNNNNNNNNNNNNNNNNNNNNNNNNNNNNNNNNNNNNNNNNNNNNNNNNNNNNNNNNNNNNNNNNNNNNNNNNNNNNNNNNNNNNNNNNNNNNNNNNNNNNNNNNNNNNNNNNNNNNNNNNNNNNNNNNNNNNNNNNNNNNNNNNNNNNNNNNNNNNNNNNNNNNNNNNNNNNNNNNNNNNNNNNNNNNNNNNNNNNNNNNNNNNNNNNNNNNNNNNNNNNNNNNNNNNNNNNNNNNNNNNNNNNNNNNNNNNNNNNNNNNNNNNNNNNNNNNNNNNNNNNNNNNNNNNNNNNNNNNNNNNNNNNNNNNNNNNNNNNNNNNNNNNNNNNNNNNNNNNNNNNNNNNNNNNNNNNNNNNNNNNNNNNNNNNNNNNNNNNNNNNNNNNNNNNNNNNNNNNNNNNNNNNNNNNNNNNNNNNNNNNNNNNNNNNNNNNNNNNNNNNNNNNNNNNNNNNNNNNNNNNNNNNNNNNNNNNNNNNNNNNNNNNNNNNNNNNNNNNNNNNNNNNNNNNNNNNNNNNNNNNNNNNNNNNNNNNNNNNNNNNNNNNNNNNNNNNNNNNNNNNNNNNNNNNNNNNNNNNNNNNNNNNNNNNNNNNNNNNNNNNNNNNNNNNNNNNNNNNNNNNNNNNNNNNNNNNNNNNNNNNNNNNNNNNNNNNNNNNNNNNNNNNNNNNNNNNNNNNNNNNNNNNNNNNNNNNNNNNNNNNNNNNNNNNNNNNNNNNNNNNNNNNNNNNNNNNNNNNNNNNNNNNNNNNNNNNNNNNNNNNNNNNNNNNNNNNNNNNNNNNNNNNNNNNNNNNNNNNNNNNNNNNNNNNNNNNNNNNNNNNNNNNNNNNNNNNNNNNNNNNNNNNNNNNNNNNNNNNNNNNNNNNNNNNNNNNNNNNNNNNNNNNNNNNNNNNNNNNNNNNNNNNNNNNNNNNNNNNNNNNNNNNNNNNNNNNNNNNNNNNNNNNNNNNNNNNNNNNNNNNNNNNNNNNNNNNNNNNNNNNNNNNNNNNNNNNNNNNNNNNNNNNNNNNNNNNNNNNNNNNNNNNNNNNNNNNGAGAGAGAAGAUACAGGGAACGGAAGCUGAAUAUUUGGUGGAGGGAGUCCAGAUAUGUCUAAAAUAUAGGUAACUGUUCACUCCAAUUUUCUCAUAAACCGCGAAUAAUCCCGCGUCUGAGAAUAAAGUUUUUAAAUGUUCUUUGGUCACUAAUGAAUCUGAUGUCGUCACUAAUUUUUUAAAAAUUACUGACCAAGUCGACUUGGUCAUUACUUUGUCAAAUGAUAGGUCACUAAAAAUUAUCCAAAGGGUGGCCUUACCAUUUUUAUUACCUCCAAAUGCUUUAAUGACCAAUAGUGUUUGCUGGUCACUAAAACUAUAUUAUUUGUGACUAUUAUGAUUAGGUCACUAAGAAUUUGGUCACUAUAGCCACAUAUUGUUGUAGUGUUAGCUUCAAAGCUCUCGUUGACCUGUUUUACAACCAACUGUGAAUCACUAAAUAUUUUCACUCUUUCCACUCCGAUGCCUCGGGCAAGUUGCAAUCCCCUGAUUAAAGCUUCGUACUCAGCCGCAUUGUUGGAUGCCUUGAAUUGGAAUUCCAGGGCGUACUCAUGCUUGAAUCCAUCGGGAGUUUCUAAUAUUAUUCCCGUCCCGCUUUUAUUUCUCGUCACCGAGCUGUCCACAAAAAGUUUCCAGAGUUGAGCCAGUGGUUCCUCACUGUGCAUCUCCUUAUCCGCUCCGGGACCAUUUUCCUCCCGGUUGGCCUCGUUGGAUACUCCCACAACUUUCGUGGGAGUGGGCUCAGAGGACUCUCCCACAACUUUCAUGGGUGUGAGCUCAGAUAUAAAGUCAGCCGCUGCUUGGCCCUUGAUUGCCACUCUCGGCCGGUAAUGGAUAUCAAAUUCCCCCAGCUCUAUUGCCCAUUUUACCAGCCUCCCGCUGAUUUCUGGCUUCAACAUAAUUUGCCUCAGGGGGUGGUUAGUAUAAAAGGUUAUCGAAUGUGCUUGGAAAUAGUGUUUGAGCUUUCGGGUGGUUAUAAUAAGUGCCAAGGCCAACUUCUCUACAUCUGGGUACCUGCUCUCGGCCGGUGUGAAUCCCUUCCCCGCGUAAAAUAUAGCGUGCUUGACAUCAGACUCUUUUCUUAUCAAGAUCGAGCUAACUGCUGACUGUGAAGCCACGAUAUACAGGUAAAACAUCUUGCCCGGGAUUGGUUUUGACAAAACCGGUGUGGACGUGAGGUAUGUCUUUAUCUGUUUGAAUGCCUCCUCCUGCUCGGGUCCCUAUACUAUCUCCUUACACUGCUGGUAUUUCAGCAACCAAAAGAAAGGGGCACACUUAUCCGUGAGUCGUGACACGAAUCUGGCAAGGGCGACAAUCUUUCCGGCCAAUGAACUCAAUUCAUUCCUCUCCCCCUCAUGCUAAUUAUAUGCCCCAGGAAUUUCCCUUUGAUAACCCCGAAGAUGCAUUUCUGAGGGUUUAGUCUCAUCCCGAACUUCAUUAUGACCUCGAAGACCUUCUCAAGAUGCCCUAUAUGCUCCUCGGCCCUUAGACUUUUGACCAACAUGUCAUCGACAUAUACCUCCAUUAUUUUCCCGAGGUACUCGGUGAACAUGACAUUCAUCAGCCGUUGGUAAGUCGCUCCCGCAUUCUUCAGUCCGAAAGGCAUUACCUUAUAGCAAUAAAGGCCCCUGUCGGUCGUGAAGGCUGUAUGCUCCUCAUCCCUUGGAUCCAUCUGGAUCUGGUUAUAGCUCGCAUAGGCGUCCAUGAAGCUCAACAAUUCGAAUCUAGACGUGGAGUCCACCAGUUGGUCUAUUCGUGGGAGAGGGAAGCUGUCUUUUAGGCAUGUCCUGUUGAGAUUUGAGUAGUCUACACACAUCCUCCACUGCCCUGUUGACUUCUUUGGAACCAUGACCACAUUGGCCAACCACUGGGGGUAUCUGACCUCCCGUAUAAACUUUAUGUCUAUCAACUUUUGCACUUCCCCUCUCAUUGCAUCAUACUUUUCUGGCUUAAACGCCCUUCGCUUUUGCCGCACGGGAGGGGAUCCUUUCUUGAUUCCUAGCUGGUGUGUUACAAUUCCGCUAGAUAUCCCGGGCAUGUCCUUAUAUGUCCAAGCGAAUGCCCCACUAUUUUUCUUCAAAAAGGUCAUCAAGGCCGCUCGCACCCCUGGUGCCUUCCCCGUCCCGAUGGUCACUUGCCUAUCCGGGAAUUCAUCUGAGACUGAUACCAUUUCUGUUUCUUCUGCCGACCCCGGACGCUCCUCAUCCGAGUCGGUAUCAUCCCUUGGAUUCAUAAGGAUCCAAGGGGGAUGCCAUGGCCUGGCUCGCUAAUAGAACCUCGGAUCUUUUCCUUCCGUUGUCUAUCGCAUAGCAACUCCUUGUUGCCGCUUGGUCUCCCCGGAUGGUAAUGACUCCAGUCGGGGUUGGGACCUUCAUCAUCAACAUGUGGCCGGCAACAAAAGACUUCAGCUUCCAUAACAUGGGCCUUCUCAAGAUCCCGUUAUAGGACGACUCGCAAUCGACCACGAUGAACUCUACGGUAGCCCGGGCAAUUCCCUCUCGGCCUUCCAUACUUACUCCAAAGCUAUCCGAUCCUAGUGGCUGGACCACAUCACCCGAGAAGCUGAUCAGGGUUCAUGGUUUUGUAUCAACUUGUUACUUCCUCGAUGCAGUCAUUUCCAGGCACUUCUGAACAACACGUUGACCGAGGCUCCCGUGUCAACUAGGAUCUUCUUUGGGAUAUAAUGGUCGAGUUGCAAUGUUAUUAGGAAUGGGUCCUCGUGCCGCCUUAUCCCCUCCUCUUCCUCUUCUAGGAAGGUAACGGACUUCCAACCGGUUGUCAUUUGUUGAUUGCUGCUACUCCAAAAGGCGAAGACCUCCUGGCCAUCCCUGGAUCUCGUACACUGCUUUUUUGCCUUAUUGCUUCUAUUAUCUAUACGGGACUCGCCAUGGAUGGUGUUGAUUGUCUCAUAUACUUCAAUUGCCCCCACAUGCCUCGGCCCGGGCACAUACUGCUGCAGCUUUCCUUCUUGUAUCCGGCGCUCUACUGCCUUUUUCAAUUCUAUGCAGCUGUUAAUGUUAUGGCUUGCUUCUCCGUGAUACCCACAAAAUUUUCCGAUGUCUUCCUUGGUGAGCCGGGAUGGGGGCGACUUUUGGGCAGGGGGAGGCGGGAUGGCGGACUUAUUCUCAUUCCAUAUCGCCUCAUAGGUGGCGUUAAGCGUCGAGAAGUGCUCCUGGCUUGCCGGUGCCGUCCUCGCGUACCCGGUAUCUUGGUAAGGUCCUUUUGUCUUUCCUUGUGCGUUAUGCUGCUUUGCUGCCUUCCCCCAGCUUCUUUCCUUGUGCCUCUUUCCAGCUGGGUGCGAGUUCGGCCCUUGCUCCCGUCCAGGCCCUUAUCUCCUGGACCACUUAUACCGGCGAUCCUUCUCCUUGCUCUCCGACCUUCCUCUUCCCGACCGAGGUCCCUCCAUACGUAUCAUGGUCUGCUUGUGCUUGCCUGACCGCCAUCUCCAUAAUCUCAUCGUAACCUUGCGGGCAUUCGAUUUUUACUGCAUACAUAAAUUUUUCGGGAAGCAGUCCUUGAAUGAAUGCUUCCUCUGCAACCUUCUUGUCAAAGUUCCUGACUCUGGCCGUGGCACCUUGCCAUCGAUUCACGAAAGCUUUCAAUCCCUCACCCCUAUCUUGCUUCACCUUGAACAACUGGGCGGUAUUCUGCCCAUCCGUUCGUAAAAUGAAUCUAUUGACGAACUUGUUUGCCAGUUCUCGGAACCAAUUGAUCGAGUUUGAUGGGAGCUCGUAGAACCAACUCAGUGCUUCCUCUGCUAAUGUCUCCUGGAACAUAUUGCAGCAUAUUGCAUCUGAGUACCCUUUAGCGUUCGUGUGAGACUUGAAACUAUCGAGGAAGAGAUGGGGGUCUCGAUCCCCAUUGUAACUCAGUUUCAUCGGCUUGGCCGGACGGACCGGAUGAUCGCUCUUGUGAACGGUCCCCCCUUUCUUCGAAACUCGUGCGAGUUGGGUUACGCGCCCCCUUCUCUCGGCGUCCGAGAUUCGGUCAGCCAAACUCGCCACGCUAUCCCGGAUAGCUCUCAGGGUUUCUUCCAUCUCUCCCUGCCGUCCAACUUGGAUUUACGGGAUCGGCUCGGGUAAGGGCGACGGUCCCUCAUCCCGCAUUGCAUCUGGGAACAAGUUCGUUCCUAUAUGCACCGUCCUACGGUUCGUUCUCACCGGGGUGCCUGUCUGCUGAGACGUGGCCGCUCGAUCCAACUCCCUCGCCCGAUCCAAUGCCUCCCGGUGCUCAACUCCUCUGGCUAACGCUCUCAUGAGCGUGGCGUUAUCCCUUUCCAACCUGCGCUCCCUCCCGGAGGCUUCUACUCGAUCAUGGGCACCUUGUUGCUCUAGCAGAGUGAUUUGAGCCCUCAUAUCUUCCAACAUCUCGGCUACCUCUUGAGGAUUGAGAUCCCGCGGCACAUACUCUGGUGUUUCAUCCUGGAGGGUUCUCCCAGUAGUUCUUGAACUUCCCCCUGCGGUUUCCGGGGUCUUUCCUAAUAUCACCUCCCUCUCUUGGUCUUGUUGUUCGAUUAACUCAGCCAUCGAGUCAUGCUGGCUUUUUGUAAUGAUUCCCACAGACGGCGCCAAAUGUUUCUGUACAAUCCCGGAUGGGUUUGCAGAAGCUAAUAAUAUGUCAGGUGGAUGGUCUGCUGCCUUCCUGCUGACUUGCAAUAACAAAGGGGAUCGGGAGCUUCCGGUCUUUCCUCAUCCGAAGCUUAAAUCAGUAUAUGGUGGUUGAAUAUAAUUACUGAGGAUAGUUAUGUUACCUGACAAGCUGGUGGCUGGGCCAUAAAAGUGGAUUCUCUUCACCUGAAAACCGAUGUGGGACAACUGUCUUUGCUGUUACUUCACAUCCAGCUCCCUUAUGCCUUAUGAAUCCACCCCCAGCCCAAUACUGCCGCCAAGGUCGGGCUCGGCCCACCCUACUUAUUGGUGGAUACUUCGGGGCGGCCUCGGUUGUGGUGGAAUGCCUGCUGGUUUACGGGUUUGGGAGGUUGUUUUAUGCACAACCCACUAUAGUUACUAUUUUAAAAAAAUAAGCAACCUAAGUAAGAAAUUUGUUGUAUAAAUAAGAUUUUUAAUAUAAAUAGGAAUUAUAAUGUUUCUUGUUGUUAGAUUUUGAGUUUAUAGCUUUAGUUCGUGAAGUAUGUUUCUUAAAAAAAAAAAAAUUUGAAUGAAUACUAUACUUUGAGGGUCUAAUUUUAAAAGUUCGAUUCAAGUAUGAAAAUCUCAGGUUCGGGCCUGCCACCAUAUUGUGACUCUUUAAUGAUGUACAGCUGGUUGUGGAGUUCACGAGAACGAAUCACAUUCGAAUGCACACGAGUAUCGAUCACCAACAUCCAAAAGUACAUCAUAUUCUAAACGAAGCUGCAUUGCAAAUUUGCAAGGGAACCAGCAGUCAACCAGCACAUCCAAAAUUAUUCAAUGUAAACGCAAAAUGAAAACACUUGCACAUCCAUAACAAACUAGUAGCAGUACUGUAGCUACCGCAACACAUAAGAUUAUAAGAGAAAAUUAUCACGGAGGGAGAAUGUUCAUACAUACGUACAUGUUUCCUUUGUUGAUCCUUUGUCACAUUUCCGGAUCCUUUCUUCUUUUCCCUGUCCUCUAGAAUGAACAGCAACAUAAGAUCAAAAAAGAAAAAAAUGUUGAACAGGAUCAAUUUGGGUAUUUAGGUUUCCGGAUGAUGAUGAUGGUGAUGAUCGAUGAUGAUGGUACCUGCCGGUAUGUGUCUUGCCAGCACGACCUUCCUUUAUGAAUAUGCAGGCAGGUCUAACAUCUGGCAUGAAUUUUUGGUGCGACCUUGAUUGAGCCCACCAGCACGAACUAUGUAUACACUCAUGGACACCAGGCACUUGCAGAUCGAUCUAUCUUUGGCUCUAUAUCAUACAUGCUAUCGUGCCUUGUCUCGAUUGAGCCACACUUUGAAAUGGAUCAAACUAGCUAGGGCAUACCUAUAUAUUAUCCCCUUUUCUCUCCAAAUAUAGAAUAUUUUUCAAGCUAGCUAGAGACAACGGCAAAGUGUUUAUAAUCAUUCAUCCAUGCCAAAACCCUCGAGUUUGAUCACCAAAUAAAACGACCUCAUGACUCGACUCGUACGUUCAUGGCUCCACAAUGUCGACAUUACGAUAUAAACAAAUAAACGGAUGAAAGAAUUAUGCAAAAGUCUAGAUUCCUAGCUAGAAAACGAUCUCUUACUAUUUUGUCUUUCAAAAGUCCUGUUCAGUUUCAACGUACGUGAAGUUGUUUGGGUUUCACUUCAGUUUUUUCUUCUGUAACUUGUUGCGAAAUCGAUGGUCUUAUAAAUGUGAAAGAUAUGUACCUACCUUGUCUACUUGGUGAGAGUGAUGUGUGAAUGUCUUUUGUCUCAACAACCUAAUUAUACUGAUAUUUUCAAUAUAAUCAGGCAAUGUGGAUGACUUAUAGUCUAGCUUAUAAAACAUGAAGCAAUUAAAUGUGGACUUGGUCUUAGUUUAUCUUUACUUUAUAAUUUGUAAAGUAGAAUGUCUCUGUUGCUUUGUAAGAUGAGGUUUGGACAUCAUAUAGCUAACUAGCAACGUUAUUAAUCAAGACUUAAUUAUAACCUGAAUAUGCUAUCUUAAUUAUAACCAAAGACUUGUCAAUAUGCUAUCUAGCUCUUUCGGAUUUUCCUAUAAACCUGAAGAUUCGUUUGGAAGAGUAACAUUAGAGAUGAUCAUAUAUGCCUGACGUUCAGGCCGAUCUUGUCCUGAUCGAAUUGUUUAUGUGUUACGUCAUUUUAGGGUUUAAAUUAAGUGCAGAGAUUAUUAAUUAAUUCGAUCUAUUUAUUAACUAAGAGGUUACGUACGUUAAGAAUGAUGAUUCUGAGUUCCUGACGAUGAACCAAAGAGUUGACCAGACUUAAUCGAUAACUGGCUCAAGUCACCCGAUCCAAAUCCUGACUUGAUGCGAGUCUGAAGAGGCGGUCGACUCAAGGCCUGGAGCUCUAGGGGGCCCAGAAAUAGACAAAUCACUGCUCUCUCUCCAUUAUUAAAUUUAGUCAAAUAUGGAAGGAAGAAUAAUGUUAUGUCAGAACAUUUUUUACUGCAAUGGAAGGAACAAAGGAACGGACUUGCCCAACCAACUAUAUAUACAUAUAUAAUAUCACUUGAUAUAUUUUGAGUGAAAGAAAUAAGUAAAUAUAUACAAUUUAAGUUUUCAGAAAAGAAAGUCUAUACAAUUUAAUAAAAUUACUACUCGAAAAUUAUACCAAAAAAAAAAACGUAAAUUUCUAAAAUAGGGUUUAUAGUGUAAAUAAAAUUACAAAAAUAUAAAUCAUAAUCCAAAUAUUUUGGAUAUGUAGUUAAAUUUUGACUUAAUAGAUUUAGUUUGUGAAAAAUUUUAUUAAAAAAAAAAAAUCUAGAUGCAAAUUAUGAUUUGAGGGCCUAAUUUUGAGAGUUCGACUCAGGUCCGAAAAUCUCAGGUCCAAGCUUGACCCGAUCUAAUGGCAAAGAAAGUCUCUUGGUUUCAAAUAAGGGUUUUGCUUUGUAAUUAAAUAUAUAUUCCAUCAAAAUUGAACCACAAAAAAAAAAAAGUUUUAGAGUUAAAGAUUUUGCUGCAUUUGGCUACAUUUCUGGAUGGAUGCACCAGGACCAGGUCAAAGCUUGGGGACCCAGCUGCUUGGGCUUAUCCGUUUAGAUUUUUGUAAUUUUAUUAAGGGAGUCGGUUCAUGAAUUCUUCUAGUUCCAAAAUAAUAUGAAGUCUUGUAACAAAAAAAAAUAAUAAUAUGAAGUCUUGUAUAAAAGUCUUUGCCCCUGUAUUGCCGAAAGAAAAGAGAAAGGUCUUGCCCCUGUUAGAUCAAUUGUACUCUUUCAUCAACCUGGAGCAUGAUAAAAUCUACUCAUAGGUCUUUAAUUAACGAGCAAAUGUCUAUUUAGUACUAAUUUUAGAAAAUUUUAGCCUGGUCCAAUGAAAAUAAGAUUCCAUUGCCCAUUCCAACUGUUACUUGGUAAAAUACAUUUAUACCCUUAUACUCAUUCUCUUUCUUCUCCUCUCCUUUUCCAUCAGAUCUGUUUCUCUCUCUCUCUUCUUUCCUUUUCGAUAAUAUCUCUCUCUCUCUCUACGCCAAUCUGCUGCCACUGAUGAACUACUUCAACGUCGACACACGGUCCAUGACACCAGAAAUCGGCAACCCAGCCAUCAACGCCGACCAUCCUCUCUCUCUCUCUCUCUAUGUCUCUCUCUCUGCGNNNNNNNNNNNNNNNNNNNNNNNNNNNNNNNNNNNNNNNNNNNNNNNNNNNNNNNNNNNNNNNNNNNNNNNNNNNNNNNNNNNNNNNNNNNNNNNNNNNNNNNNNNNNNNNNNNNNNNNNNNNNNNNNNNNNNNNNNNNNNNNNNNNNNNNNNNNNNNNNNNNNNNNNNNNNNNNNNNNNNNNNNNNNNNNNNNNNNNNNNNNNNNNNNNNNNNNNNNNNNNNNNNNNNNNNNNNNNNNNNNNNNNNNNNNNNNNNNNNNNNNNNNNNNNNNNNNNNNNNNNNNNNNNNNNNNNNNNNNNNNNNNNNNNNNNNNNNNNNNNNNNNNNNNNNNNNNNNNNNNNNNNNNNNNNNNNNNNNNNNNNNNNNNNNNNNNNNNNNNNNNNNNNNNNNNNNNNNNNNNNNNNNNNNNNNNNNNNNNNNNNNNNNNNNNNNNNNNNNNNNNNNNNNNNNNNNNNNNNNNNNNNNNNNNNNNNNNNNNNNNNNNNNNNNNNNNNNNNNNNNNNNNNNNNNNNNNNNNNNNNNNNNNNNNNNNNNNNNNNNNNNNNNNNNNNNNNNNNNNNNNNNNNNNNNNNNNNNNNNNNNNNNNNNNNNNNNNNNNNNNNNNNNNNNNNNNNNNNNNNNNNNNNNNNNNNNNNNNNNNNNNNNNNNNNNNNNNNNNNNNNNNNNNNNNNNNNNNNNNNNNNNNNNNNNNNNNNNNNNNNNNNNNNNNNNNNNNNNNNNNNNNNNNNNNNNNNNNNNNNNNNNNNNNNNNNNNNNNNNNAGUAAAAGUUUACUAGGGCUAGUAAACUUCAUUUUUUGCCGGUAUGCUUCUGGCAAGAUCCGGUGGGUUCUUGUGACAUUUUUUUCAAAAAAAUCCAGUGAGACUCCGGCGGCCAGUGUCCGGUGACGGGAAUCAGGCAACUGGUGUUCGGCGACCGGAAUCCGGUGACCGGCGACCGGCGCUGGUGUCCGGUGUGCUUCCGGGAAAGUCUUCCCUUCUUCUUUUUCUUUUUUUCUCUUUAAAUAAAGGUUAAGGGUAAAAAAGUCUUUUAAAAUAUUAUUUUAUUAUAUUUUAAUAAAGAUUUGUGUAUUUGGGCUUAAAAUAAGUACCUUGUAUUCAAAUGGGCUAAUAAAAAAGAUUAUCAUUGAAAUAGAGUUUGACUUUUUCUAUUUUGUGCAAAUGGUCUUUUUCCCUUAAUUAAUUAGUUACUUUAGGUUCUCAUCUUUAGUUAAUUACUUUGGGUUACUUUAAAGUAUUACAUAUAUGGUAGCUUGUUGCUGAUCCAAGCUAUCACUGUCGAAGAUAUUAGCUAGGGUCUUUUGAUCAGUUUGGAAUAAUUGUUCGUCAAAUAAUUCUUUUUGAGAUUCAUAAAAGUGGAAUUAUAUUUAUUGAGAAAUUGUUAGGGCAUAGACGGAGCUACUUGAAGACCUUGUAUAUGCAUUUCAUCUUUGUAAUAAGUUGGUUCAAAUGAGUUCAUGUUUGAGCGAAUAACAUAAAGUCCCCCCCCCCCAAUCAUAUAUAACUAAGUUUAUGCGCGAGAACUUGUAUCGAGUACAUCCACACUAAUUUGUGGCAAACAUCGAUCUAUCCUGGCUUUUUGAUACAUGAGUAUUGCUCAAUAGUAUGAUCCUCAUUCUUGAACGAUCUGAUGGUCUACGUUUCGGAUCAGUUUAUCAAACAAAAACCAAGUUGCCAAUUAACAUAAACAUUUCAAUUAGUAGUUUGGUACCAAUUACACCAAACAAAUAUAGAUGUGAUUGAUAUUUUGUCUCUAAAGUAGAACUGGCCAAAUGGGACUGAACUAUUUUUCAACUCUGACAAAGUCAUCGGAUAUAUAUUUUCUUUUGGCUCAAAAAGAUUACAAAGUCAUCGGAUAUUGCUUUCAGUAAGAGUGACCAAAAUUGUUCUCGAUCGGCCUCUUGGUCUGGCAAGUAUUCAAACAUAUAAAACCAAUGCAAGUAAGAUCACACUGAUUACAAAGAAAACUAGUUUCAUUUAUAUUCAUAGAAGAUAAUACACUGUGUUCAGUCUGCAACUGUUUUAUGACUUUAUCCCAAACAGAAACAUCACAAGCAACCAGAAGAUCACACACCAUAAACACUUAUUAUGCUCAAGCCCAGACCGCCCAAACCCAUGGCUGUUCUGGACUGACAGAAAGCAACAUAAAAACCACACACCCUUUUGAGUACUAAGAUCGAUCACGGAUAGCUAGUACUCAAACAUCAUAUAGAGAACGAUCAUAACUUAGUUGUAUUCGCUGGGGUGGUCCUUGAGGUAUCCCUCAAUGAGCUUGAAGAGGUGCGAGGCCUUCUCUUUGCCGGCCUUGACGUGCUCUUCCUUGAUCUCGACAUCUCCCUUGGUGUGGUACUUGCUGGUGGUCUUGAUGACGGUUCCUCCGUGAGGAGCUGAUACCAACUUGGUCUCGUAGUCGAUCUUCUCGAUGUUGUCUGACAAGGCAUCUCCCUCGAUCAAACUGUAGCUGUAGGUGUGGUUCUCUUUGUCAAUGGAGUGGAUCUUGUGCUUGACGUACCCGUAGUGGCUGCCUGUCGAGUUCCAAUGUAAAAAAAGGGAGUGAGCAUAUAAUUUACUACGGUCCAAAAAUUACCAAAUUGAAAUAUACGUAAAAAUGGAUUGAGAGUUAUACCUUCACCAAAGGUGAUCUUCUUGAUGGUUCCGGGGCCGCCAUCUCCUUCGAGGAUCUCGGCGCACUUAACUGCCUGAGGUGCAAUCUUGGGGAUGAGGUUGUCGGCAUCGAGAACGAAGGCCUUGAACAACUUAGGUGCUGGGAUAUCGGAGGUGAACUCGUUUUCAUAAGUGUAAACACCCAUGAUGAUCACGACUUGAGAAAUAAGCAAGCAGGGAAUAAGGAACUUCAAGGAUGAUGGUUUUAAGGGAGCUGUGUUGUGUUGGAAAUGUGUUAUGGGAAGGUGGUAUUUAUAGAUCUUCAGAGUGAAGGUCUCCCUAGUGAACUGACAAUACUGUCCCCCUGUAUAUGGAUCGAAGUGUGUUUUGAACUUUUGAUCAAUUUGCCACUUCUUAAUUCGGUUGUUCUCAAAUUCGCAAGGAACCUGAUUUUUUUAUACAAACUAUCUGUGUUAUUUCAUUCUUUAAUUAAUUAGUGGAUAUCUUUAGAUCAGAAUUUUUAAUAAAAUUCUGUGUCUUGGUCAAAUUAAGCAAUAACUACUGUAAUUGCUGAAUAAAAUAGACUCCAACUAGGUUGAGACAAUAUAUGCAAUUGCAGCAGAAAAUAAAAUUAAAGACUUUCUAGAUAUAUAUUGUUGGGAGCCAUUCUAAGAACUCUUAACUUGAAGACUUUUCAGUUUAUGGUUAAAAAGACAAAUUUUUUGAUCAUAUUUUGACAUCUCAUCCGUUCAUUUUUUAAGUUUAUAUAAGUAGAUCAUUUAUACAAAUUUUCAGCCAAAUUGGUGUUCGUUAAGAUAACAAACUAGAUCAAAUUAAUGGACGAACCAAAUCUGUCAAAUAUGAACCGUUCAAGUUUCUAAUUGAUAAAUCACACUUAUGAAUGCAUUAAUAAUUUUCAAUAUAGCUGAAAAUUUAGAGAAAUGAUCUACUACUCAUAAAUACUUAUAAAUUGAAUGGUCAAGAUGUAAAUAUAAGAUCGAAAGAUGAGAUAAACUGAAAAGUCCUUAACAAGUUCUCAACUUAAAAAUCUUCAUUAGAAGAGCUUUUAUAUAUUGUUAGCUAGGUUCAGGGUUUAGGAUCAAAGAAUAUUGAUCAUCAUCUAGUACAUAGUUUUCAGGCUGCUUUCAGUAAAUUUCAUAUAAGAUAAACAUUGAUGAGCUUUUUUGAACAGAACACGUUGCAAGAUUUCUAAAGCAUGAGAAAUAGUUGAAGUCAAAAAGCUUAAAAAAGAUAUGAAAUUAUGGAGAAAAUACUGAUAAGAAAGUAAGAAACUAUGAUGGCAACUAUGAUCGAACAAGCAGCUGAUUGAUAAAGCUUCUAUUUGCAGCUUGGUUAAUUGCCGACCAUAAUUCGGAACCUGGUAAUUAGCUUGGCUAGCUGGUAAUUACCGAGCUAGAAGGCUUUGAUCUUCUUAUUUCCCUUUCUGAUUUUUCUGGUUUUCAUUCUCUUCUUGAUAGUUCAAGAUUUGAAUGCUUCGAUUCAUUUCAACAAUGGCAGCUGGCGGUCAACAUUGGCUAUCCAUAUCUCUCUUUUUUCGGUUUUUUUUUCAUUUUCCUUUUUUCUUUGAUGCAGGACUAAACUGAUCGAUCUUAAUUAAUUAUUCUUUUAUUGUACGUGGAAUGCUUUAAAUUAUUAAGAAGUAACCUACAUCAACUGAUGGAGACAUUUUACUGUUCUUGGAUAACCAUCUUAAUUUGCAAUAAUUCACAAACCUAAUGGUGGCCUGAGAGAAAUGAGAAUACAGCUACAAAUUAAAAUAAAUUAAAGAAUAAUUAAAUUCAGUUUACGUCAUUGUGGUUUAGAGGUGAAUUUAUGUUAGUCCUUAAACUUUUAAUUUCAUCAGAUUACCUCCCGAACUCUUGUUUUUCUGUUUGCCGUAUGCUUCGUCCAAUUGGGACGUUGAAAUUUGAUGACAUUUGGGGGUUGAGAAGCUAAAUUACCAGAAAAACAAGAGCUCGGGGGGUAAUCUGAUGAAAUUGAAAAUUUAGGGACUAACAUCUAACAUGAAUUUACUUCUAAAUCACAAUGAGGUAAACUGAAUUUAAUUCUAAACUAAAACUUACUGACAGUGCUGCAUUAACAAUAUACUAGCCUUUUUUUACCAGUGCAUUUCUACGGGCUCACAAUUUCUUAAUAACGCAGUUAUUCUCUCCGGUAUAAAACACAUUAGUCAUUACCCACUUUUCUGUCCAUAAUUAUCUCUUUCUUUUAUUUAUUUUAUUUUUUUAUUUACCAUAUUAACCCUUAUUCUUACUAAUCUGAAUCAACUUAAUAUGAAUAAUAUUACCAGAACAUAAUUUGAUAAUUUAAAGACUGGUCGCUUUAUAGUAGUAGAGAUAACAUUAAUAACUAAUAGGGUUUGUGGAGUAGUUACAUUACCAAUUAAAUACCAUAUAAUAUAUACUUACAUGAGCUGAUGAUCGAGCAGUAAGAACACAAAGUGAUAACCAAUAAGUUAAAAUUUUGCCGAAAGCUGGAGGGAAUAAGAAAUUUCAAUAUGGAGAGAAACAGGAGCAGCCCUAGCUAGGCAUUUGGUGGAAUACAACGCACUUGAUCAACCAGUACGUAAUUCGUACUUAUAAAUUAAUCGAUCACUUAAUCAUCUAGUGGAAUAUAUAUCCAAUUGAAUAUAUACAUCCUUGAUUCCUUAAUUAGCCCAUACAAACUAUUGCUUUGUUUAUGCUUAAUUUGUUAAACUAUUAAUUCCUUCAUCAACUACUAAUCACGAAUGGAUCAAAGCAUUUUGGAAAAUCAUAUUCUACAACUGAAGUUGACGAAAUAGUUGUUGGGAUGGUUGUGAAUUGUGAUCAUAUAGUAACAUCUUCUAAUAAUCAAAGAAAAAUUACUAGACUGAACUAACACCGAAUUACUAAACUUGCACAUCAAUAAUUACUGGUGAUCGAUGAUGACAUGGUUUUUAGAUCGAUACUAGCUAGUUCAAUGAGAUGGUAUUUAAUUAUUUACGUUUGCUUGUACUCAUGUUCAUACAAAUUGCUUUCUUCAUUUCAUGAUCUGAUUUGGAAGAUGUAGAAAAAGUCAUCUUUAUCACAUGCCCCACAUCAUCGUCUUGAAGAUUUGUUUGUCUUUGGCUCGGAUAUUCCUCAUCGUCAAUCUGGAUAUCCCCAAAUUUAUGCAAUAUGCACUCGCCGGCCCUCUUCAUUUGUAAUUGUUAGGCUUUAUAUAAAGUAUAAAGUAUAUAUGAAUUUCAUUGCCACGUUUACAUAUCAUAUAUUUAAAAUGAAAAUAUGAAUGAUGAAGCUAGCUACAUCGAGCUUCAACUUAAAUCAACUUUUGCUACCCCAAUUAAAGAUUUUGGAACAUUAAUUCGGCAUUAUCUUGCUAAAUUGUGAGCUUGAAUCAUAUCCAUUAGCUUCAUGCAUACAAAACAAGAUUAAUAGUUCAAAGUCACAUUCGAUUAACAACAUAUUAUGCUAAUUAAGUUAUCUUUAUGAUCUUUAGAGGAUAUAUUUUGCCGAUGAUGGUCAUGAUAUAACCAAUUUAGUAGAGUCAAAUGACGAUUAUAUGAGUUCGUGUAUAUGCUCACUAAAUGUUGGUAAUGACGUAGCUGAUGCUCUGGUGAAUUUUGUUACAACUUUUGCUGGUUAGCCUGGUUUGGUUUGGCUAAACUUGAUUCUUUCCUCUAUUCAUGCUCAUUGUAACAGCGACCGAUUAGGUUUACCAAAAUUUUGCUUUUAGGAGUUUGCAUGAUUUUGUUUCUGAUUAUGAAGUUUGGUUGUGUCCUGUUUUCGUUUUUUAUUUUAUUUUAUAAAUGAUUUUAAGGUGUCAAAUUCAUUGCUCGCUUAGCGUGAAAAAAAAAAAAUCCCAUGAAAACAUUUCAUAAUUUAAGUGAAGCGCAUGGCCUCGUAUGGUCGUAUUAAACUGAAAAAUUAUGAUCUUUAUCUUUGCAAAUAUUGUCAAUGGACGGUUUUAAGGGUACUUAGCGGUAGUGGUGGGAAGGCACUAACUAUGUCUAUUUAGGUUAAAUUAAUCAAUCAAACUAUUAAUUAACGGAUGAUUUUCAUUAUUUUAGAGAAAAUAAUACCACAUUCAGAUCGUCCAAACAGGUCUAUAUCCUGCAUGAUAUAACCAAGUUCUUGGCAUUUGUCUCGUUCCAGAAGUAAAGCCAACGUUACUAGUAAAACCACACUUUAUCCGAUCACGUACAUAGAGGUAAUUAACACCCAAACAAUGAUCUUCUUGCAAGUUUAGAAGUUUAGUUGUAGUCGUCGGGAUUGGCCAAGAGGUAGCCUUCGACCAGCUUGAAGAGCUGAGACGCCUUCUCUUUUCCAGCCUUAACAUGCUCUUCUUGGAUCUCAAUAUCACCAAUGGUGUAGUAGUUACUGAUGCUCUUAACAAUGGAUCCUCCCUCAGCAGACUCCACCAAUUUGGUCUCGUAAGAGACUUUCUCAAUCUUGUGUUCAGCUAACACAUCUCCUUCGAUCAAACUGUAAUUGUACUGGAACUUAUCUUUGUCAAUCCCAUCGAUCUUGUGCGUUACAGAUCCAAAUUUACUGCCUGCAAAGAAAAAAAGAAUAUAUAUAUAAAUAUACAUGUAUAUAUAUAAUUAGGGUUGCUGCUAGAACUUUCUUCAUUUCAUCUGCAAUAUGUGCUUAUUCUUUUACUCAAAAAUUAAUUCCGGGUCAAGUAAGUGCAUUCAACCAUACCUUCCCCAAAGGUAACUUUCUUGAUGGUUCCAGGCCCUCCAUCACCUUGAAGGAUUUCAGUACCUUGGAUUGCUUGGGGUGCAAUCUUCGGGAUGAGAUUGUCCACAUCAAGGAUGAAAGCCUUGAACAAUCUAGCUCGUGGGAUGACGGAGGUGAACUCAGUUUCGUAAGUGAACACACCCAUUAUAGGAUCGAAAUUCUCAAUUCGAAACAACAACAAAUUAAGAUAAAGGUUUAACCCAGAAGAUUAGGGUUGGAGAGGAGAAUGCUUUGCAGGUGGUACUUAUAGAAAGAAGAUCGGUGAGACCAAUGUUUAUAUUUGGAAGCUGUUACUACAACUUUAGGAGAUACAUACUCGAUCAUUUGGUUUUAAGCAGUAGACAUUAAAGAGUCGCAAAAUGUGGGUGGUCUAUCGACUUCCUAUAUAUUUUGGUUUGAACUUCCGGUAGCUAGCUUCAGUACGUAAUACAUAGAUUGGAACUUGGUUUUUAAUUAACUGGCUCUUUUUCUACUUUCUUUUUUGGGUUUCAAGUUUUGUUUAGUUGCUUUGAUUUAACAAUGACAGUUCAUACGUACGCCCAGCUCUUUAAUUUUUCUUCGUUUUCUUUGAUUUAAUUUAGCCUAUAGAUUUUGAUCGACUUGGAAAGCCUACUUAAUUGACCACCAAACUGAUUAAGCAGCAUUCAUUAAGGUCGGAAAUUCGGAAAUGUUCUGUGGAGCCAAGACUUACUCUGUCAUUAUUUAGGAUUAAUAUGCACAACAAUUUGGAUUAAAUGGUGCUGGAGAAAGUAAUUUUCCAGAUAAUAGCAUAUUUUAUAAAUGAAAAAUAAACUAACGCUACUUACAAAGCCAGUUGAUUAGUCAUGAUCGACCUUCACCCUAGCUAGUACACCAAAUUUCGUCUUGAUGCAUCCAACAAGCUAAUUGUGCCUCAGAUCCGUCCAUGUUCAACAUUUCUAUAUAUAUGAUCAUCAAAAACAACUUCUCUCCCGGCCGAAUGAUAUAAGAAAAUACAAUGAAUAUAACAAUUCUUUGGUAUAGACAGUCCAGAUUUUUCAAGAAAGAGUGAGCUCGUGAUGAUUUGUAGGAUGAUAAUGCAGUUUAUGGUUGACUAUUUAAUUUGAAUUAUUGUCAGUAUUGUGUAUAAUGCAACGAGUGUAGUACAAUUCACUUGUUCUUAUAGCUAGCUAGCUAGCUAAUUAAUUUUACAUGCAACUAAUUAAAUUCGUAAUAGUUCGUCUGAUAUGUACAUACAUAUAUAUAUAUAUAUAUAUAUAAUAUAUAAUUACUUUNUAGUACUUAAAAAACUUUUUUUUAAGUUUUUUUUUUAUUUUUUUUUUUUUUUUUUUUUUUUUUUUUUUAACAAUGUCAAAGGAUUCUAAAGGAUUACUAUGCGAAUUAAUCUCCAAGAACAUGUGAAAUACUCAAAUUAUAAAUUGCAGCUCCGCCAGCACGAUACUUUUGACAACUUCGAAUAUAUAAUGUGAAUUGUUAGUAAAAUAAUUAAUUGAUGAUAAUUUUAGGAAUAUGCUUAAAUUAUGAACUCAUUUAUUUGUUAGUGGAAUUUGGCCAUCAACCUGUCCAAGUUCCUAGAUUAUAUAGAUCAUCUUUUUACUUAUUGGUAACUGAAAUUUUGAUCGCAUGCAUAUAUAAUGCAUUCACUUUAGAGGCGGCUUCAUUCUUUAGAUUAAUGAUCUGUCAAAUUCUUCUGACCAAAAAUAAUACAAGAGCACUGGAAUUUCAUAUUCCUUUCGUCACAUUUAAACAUCCAUUAUAAAAACUGGCAAACUGCCAAAACCACCUUCGGCCAGUCACACUGCGUUCCCUUUCACCCUAGUCACCCAUGAACCUAUAUAUACCACCCUCGCCCCUCACACUUCCUCACACCAAUACCAUAUAUUAAUUCUUUCUUACCUUCCAUAUAUAUAGCUGUCUUAUUUAAUUUCUCUGAUCAUCAUGGGUGUGUUCACAUACGAAUCCGAGUUCACCUCAGUCAUCCCACCACCUAAGUUGUUCAAGGCUUUCGUCCUUGACGCCGACAACCUCAUCCCCAAGAUUGCCCCUCAGGCUGUGAAGAGUGCUGAAAUCAUUGAAGGAGAUGGAGGUGUUGGAACCAUCAAGAAGAUCCAUCUUGGUGAAGGUUAGUCAAAUUAACUGUAAUAUUAUCGUCAUUAGUAAGUAGUAACUUGUUUGAAUUGUUUAACUAUAUAUAGAUCUCCAUGCAGUUUUGAUAACAAUGGUCACGUUUUCAUGUUACAGGAAGUGAAUACAGCUACGUGAAGCAUAAGAUUGAUGGAAUCGACAAAGACAACUUCGUGUACAGCUACAGUAUCAUCGAGGGAGAUGCUAUCGGAGACAAGAUUGAGAAGAUCUCCUAUGAGAUUAAGUUGGUAGCAUCCGGUGGAGGUUCCAUCAUCAAGAGCACCAGUCACUACCACACCAAGGGUGAGGUCGAGAUCAAGGAAGAGCAUGUUAAGGCCGGAAAGGAAAGAGCCGCUGGUCUGUUCAAGAUCAUUGAGAACCACCUCUUGGCCCAUCCUGAGGAAUACAACUAAAUCUGUUGAUCUCUGUGAUAAGAGGCAACAAGCCAACAAGCCAACAACUAAAAUGGUGUCAAUCUGCUCGAUCAUCGUAUCUCUUUGUUUAUCGGUGUGCCUUUCAUUUUCCCCCUUUUUUUGUACCAAACCAAAGCAUGGACUUUGGGGGUACAACAAUGCUGUAUUUGAUUCCACUCUAAAUAAAUGAAGCAGAAAAGAUUUAGUAAUUAUGAGCAAUUAACAAGUUUUGUUAUCUCUGUACGUAUAGAAGAUACUAAUUACUAUUCAAAAAAAAAGAAAGACGAUACUAAUUAUGGGGUUAUUAUUUGCUAAAUAAUUUGUUUAAUUUGUUUUCCUGGAUCACAUUUUAGUUCACUCUGAAGCAUCUUUCAGAUCGAUACAGUUGUAUGUAAAAAUACUUCUACUCAAACAACUGAUCAAAUGCCGAAUAGCUCUUAAGAACUUUUCCGCUUGCGUAGAAACGUAUGGCCUUUCUAAUGAGAGGGUUAUAUUUUCUUUUGUGACCAUUUUAAUAGCAUAUUGUAGCUGUGUUUCUCAGUUUCUCUCGGUUUCGAUUUACAACGCACAAAGUAAUAUCCAUGAUAUCUCUUACAAAUUCACAAUAUCAUUUCAGAAAGACUUAAUUUGCUAAAGAUUGUCGAUAAUAUGACCAUGCAUGUUAGAUGCACAACUAGCAAAUGAAUCAAAGGCUCGAACACAAAACCCUAUCUUUGCCGAAUAAGAAAAAGGAGAAAUAAAACCAGAACCAACAUUUUAUAUACAUGAAAGCUGCUUUGUAGUAAUUGCAACGACAUCAAGUAUCUAAAGCUCAUCGAUAUUAUCGGGUUCGGUAUAGCACUAAGGAGGGGAGGUUCAGCAGGGGGGUCCAGCAGGGGGGGUCCAGCAGGGGGUGGUUUUGCCUGUGUUUUCCAGCAGCAUGCUAUGUCCUCCGGCACAGCAGAAUUUUCCGAUAUUAUCCUUCUAGUAAUUUUUAUGUCAAAGUUGUAGGGCUGUUAUGAAAGUGUACAAAGCAUAUUAUUGAUGACUGAUAUGGACCAAAUAAGGCAGGCAGGCUAGCUAGCAGCCAGUCUUGAAUAUAUGGAAGACUUGAUGAUCCGACUUGUUCUAAACUCUAAAGAAGGAAAAGCCAAUAAAUCAAAGAAAAUUAAUCCAAUGUGCAAGUCAUGUUUCCUUUUUUGUUCUUAUUUUUCUGGCCAUUAAUAAUUUCGCAAAUUAAUUUGUCCCACAAUUUUUGUUUUGUUUCGGGAAGGAGGAGGGGGGCGGUUGGGUUUGGAUAUUCAUCAUCAUCAUCCAACUUAAUUAUAUUGAAUAAGAAAGAUAUCUGUCUCCACUUAAAUCAUGUUCCUACAUAAGAUCAUUAUGCAUCAAACUCGAUCGCCACCACAUGUAUAUAUACAGAUUGGAAUUGAUUCAAAAAUGAACUACUCUGUAGUAUAUAUAGUAAUUAAAAGUUUAAACUGCAUAUAAGUAAAACCAUUCCAAUAUCUUAGCACCUCACGAGUCACUACUUGGGUACGUACAAGAUCGAGAAAAAACUACCAACAAGUACGUAAGAAAUACACCCCGACAAUAACCCAUGCAAGAUCAAGUGUACACCGGCAUGCAUGGUACAAGAGAAUGAAGCUGAUCCAUAGCACGACAGAUAGUAAUAUUUAACACAUGAGAGUCCUUCUACUAAAAACUCUUAAGUUGAGGACUAGUUGAAGACUUUUCCGUUUAUAGUUUAAAAAACCCAUUUUCGAUCAUAUUUUGACAUUUCAUCCGUUCAAUUUUUAAGUUUAUAUGAGUAGAUCAUUUUUACAAAUUUUCAGCCAAAUUAGUGUUCAUUAAGAUAACAAAUUAGAUUAAAUUAAUAGACGAACUAAAUCUAUCAAAUAUGAACCGUUCAAGUUCAUAAUUGAUAAAUCACACUUAUGAAUGCCUUAACAAUUUUUAAUAUAGCUGAAAAUUUGGAGAAAUGAUCUACUCAUAAAUACAUAUAAAGUGAACGGUCAAGAUAUGGAUAUAAGAUCGAAAAGUGUGAUAAGCCGAAAAAUCCUCAACAAAUCCUCAACUUAAAGGUCCUCAUCAGAAGUGGUUCUUUUAACGCUUAGUAUCUGAAUCAUAAUUAGCUUUGUAUGAGCAAAGAGCAUCGGACGCAGGCAUUGCCUAUAAGCUGAAACUGCUCAUAACUAAGUUUGCACAAGCCAAGUAUAAAAGCGAAGUGCUCUUUUAAUUAGUAAUUUUUUAUCGAAAGAAUUGCACCAUGAAUCGAAUGAGUUUUGCUUUAUUCAUGAGAACUUGAGACAUUUUUAAUCAAUACAACAUUCCAAUUUGUAUACUAACUUGAUAUGCAAGCCAAAACAAUCUGAAAGAAAAAGGAAAUUAAUGAUCAAAGCCACACCAAUGACCGAGCAAAAGGAGGAGAUGAUCGAUCAUGAAGAAUACUGUAUAUUGUUUUAGUUGUAGGCAUCAGGGUUGCCCAAAAGGUAAAUCUCAAUAAUCUUGAACAGACCAGCGGCUCUUUCUUUUCCAGCCUUGACAUGCUCUUCCUUGAUCUCAACCUCACCUUUGCAAUGGUAGUUGCUGGUGCUCUUGAUGAUGGAACCUCCAUCUGCAGAUGCGACCAACUUAAUCUCGUACGAGAUCUUCUCAACCUUGUCUCCAAUAGCAUCCCCUUCAAUCAUACUGUAGUUGUACACAAAGUUGUCUUUGUCAAGUCCAUCAAUCUGGUGCUUCACAUAGCUGUAUUCGCUUCCUUCACCGAGGUGGAUCUUCUUGAUGGUUCCAACACCUCCGUCACCUUGAACGAUUUCAGCGCUCUUCACAGCCUGUGGAGCAAUCUUGGGGAUGAGGUUAUCGGCAUCAAGAACAAAGGCCUUGAACAAUCUUGGUGGUGGGAUUACAGAUGUGAACUCUGUCUCGUAAGUGAAAACACCCAUUAUGACAAUGUAGAAGAGCUGAAGGGAAAAAAAAAAUGAUCAGAGAAGGAAUAGAAUGUUCAGGAAUUAAUGCUGAUAAGAGAGAACUGGUAUUAGGGAUGAGGAAGUGUGAGGGCUAGAGGAGGUAUUUAUAGAUGUGAGGGUGAAGAUCAGACGUACAGUUUAUACAUGCAAGAGGAUUAUUCAAACAAUGUUUCAAUGUGAAAAUGAAUUUACAAUAUUCAACUUAAAUGAACCUCUUUUUUUUUUUUUUAGUCUAAGAAGCCGUCUCGAUUAUUCGUGGCUCGGAAGACUUUGAAAAACCCAACUGCCGCCACAAUCCAAAAUCCGAAACUAAUUGUUUACCUCAGUUUCUUUGUAUCACGAGGUCCAUUACAUUCCUACGUACAUACGUUCCCUAUUUCAUAAAUUUAGUCACUCAUGCAACUUUCGUUAUUGUUUUUUAUUGAGGAAAAUAAAUAACUAAAUAGAGGUGCCUCGAACGCACCAAAUGUUCAUACAAUCAAGUGAUAAGGCUAAAAAAGCCUCUGGGGGAACAUUCUCCACCCAAAGACCGCACCUAUCAAAUCUAUGGCCCAUAUUAGCAAAUUGGCAACAAAGUUAGCUUCUCUGAAAACAUGUGAGAAGCGAAUGGACUCAAAGGAGCAACUCAAACAUUUAAUAUCAUGGUAGAGUUUGAGGAGUCUCCAAGGGGGGUGAGAAACACCAUUAACUACAUCGAUAAUUAGUUUGGAAUCCCCUUCCACUUCAAUCUUUGUCAGGCCUCUCUCCUUUGCACAAAUAAGGCUAUUUCGGAGCGCCAAGGCCUCGGGAACAAGGACAUUGGUGACUCCUGAGUUGAAAGCACCCGCUGCAAUUGGUUGUCCAGAAGUUCUUAAAAUGAAACCUCUUUCGUUAUUUGCUCCGUUAUGUUCGUUGUGAGUUUUGUAUAUAUAUUUCAUACGUUCGUAGAAUCAAUGAAUGAGUCUUUUCUCUUGUAUAUAUACACAUUUUUCCUUGGAAUCUUGGAGGAAAUUAAAUUAUUAUUAUUAGGUUAAUACAAAUGCUACAUGUAGCUACAGUUGAAAGAUGAAACCAUAAAAGGAAGCAUCAAUGCACUCUUUAACAAUAAAAUCAUAUGUUGCUACAAGUUUUAUUUACAAGUUUUUACAAACACAAAUAAUACAACAUGCUCCACAACAACCGAUUCUGAUUAGUUCACAAGAACGACACCAUUUAUCGGUGGAGACUAGCAUUGGUCACAAUAUAAGGGUUACACACCAUCGCGCUUUUUCCUUUUCCUUCUUAAUGUCUGGGUAUGCUUAUUUACUGAUCAAUGAAAUGUCAUAUUGUUUCAAAAAGAAAAGAAAAAAAAAUGUACUACGUUAUCUUUAAUUUAUUUCGUUGUUCCAUGACUUUCAUCCAAUGAAAAGUCUCGACCUGAAAGAAGCUACAACGCACUAUAUAUUCAUGUUUGAAGAUUGGGAGUGCUCGAUCAAAUGAGUUUUGCUUUUUUUAUUUUUAUUGAGAUAGAUAUUACAACACAAUUAGAAAAGAAAAGGAGAAAAAGAAAUGCAUGCAGUACGUGGUACAAUUUAUUAGAUAGUUUUUAGUCUUUUAAACUUCAAUUGUAUGCCUCAGGGUUGGCCAAAAGGUGGUUCUCAAUGAUCUUGAACAAGCCAGCGGCUCUUUCUUUUCCGGCCUUGACAUGCUCUUCCUUGAUCUCAACCUCUCCUUUGCAAUGGUAGUGGCUGGUGCUCUUGAUGAUGGAGCCUCCACUUGGAGAUGCCACCAACUUAAUCUCGUAAGAGAUUUUCUCAACCUUGUCUCCGAUAGCAUCACCUUCAAUGAUGCUGUAGUAGUAAACAUAGUUGUCUUUGUCAAGUCCAUCAAUCUGGUGUUUCACGUAGCUGUACUCGCUUCCUUCACCGAGGUGAAUCUUCUUGAUGGUUCCGACGCCUCCGUCACCUUGAACGAUUUCGGCACUCUUCACUGCCUGUGGGGCAAUCUUGGGGAUGAGGUUGUCAGCAUCGAGAACAAAUGCCUUGUAGAGUCUUGGUGGUGGGAUGACGGAGGUGAACUCGGUUUCGUAUGUGAACACACCCAUGUUGAUGAUAUGAGAACUUAGAAAUUGAUCAAAGAACUGAAGUGCAGAAGAAAGAUGAUGAGAGAACUGGUAUUGGUGUGAGUAAAAUGAGAGAGCCGGGUUGGAGGUGGUAUUUAUAGUGGAGGAUGAAGCUCACUGCUGUUGUAGAUCAAACAGUUUAGACAAGUGAAACUUUCAAAGAGUACAUAUUAAUUUCGGUGUGAAAUGAGUUUCAUUCAAUUCAAUGAAUUGUUGUUUAAACUUGAAAGUCUAAGAAGCUAGCCGUCUUCCGUAGUACGUUGAUUUGAGGUCGACUGAGAAAAACCAAAUUGAAGUAUGAGUAGGAACUUGUACUUAACGAUAUACAUAAUCCUAAUGUGGAAAAUCAGCAUUGAUCCGUUUCAACAUUAUAUUACAUCAAUUCUAAAUCAAAACAUCACUUCCCCAUCAAGAUUGCAGACAAUGGGCAAAGAACCCAACAAAAUAAAAAAUGUAAUAGCUAGCCAAUGUUGACCGGAUCGGCUAUGCCAUUGUUGAUGCUGACUGCAAAUAAAGCUAUAUAUUGAAAAUUCAAAAAUGGUGUAGAAGAAGACCAUCUAGAACCAGACCCAUUUUUGGUCAUCUAAUACUACUAUACCAUCCAUAUACCAGGUGACUAGAUAAGGGUAGCGUACAUAGCUUUCUCUUACCUUCCAGACUAUGCCAUUUGAUUUUCUGGUAGUAGAGUAUCGGUAAAUCAAUUCUGCAGUACAUUAGUUUAAGUUACUGCUCGUAGUAAGGAGAAGUUGUUUACCAUUUCAGAAGUUGGUUUCUUAUUGUAUCGAGCUAAUUUAUAUAUACAACAUUAGUUUAUCGAGCUAAUUUUCACUUUUGUUAGUCUGGCUUUACGUCAUGUUGUUCAUUUGUUUUUUGUUGAUUAAGGAGUGGUAUAUGUUCAGCCACACUCCUCUGUUUAUUCAUGCGGAAAAAAAAAAAAAAAAAACCUUUGUGAUGACAAAAUUUUAUUACCUUCGGGCUAGGAUAUGCAGAAACUGUAGUUGUUUCAGACCAAUUUAAGAGCCAAAGUUCUGUGAAAUUCUAAGCAGUGUGAACUUCCGGGGCUGAAUUUCUCGAUAGGAAAUAGGGCUUUAUAAACACUUCUUGUCGUGGUAAUCGUCUUGUACCCAGAUGUUAGUUAGGUUCAUCAAUUCAUGCGGGUCAUAGUCAAUGAUAUGGUCUUCUAGUCGCUCUGUUUCUUGUUGUUUUUUCUUUUCGUCAGCAGUUAAGUUUGUUGUCAUCUUCUAGUUGGUUGUAUUCUUUUAUCCUUCUCUAGAUAAAUCAUAACAAAGGCAUGUAACCAGUUUCUCUGUUUUUUUGACAUAAUUUUUGUAUUGUCAUCACUCAUCACUUAGCACACUAUGUUCUGCAGGAACAAAUAUAUCCUGGAGUUCUUAACAAAUCUAGUUUACAAAGUAGAACCGGCUCUGUAGAAUUCUCAAUUUGUAGAUCAGUUCAGUAUUCAGAUUCAAAGAACUGGCAAAACAGUAACUCUUACUUACCAAAUGAUAUUUCGUUUAUUUAUUUAGAAUCAAAUCCACCAUUAUUGCAUUACAAUUUGCCACACAUAAACCGAAGUGCAAGCCAAAACAAACUCAGACAAGAAGAGGAAAAAAUAGCAAAGCCACACCAAUGACAGAAUCAAAGAGCAGGACACAACACUAUUAUUGUCCAUAGUAGCGCUCAAUACUACUACCAUAGAGACAGCAAGGUUUAGUUGUAUUCCUCGGGGUGGGCCAAAAGGUAGCUCUCGACGAGCUUGAACAGACCAGCGGCUCUUUCUUUUCCGGCCUUGACGUGCUCCUCCUUGAUCUCAACCUCACCCUUGCAAUGGUAGUGGCUGGUGCUCUUGAUGAUGGAUCCUCCCUCGGAUGCAAUCAACUUAAUCUCAUAGGAGAUCUUCUCGACCUUGUCUCCGAUGGCAUCUCCCUCAAUGAUACUGUAGUUGUACACAUAGUUGUCCUUGUCAAGUCCAUCGAUCUUGUGCUUUACGUAGCUGUAUUCACUUCCUGCAUAAAAUGAGUUCAUGAAUUAGAUGGAUGGUUACAAAAACUUGAGACACUUUUUUUCUUUGUAAUGUACAUAUGAGCAAAAAUAUAACAAGGCUGUAGAAAUUGAAGUCAAUGAUGCAAAUUGAACUAACCUUCACCAAGGUGGAUCUUCUUGAUGGUUCCAACUCCUCCAUCACCUUCACAAAUUUCAGCACUCUUCACUGCCUGAGGGGCAAUCUUGGGGAUGAGGUUGUCGGCAUCAAGGACGAAAGCCUUGUACAAUUUGGCUGGUGGGAUGACUGAGGUGAACUCGGUUUCAUAUGUGAACACACCCAUGACGACGAUUAAAGAGCUAAAAGGGAAAUGAUCAGAGAAAGAAUGAAUUGUGGAGGAGGCUAAGAGUGAAUAUAUUGGUAUUGGUGUGAGGAAGUGUGAGGGUUGGAGGUGGUAUUUAUAGAUAGCUAGAGAGGCUGAAGCACACCCUGCAGAUCAAGGCUUGAAUUUAAACAAGGGACUUUUCAAAGAAUUCUUAUGUGGAUGUGAAAUGGACGUUCAAAUUUUCAAUUCUAUGGAUCAUUGUUUUAGUCUAGGAAGCCGGCUUCAAUUGUUGAUUUGUGAAAGCAAUUUGUCAUCUAAUAUUUAUCAUACUAUUAUAUAGAAGACUUUGAACUAAAAGUACUUGGACUUGAUAACAGAUAUGUAAUCCCAACAUGGAAAAUGACUAUCUUUAACUCUGCCACAGCUAGAUUAUGUAAUUCUAUACUUGGACACAAAUAAAUCAGCAGGUGUAGUCAUAUAUAUUAUGUUACAGACUGAUAAAAGUCUUUCAGAAGCAAAUUUGCCUAGUAUAGAGGACUCUUGGUUUGGCGAAGACAAUGAUACAUAUUCCUGUCGCAAGCAAAAUAAGAUGCACAUUGACAAGGAUAAAUAUCAAGGCGGUCCUAGCUAGUUCUGUGAACCUUCUCUCCAAGUUCAUAAUAAUCAUUGGUCCGCUUAAUAAUUGAGUUUUACUUUAGAUAUAUGCUGAUCUGUAUUGCCUGAACAUGUUCUGAUAAACAUUGAAGGCUUUACUAAAUAAGGUAUGAUCAGUUUGUCGUCGGAUAAACAAUGACGAAAUUCAACACCAGUCAAUAAAAAAAAAGAUGUCAUCUGUAAGGUACUGAUACUGGUUUUAAAAAAAAUGGGGUGAAUCAUGAUCAGAAAAAUUUACUUCUGCACUUGAAAUAAAUCAUUCCAGUACAAAUUAAAUCACUAUCUUUGGCAUACAUGAGAAGAUUUCUUGAACAAAUUUCUCUGUUCCCUGCUAACAUAGGGUCUCAGGGAGACAUUUCCAACCUCACUACGUCCUUUCAGUAUGGUUGUGAACUGGAUUUUUGCAAGUCAAUUCAGGCCAAAACAAAAGUAGGUGCAGCAUCAAGACAAUAAGGUCAGUCUUAAACCAAAGAAAAAUGAAAUAGCCAAUCUUGACUGGCAUCUAGUUUCAGUAACCUGCCAAUGAAGCUAGCUCUUGAUAAUAAGACCAUCUAGAAGCUUUAAAAAAAAAAAAAAAGACCAUCUAGAAGCCAACACUCUUUUUCCUAAUACAAGUGGGGUUUCAGAUAGGGUGCUUUCUUUGACCGUCUUGGCCAAUACAAAAGAGUAGUACGAUUUAUACCUACAAGGACACUUAUCAGUCAUACUCAUACCAGCUAGGAAGCUAUAGGUGACCUUCAAGGCUUCAACCUUGUAUCUUGUCUAAUCACUCUAUAAAUAUCAGUGAUAGCAUUCUAUUUUCUCACAACUCAAAGCAUUACUCUUUCUUUGAUCAUCUUUCCAGUUUCAAGCAACCUAAAAACUGAAAAUGGGUGUGUUCACUUAUGAAACCGAGUUUACAUCUGUCAUCCCACCACCAAGAUUGUUCAAGGCUUUCAUCCUUGAUGCCGAUAACCUCAUCCCAAAGAUUGCUCCACAAGCAGUUAAGUGUGCUGAAAUCAUUGAAGGAGAUGGAGGCGUAGGCACCAUCAAGAAGAUCACCUUCGGUGAAGGCAGCCAGUUCGGCUCAGUGACCCACAAGAUCGAUGGGAUUGACAAAGAGAACUUUGUGUACAGCUACAGUUUGGUCGAAGGAGAUGCCUUGUCCGACAAGAUUGAGAAGAUCUCUUACGUGACCAAAUUGGUGGCGUCUUCCGAUGGAGGAUCCAUCAUCAAGAGCACCAGUAACUACCACACCAAAGGUGACGUGGAGAUCAAGGAAGAGCAUGUUAAGGCCGGAAAAGAGAAGGCGUCCCACCUCUUCAAGCUUGUUGAAGGCUACCUCUUGGCCAAUCCUAAUGAAUACUGUUAAACUUGAUUGUUAUCUGUCACUUUUCCCUUUGUUUUGCUGAUGUUCCAGUUGGAACAUUAGGAAAUUGAAUGCUGUAAUGUUUUCUAUUGAAUAAACAAUCUGUAAUCACAAUUUGCAUUACAUUGUUCAAUUUCUCCCUACUAAUUAAGCUAAACUAUCAAAUUGCUGCUAUAAAAAUAUAUCCACACAGAUGGUCAAGAAACAUCCUAAGAAGGUGGUUCACCUAUCAUUAUUCAAAACAAGAAAUGUCACAAUAUAUAGCCUCUUUGUUUCAGAAAUGAGUCGUUGAGACUUCGGAGUAUUUAGGCCGGUUAGUGAUAGAGGUUGCACUGGUAAAACUCUAAACAGUGACGGCAAACUUGUUCUCCAAACAAUUUGCUGAAAAGUUGAACUCAUUAUCAGUAUAAGUCUUUGAUAAUGACUGAUUGUUGUAGUGAUUGAGUCUUUCUUUCCUUACCUUUCUAUAAAGAAUCGGCCUUUCCCAAUCAAAAUAAUUAUGAUAUUAUGAAAAAAAAAACUGUUUCAUGUCCACAUCUACGACAGAUUAACCAACUGUAAUAGAACAAUACUGUUAUGUUAUGUUAAAAAUAAUUCACAAUUACUGAAGACUUUGGACAGUCACUAACCAGAUAACUCUCUACCAGAUCAUAUACUCCACUUCAUUCAGGGUCCAAUUGACUCCCCGUCGUGCUGGUAUUUGUGUCCCUUUCAUCAUGAUUUUCUUGGAAAGACUGGAACUACUCAAAUAAAGUUCUCACGUUGGUUAAAAAUGCAAUGAAUGGAACAUUUCUAACCAAUCAGUCUGCACGCAGAAAUAGCUAUUGGAUUUCUUACAGCGACAGACUUACAUGCCAAGCAUCGAAAAAUAGAAGGUAAAAAACUCUGCACGCUGUAUUAGUAUAAAGAGGAACAUACGUUUUAUUCUUUACUUUUUAAACGAAAUCCAAUGUGACAUUACAAUUUACCAUAACUCGAAGUGCAAGCCAAAACAAUCCCAGGCUUGGUAGGAAAGGAAAGGGAAAAAAUAUCAAAGCGACACCAAAUGACAAAACAAACAGGACACAACAGAAUAUUAUAAUGCAGUAGCAUUAUCAUAGUUCGAUUUAGUUGUAGGCCUCGGGGUUGGCCAAAAGAUGGUUCUCAAUGAUCUUGAACAAACCAGCGGCCCUUUCUUUUCCGGCCUUGACAUGCUCUUCCUUGAUCUCAACCUCACCCUUGCAAUGGUAGUGGCUUGUGCUCUUGAUGAUGGAGCCUCCACUUGGAGAUGCCACCAACUUGAUCUCGUACGAGAUUUUCUCAACCUUGUCUCCAAUAGCAUCACCUUCAAUGAUGCUGUAGUUGUAAACAAAGUUGUCUUUGUCAAGUCCAUCAAUCUGGUGUUUCACGUAGCUGUACUCGCUUCCUUCACCGAGGUGAAUCUUCUUGAUGGUUCCUACACCUCCAUCACCUUGAACGAUUUCGGCACUCUUCACAGCCUGUGGCGCAAUCUUGGGGAUGAGGUUAUCAGCAUCAAGAACAAAGGCCUUGUAGAGUCUUGGUGGUGGGAUGACAGAGGUGAACUCGGUUUCAUAAGUGAACACACCCAUGAUGAGGAAUAAAAAGCUUAAAAUGAGGAGAUUGAAAUGUGGAAGAAGCUAAGAGAAUAUUGAUA